rnacentral:lncRNA from 1 species
AAUAGUUCAGUAAGUCGAGGUGGGAUUUCUCCAUCCAGUUUGUUGUAGGAAAGAUCCAAGCUCUCUAUUUCCUUUAAGUUCCAAAAUGUUGGUGGAAUUGGUCCAGUCAAACUGUUGUGCGAAAGGUUCAAUGCCUUGAUCUUGCUGAGGUUUCCAAUUUCAGGAGGAAUAUUCCCGGUGAAAUUGUUGCAUGAGAAAUCAAUUCCUAUUAAGUACUGGAUAAUGCUUCCUUUAUAAGGAAGGGAUACAUUCUUUGUUGUAAACUCGAAAGAUUGUUGUGAUGAGAACAUAGAAUCAUGGGAAUUGUAUUGAAAAGGAAAAGGAUGAGUAGAUAUCAUCCAAGAGAGGAUGUUACCAGAAAGAUAAUUGUGAGAUAGAUCAAUCACGGUUAAUUGGUCCAACCUGCAUAAUCGAAUUGGGAUUUCACCUUCAAGAUUGUUAUAACUCAAGAGUAGAAAUCUCAAGUUAGAUAGCCUGCCAAUCCAUUCUGGAAUUCUACCAGUUAAAUCAUUAUGGGAAAGAUCUAAUGCGAAUAUCUCAGAGGAGUCAUAAAAUGCCAUUGCGAUCGGUCCUUGCAACUUAUUUCUAGACAAAUAAACAACUCUUAAUUUUGAAGAAGUGUUGAAUCUAGGUGGUAAAGGACCAGAUAAAUUGUUCCUUGAUAGGUCCAAGAAUUCAAGAGAAGACAUAUUCCCAAUCCAUCCAGGGAUCUGCCCUUGCAAACUGUUGUUGGACAGGUCUAACUCGUACAUCAAGCUCAUGUUACCUAAUGAGGAAGGAAUGCUUCCAUUGAAACCAUUAUCAGACAUCAAUAAAACUUCUAACCCUGGCAAAUGAGCUCUAAUUUCUGAAGGGAUUUGUCCUUGGAAGUGAUUCAUUGAUAUACUUAGGAAUGACAAAUUCACAUGAGAACUCUUUGGCAACAAGAAUGGACCUGAAAGAGAACAAUUUUCUAAAGAAAGACGUUUGAGGUAUGUGUUGUUCUCAAUCAACCAAUUUGGAAACUCUCCCUUUAUUUGGAAGUUUGUAAGAUCCAAAGAUUGCAGGCUGAACUGAUGGUAAAGGAACUUGGGAAAUGCUCUCGUAUUUUGUCCACCAUUGCUCAAAGAAAGGGACUCUAACUGGAACUUUGGGGUGAGAUUAUGAUCAUCUUCUUCUGCACAUAUUUCAUUCCCUGAACCAUAAAAAGACUUGAGUUUUGAAAGGUUGUAUAACGGGCUCAAUGACAUAGGUAUCUUCAAGUGAUUGGAAGAGAGAUAUAAUCGUUGAAGGGAAGUCAUAUUUGCCAGACACGGAGGCAAGAAACCAAUGAGAUCAUUGUCAUACAUAUAUAGCUCUUGAAGAUGAUUUAAGUCACAUAGGCCUGAUCACAUUAUAAUUUAGGAAAAAAAAUUAAAACUUUGAGUUUCUAAUGGAAAAGAUAUAACCUAGGGAGAGGGUAAGAGUCAUCAACCUUACCUUGGGUUGUAGGUAAUUGGCCAUUUAGACUACAAUUCUGCAACCAUAAAGUUUUAAGAGAGGGCAUCGUUCUGAUGGUUUGUAAGAUGUUGUUACUGAGAGUAUUGGAACUUAAAUCCAAGAAUUCCAAGUUCUUGAGAUUAAAGAAGCCUACUACAAUCAAGAAAUUAUAUUAACGUAGAAGCAAUUAAAAUUAUAAAGGAAAUGAAAGAGUAAGAGUCAUCAACCUUACCUUGGGUUGUAGGUAUUUGACCAUCUAUUCUGCAGCUCUGCAAAAUCAAAGUUCUAAGAGAGGUCAUCGUUCCGAUGGCUUGGAAGAUGCUAUUAUUGAGAGUAUUGUAACUCAAAUCCAAGUAUUCCAAGUUCUUGAGAUCAAGGAAGCCUGCCACAAUCAAUUAGACAAGAAAUUAUAUUAAUGUAGAAGGAAUGAAGAUUAGAAAUAAUUCAUUACUUAUUAAUCGUGGCUAAAAAACUAAAAAUAUCUAGUAAGUGUAGAAAUUGUAUUGUCCAUUUAAGAGAAUGAUUUUUUAUACGCCUGACCCAAAAAUAAAAAUACACCAUUGUUAAUUUAUUAUCCUCCUAAAAAUAGCACUCUUUGUAUAUGAAGUUACCUUUUUAUUAAAGAAAUUAUUGUUUUUUACGUUAUUGUUUAAAUUAUAUUACACUAAAAUGAUGUUGAAAGAGGGGCAAAAUUAAAGUGAAAUAUUAUUUAUAUUAAAUGGAUGGUAGAAUUUUAAAAUAAUAAAGAUUUUAAUUGAGUUAAUUUCUAAAUUUGAGGUUUAAUUGACUUUCUGUUUUUUUUAUAUUAUGAAUUUAAUUUCUAAUGGAUUUGAGUUGACUAGGUUAUGAAAACAUAAAAGAGAAAUUCUAAUUUAGCAGGCAUAGAAGAAGAAUAGUCAAUGAUAAGUAAUAGUGGAGUUGAAAUUUGUUAAUUUACCUCCAUAAGGUACAGUGACAAUGAGUGCUUGCAAUGACAGAUUUUUUAGAGAAGGCAAUGCUCCAAGACUUUGAAGGGAGUGUUCAUCUAGAGAACAACUGUCCAGAUACAAAUUUUUCAGGAAGCUCGAAUUUUGGAACCCCUGUUUGUCAAAGUAGCAAANNNNNNNNNNNNNNNNNNNNNNNNNNNNNNNNNNNNNNNNNNNNNNNNNNNNNNNNNNNNNNNNNNNNNNNNNNNNNNNNNNNNNNNNNNNNNNNNNNNNNNNNNNNNNNNNNNNNNNNNNNNNNNNNNNNNNNNNNNNNNNNNNNNNNNNNNNNNNNNNNNNNNNNNNNNNNNNNNNNNNNNNNNNNNNNNNNNNNNNNNNNNNNNNNNNNNNNNNNNNNNNNNNNNNNNNNNNNNNNNNNNNNNNNNNNNNNNNNNNNNNNNNNNNNNNNNNNNNNNNNNNNNNNNNNNNNNNNNNNNNNNNNNNNNNNNNNNNNNNNNNNNNNNNNNNNNNNNNNNNNNNNNNNNNNNNNNNNNNNNNNNNNNNNNNNNNNNNNNNNNNNNNNNNNNNNNNNNNNNNNNNNNNNNNNNNNNNNNNNNNNNNNNNNNNNNNNNNNNNNNNNNNNNNNNNNNNNNNNNNNNNNNNNNNNNNNNNNNNNNNNNNNNNNNGGGCUCAUCAUCAUGACGUUAACAAGUAGGUAAUGUGAAUGUGUUACGAAUUACCUCUUGAGGCUAUCAAUUUGUUAAUAUUAUUGCCGCCCAAAUACAAGGUCUCCAAGCUGCUCAGAUAUUCUUGAUAUUUAUAUAAACAAAUAGUUAAUUAAUUCACUACAACACAAAAAUUGUGUUUUUCAAAAUUAAAUUUAAUAGAUAAUUGUGUUUAAUUAAAUUGAAUAUUUAUAAAAAUAAUAGUAUUUAAAAAAACUAACCUUCCAAAUCUAUUAACCCCUCCAGCCUAUUAUAAUCUAAAUAUAAUAAUUUAAGAGAUGAAAAUCCCUUCAUAGAUGAUAAAAUACUGUUAUCGAAGCUAUUAGAUCCCAAGUCAAGGAUCUCCAAAUUGCUCAAUCUUGAUAAUUCAUAACCACCUACAUAAAAUCAAAAAUAAAAUUAAGACUUCAUGUAAAGAAUAAAAAAGAUAUUAUUGGAGUAAUUUAAUUAUGAUCAUUGAUGAAGAGGCAAGUAAUUGUUACAGUGACUUCAUGUAAAGAGGUUGAGGCGGUGAAAGAGAAAGGAAUAAUUGUUACAAUGAUGAUGUCAUGAUUAUAAUAAUGUAAGGAAUUAAACAACACCUUAUUGCUAAAUAUGAUUUCUAUUUUCUUCUAUGAAUUACUUACUGUGGAGAACCAAAAUUAAUGAUACUAAUUAAACAACACCUUAUUUGAUUAAUUUAAAAAAACUGAUCUAAAUAUUUUGUAAUACUUAAGAGAGCAAACCUUUGAUCUAAAUAUUUUGUAAUACUUAAGAGAGCAAACCUUUGUUCUCAACCCAACCAGCUAUACUAUUAUUCCACAAGGAGAGAGUGUUGAGUUGUUGGAAAGGAAGGAACAAGGAGGCAUUUAAGUACCAAUCUCCCAGUUCCUGGUUCCUUACGCUGUCAAGAUAGAGUCUGGUGACUCGACCUGUACUGCUGUUGCAGACAAUACUUUCCCAAUCACAACAGUGGGCGUCAGCUUUUAUCCAGGAGGGAAGGGAAGUGCCAUUGGGAUAGUUAAGAGAAUCUUUGAGGUGCAACAGAGCGAUCCUCUCUUCCUCCAAGCAACCAAGAGGCAGCCAUCCUUGCAGCGAAACCGUUAUCACUAACACCGUGAACACCUGAAGGAACAGCCCCAUCUUAAUAUAUAUCAACUAUUACAAUAUUAAUUGUUGCGAAUGGCAGCGAGGAGGUUAAGGCUUUUAUAGAGGACUUCACGGACCCAUGCCGUGCAAAAAACUGCAUGAUGGCAACGGACACUUAGCAGCCACAUAAGUAAGAAGCUUCAUUUUUUUGGUUUUUUUAAAAAAUCCACAUCAUAGUCGCAUCCUCUCUCUCUUGUUUUUUCUUAAUUUUUCAAAUGGCCGAAAUCCUAUUAAUAAUUUUUUCCAACUCAAAUUCAAGCCCUCCUGACCAAAUAUUUGUGCCUUUACUAACUCUUCAACAUUAACUAAAAAAAAUGUUCAACAUUCUAAUUUGAUGAACAUUUUCCAUUUUAAUUUUAACAAGGUUCAAUUUGAAUUUUUUUCCUACUGAACACAAAAUUUUUAAUAUAGUUCUCCUAUGAACACUAUUUUUUUUAGUUUUAACAAACUAAAAGGUUGUUUGAAAAUAAAUCUGAAAUCGUGUUUUUUUUUAAUAAUUUUUUUGUUUAAAAUAAAUUUUUUAUGUUUUUUUUAUUGUUCUGUUAUGAUAUGUUAAUGUUAAAAAUAAUUUUAAAAAAAUAUUUUGAAAACAACUUUUUUAUUUUAUUUUAAUACAUAAUUCACAAUAUCUGAAUUGAUUCAUUUAACAUUUAUCUUUAAUAUAUAUAAUCUCUUUGUUUUUUUUUAUAAUACUCUUAAUCUGAAUAUCUUCUAGGAAAAAAAAGCAUGAUGGCAAUAGUCCAACGGACCCAACUCCUGGAAAAAAUGCAUGAUGACAUCAUCCAACGGACCCAUCUCGUGGAAAAAAAAGAAGAAGCAGGAUGCCAUAGGACGGCAGUGUCCUCUUCAUCACAUUUGUUUUCAUUUUGAUACUAACCUAUUUGUUUUAUGUUUGAAAAGUAUUUAAAAAAAUAAUUUUUUAUUUUAAAUAAUUUUUUUAGUAUUUUCAGAUUAUUUUAAUAUGUUGAUGUCAAAAAUAAUUUAAAAAAAUAAAAAAAUAUUAUUUUAAUACAUUUCCAAACGAAAAAUACUUUAAAAACCAUCGAUUACCACACUUCAAACACCCCUUAAAUGUUGCUCGAGUUGAUUUUUUUUCCUUGUCAAGACUUUACUAUUCAUCCUUUUGUAUAUUAUUAUAGAUGAACUAUUUAAAAAUUUAUGUUUUUUAAUUUGUUCCUCAAUUUUUUUUUAAUAAUUUAGUUCUAAUUAAACUCUAGUUGUUCUAAUUUCUUUUGAAAAGAUAGGAUUACAAUAAGAGGGACUGAAAUAAAAAAAAAAAACACCAAAUAUGAGUGUAAUGCCAUAAGUUUUGUAAAGGAUGCAUUUUGAUUUUUAAACUUUAAAAAUCACAUGAAUCAUAUAAUUUCAGUAUCUUAAUAUCUUUUCAAUUUAAUUUUAAUACAAAAAUUUAUUUUUAUUAAUUUUUAAUUUCUAGUUAAGAAAAAAGAGAGAAAUCAUCAAAUUCUAACGGGCCCAACUCUUGUUAAAAAUGAAGAAGAAAAAAGCAUGAUCACAAUCCCUUUCGUUUUCGUUUUGAUAUUAUUGAUUUUAAUUUUUUUAACUUGAGUUUAGAGAAAAACUAAAUGAGAAUUUACCCGUUAAACUUGAAUGAUCAAAUCAGUUAAUCCGUAAAUAGUUCAACUUAGUCAAAACAUGGUUUUACUUUUUUUAACUAUGCAAUAUUUUGAACUUUUUUUAAAAAAUAAUUUCUUAAAAUGAUAUAAUUUUAAAUUAACACUGAUCAACAUGAACUAACCUGCAUAAUUUAUUACCUAAACCCUGAUCACUCAUGCCUAACCAUAGAUUGUUCUAUUUUCUUUAGUUUUGAUGAACAUGACAUUAAUUUAAUAACUUUAGUUUUGAUGAACAUGACAUUCUUAUGAAAAAUGUCGCGCGCACGUGUGAGUGGGAAAAACGCGUUUGUUCUAUUUUCUUUACUUUGACUAUAGUCUUCCCUGACAUUAUUAUUGUCACAAAGUGGGCAUAUUUCUUCUGUUAUCUUUCAAGAUUUGAAUUGAAAACGAGGGACGUAAUUAUACAUUAGUUGAAAUUUUAUGAUGUACAUUAAUUAAUCCUUUUAAAUUGAAGUCAAGUUAUUAAUUAAUUAAUUCCUAUAGAUUUUCAAUCCUCAAACCAAUUUCAAACAAAUCACUUCAAGUGAUUCAUCGUAGUUCAUGAUCAAUUCCUUAAAUCCUAUAAAUAAGAUUGAUCGAUCAAAUUUUAUAAUUAAUAAUAAUAAAUGAGUAGCAUGCUAAUAAAUAUUUGUGGAAGUGAACUGUUUUUUAUUGAAAAAAGAAUAAUUAAGCGAUCCUCUUCUUUUUAUAUAAUAAUAUAAUAACAACCGUAGUUUAAAUUAUCUCGAAAGGCAUGAUUUUUCACAUGUAAUUUCCAUCAAAUUCAAAAGGCAUGAUUUUCCACACGUAAUUUCAAUAAUAAUAAAAAAAAACAGUUGCAAGUCUUUAUAUUUAUCAUCAUCAUCAUAAAAAAAAAACAGACCCAUCUCACACUGCACAUUUUUGUCCAUCUUACUUCUUUAAUUGUGGAUUCAAUCAAUAUUAUUAAAAUCAAGUUCAACAUCAAAUUAUUUUUAAUAUUAACACAUUAAAAUAUAAAAAAGUUAAAAAUUAAAUUUUAUUCUAUUUUUAUUUGGAACGCAGCACUAACCAGUUAUUAAAAUCUAGUUUAGCUAGAGAGGAUGUGAUUAAAUUAAUUAUUUCGCUAAAUGUGGUCGAUUAUAUUCUUAUCCAUCACUUUGAUUAUUUUUCACUUUCUUCACUCUUUCUAUGAUUCAAAAGUUACUUAUUCAAAAAAAAAAAAAAUUUAAUUGUGGAAUGGUAUGGUAGUUGGAUCUAUUUGUUUUUUUUUUUUGUGUGGUUAAAUUAAUUAUUUCCAUAAAUAUUUGGGGGAAAAUAAAAUUAAUUAUUGCUAGAGAGGCACUGGAGCCUUUGAUAUUUUGCAAAGGCAUGGAAUUCGAUGCCAAGGGAAUGUAAGAUAGUUGUUGACUGCUGGCGUCAACGUGAUAAAGCAAUUAAUUAUAGUGAAAAUCAAAUAGUUAACAACGACAAGCUGAAUUCAAGUUAGAUUUAAAGUUGGAUAAUAAUUGAAGUAUUUUUAUUUGAAAAUAAAUUAAAAUAAUAUAUUUUUUAUUUUUUAAAAAAAAUACUUUUAAUAUCAUUAUAUUAAAAAAUUCAAUAAAUAUAUAUAUAAAUAAUUUUAAAUAAAAAAAUCAAAUUUUAUCUGAUUUUUAUUUGAAAAACAAUACCAUCUAGGGCAUAUCCAGGAAAAGUCUAUCAAGAAACAAAGAUAUUCGAAGAAUGACUGAAAAUAAAUCAAACCAAAGCCAUGGAAUUAGAAACCAAAAGAUGGACCAAAUUUGUCUCUAUAGUGAGCCAUCAAAGUGGUGGGGCAAAAACUUGAUGGGGAGAUAAUUAUUUAUUCAUCAAAACAAUUAUUUAUUCUGGAGGAAAACCCAAACUCAAUUUCAUUUGAUCAAAGUCAUACCAUCAAAGAAAACAAGAAAAAGGUAUUUAAUUAAUAUAAUAAUAAAAAAAUUUAAUUGUGGAAUGGUAUGGUAGUUGGAUCUAUUUGUUUUUUUUUUUUUUGUGUGGUUAAAUUAAUUAUUUCCAUAAAUAUUUGGGGGAAAAUAAAAUUAAUUAUUGCUAGAGAGGCACUGGAGCCUUUGAUAUUUUGCAAAGGCAUGGAAUUCGAUGCCAAGGGAAUGUAAGAUAGUUGUUGACUGCUGGCGUCAACGUGAUAAAACAAUUAAUUAUAGUGAAAGUGAAAUAGUUAACAACGAUAAGCUGAAUUCAAUUUAGAUUUGAAAAUUCUCAGAAACUUUACUAUUUUUCGCAAUGUAUGAAUAAUGAAAAUUCAGAAACUCUCCUUGCUGCAGGAAAUAGCCCUUGUUGUUGAAUUUGAAUCUAUGAAAAUAAUUCUGAAUUUUCACUAUAAUUUUCAUUAUAGUGAAAAUGAUGCAGCAAUAAAAUAUACCCACAGAACAGUAGGCUAGCCGAGUCAAAAGGAGGGUUGCCUCAUCUUAAUGAUAUUUAAUGUUGGAUAACGAUUAUUUUUUAAAAAAUUUUAUUUAAAAAUAUAUUAAAAUAAUAUUUUUUUUAUUUUUAAAAAAUAUUUUGACAUAACACAUUAAAAAAUACAAAAACAUUAUUCACUAUUGUUUUUUUUUUUUUUUUGAACUGCCUUGUCUCUCUUUCUAUUUUGUCUCCCAUCUGUUAGGCCUUCAAGAUUCAAAAUACAUAGCAAUUUAUGUUAGGAAUAUUGAUGAAAAAUAAAAUAUAACCAGAAAACAAAUACAAAAACAAAAAUUAUUUUUUAAAGUAUUUUUUACUUAAAAAUAUAUUAAAAUAAUAUACUUUUUAUUUUUUAAAAAAUAUUUUUUAUAUCAGUACAUUAAAAAUUUAAAAAUAUAAAAAAUUAAUUUUAAAUAAAAAAAUAAAAUUUUAUCCAAUUUUUAUUUGGAAUACAGUAUCAACGAAAAAAUCUAUCAAGAAACAAAGAUAUUCGAAGAAUGACAAAAAAUAAAUCAAACCAAAGCCAUGGAAUUAAAACCAAAAGAUGGACCAAAUUUGUCUCUAAAGUGAGCCAUCUUAGUGAUAAUUAUUUAUUUACCAAAACAAUUAUUUAUUCUAGAGGAAAACCCAAACUCAAUUUCAUUCGAUCAAAGUCACAACAUCAAAGAAAACAAGAAAAAGGUAUUUAAUUGAUAUAAUAAAAAAAAAAGUUGGUAUACUAAUAUAAAAAUAAUAAAAAUCUACUAAAAUGAGUGGAUUCAAAUAGAUCUGAAUAUUCAUAUACCUUAUCUUCUAAGUAAGAAGAAAUAAUAAAAAUAGGUGACGUUCUUUUCUCCGGUUGUAAAUGGAUGGAGACAUCAAUACCAAAAACAUGGACAAUUUCUUUUUUCAAUUUGAAUACUUAUUUUCACAAAAUCUUAUCAAUAAAAUAUCUUCACUAGUUCUAUUAUUAGAAUGAUGAUGUCACAAUUAACUUUUUUUUAGAUGAGUUUGGAUUGAUUUUAUUUUAUUUUUAAUUUCUGAAUAAUAAGGAUAUAUAAAAAAUAUUUAUACUUUAUAUCUUCUUUUAUUCAAGUACUCUUUCUAUUUAAGUACUUGAUAAACUAGUGUCUGUCCAUAAAUUUGUUUACUUUGAUUUCUCUAAUAAAUGUAAGGUUUACAUAUAGUAACUAUGGAAUAAUAAGAAUAUUAACAAUAAAAUUUAUUUAUAAAUAAAUCAUUGAUUUAAUUUCUUUGAAUUUUAAAUUUGGUGUGAAUAAAGUCAAGGGAUUUCCAAGAUAAAUAGUAUUUCAAAAAAUUGAGAAUCUCCCACUCUUCACUUUGUCUAUAGUUUUACCUAUAUUAUGGUCACAAAUUAGGGAUAGUUAAACUAGUGAUAUUUCUCGCACGCUCUUAAAAUUAUAGUUUUUUUAAUUUGUUCCUCAAUUUGUUUUUGAUAAUUUAGUUCUAAUUAAAGACCAAUUAAUUUUGAUUUAUUAUGAAAAGAUAGGAUUGAAUGAAGAGGGACCGAAAUGAAAAAGGCACCAAACAUGGGUCUCAUGCCAUAAGUUUCGCAAAUGAUGCAUUUUGGUUCUUAAACUUUGAAAAUCACGCAAAUCAUAUAAUUUCAGUAUUUCAAUAUUUUUCCAAUUUAAUUUUGAUACAAAAGUUUAUUUUUGUUAUUUUUUAAUUCCUAGUUAAGAGAAGGGAGAGAGAGGUCAAUAAAUUCAGGUGAUAGAGAGAGAAAAAUGUUAUUGAUAUCGAUUGAGAUCACCAAAAUGGACGAUAUUUGUGUGAAAUGACUUUAUUUAAUGAUGAAAGCUCAUAUUAAGUAUUUUUUUUACCUUUAAAGUUUGUGGAAAAAAAGAUUUGAUUUUGUAGUUGAUUUUUACCUUAAAAGAAACAUGAUAAGAUUUUUUUUUUUUUUUAACACUACUAAUCACUUCUUUAAAUAUACGUUAUUGUUGAUGUAUGAGAAUUUAAGUGAAAAGAAUUUUAGGAUUUCUAGAAAAUUGAAUUCUCUCAAAUUUUGUUAUAUUUUCUGUUUUUAUUUUUAUUAAUUUGGAUUUUCUUUCUUACUUUAUAAUAUUUUUUGGAUGAGAAUGAAAUAUUUUAUAUAAACUUUAAAAACAACACUGAUAUAUAUAUAUAUUCUGUGUUACUAUUACUUAUAUAAAUGGAUGAAGCAUGAAAAUUAUAGAAGGCGAUUGUCACAAACUAAACUCUGAAGAUGAAAUUGAAAAAUCUCAAGGAGCAAACUAAAAAUUUAACAAAAUCUUAAAUUAUAGCAUAUUAUCCCUUCUCAAGAAAUUAAAUAUGGCUGAAAACAAAUACAAAAAAAAAAAAAUUAUAGCAUAUUAUCCCUUCUGAAGCUUACGGGCAAUAUGGUCUCAUGGACUCUUAUCAUCCCUUUGAAGAAACUCCUGAUAGCAAUGGUCUCACGGACUCCUCACAUCGCACUUUGAUUAUUCUUCACUUUCUCGACUCUUCCUGUGUUUCACUACUUGAUGAUUCAAGAGUUAUUCAUUUGAAAAAACAAUUAAUUGUGGAGUCGUAUGGUAGCUGCAUCUAUUUGUUUUUUUAUUUUUUGUGAUUAAAUUAAUUAUUUCGAUAAAUGACACAUGUAUUGAGGGAAAAUAAAAUUAAUUAUUGCUAGAGAGGCACUGGAGCCUUUGAUAUUUUGCAAAGGCAUGGAAAAUUCGAUGCCAAGGGAAUGUAAGAUAGUUGUUAGACUGCUGGCGUCAAGGUGAUAAAGCAAUUAAUUAUAGUUAGCAACGACAAGCUGAAUUCAAGUUAGAUUUAAAGUUGGAUAAUAGCUAUUUGUUGAAGUAUUUUUAUUUGAAAAUAAAAUAAUAUAAUAUAUUUUUUAUUUUUUUAAAAAAAUACUUUUAAUAUCAGUAUAUUAAAAAAUUCAAAAAAUAUAUAUAAAAAUAAUUUUAAAUAAAAAAAUCAAACUUUUUCUAAUUUUUAUUUGAAACACAGUACCAACCAAGGUAUAUCCAGGAAAAGUCUAACAAGAAAUGAAGAUAUUCGGAUAAUGAUUGAAAAUAAAUCAAACCAAAGCCGUGAAAUUAGAAACCCAAAGAUGGACCAAAUUUGUCUUUACAGUGAGCCAUCUUAGUGGUGGGGCAAAAACUUGAUGGAGAAAUAAUUAUUUAUUCAUCAAAACAAUAUUUAUUUAUUUUGGAGGGAAACCCAAACUCAAUUUCAUUUGAUUAACGUCACACCAUCAGAGAAAACAAGAAAAAAGUAUUUAAUUGAUAUAAUAAAAAACAAAUUUGGUAUACUAAUAUAAGAAAAAUAAAAAUCUACUAAACUGGAUGACACUCAAACAGCUCUGAAUAUUUGCAUUCCUUAUCUUAUAAGCAAGAAGAGACAAUAAAAAAAAGUGACGUUUCUUUUCUCCCGUUGUAAAUAGAUGGAGACAUCAAUACCAAAAUAAACAUGAAUUAGUUAGAAUAAUUAUAACUAACUAAUAUAAUAGGUUUUAAUAUUUACUUUUAAUAUAUAUAAAAUGAAAGAUAUUAAGAGUUGAUUAAUGUGUUUAAGCUAUAUAUGUUUAAAUAUUUGCAAUAUGUACAUAUUCUAAUUUAAUAUUAGUAAUUAUAAAGUUUAUUUAGUUAAUAAAAACUCCUUCAUUUUUGUUUUCUCAUCUCUUACUAUUGUUCUUUCUUUUCUUUUGAAUUGUCUUGUCUCUUUAUUUUUUGUUUCCCAUCUCUCAAUCCUUCAAGAUUCAAAAUACAUAGCAAUUUAUGUUAGGAAUAUUGAUAAAAAAAAUAAAUAUAAUCAGAAAACAAAUACAAAAAAAAAUGAUAUUGGAGAAAGAGAGUAUCUAAUUCUAGUAAAGCAUUUAAAUUUCCAUUGAAAGAUGCGUCAUAUAUUAAUAUAAGGUCCAUUUUCCAUUAACUAAUCUGCGGUUGCAUUCUAACGCUUGAGAUUUAUUUUUUUUACUUAAGCAUUUAAUUCUUUUUUAUACACUAAAUUGAAAUUAAAGCAUAUUACCCCUGCUCAAGCUUAUGGGGUCUCAACUCUCAUGAACCCGUCUCGUAGAUAAAACAAAAAACGCUUGAUAGCAAUUGUCUCAUGGACCAUCCCACUGGUCUCUAUCGUGGAAAAAAAAUACAGAUGAUAAUGAUCUUACAGACCAUCCCACUAACCCACAUCUUUCUUUCUCUUUUGUCUCUCAUUAUACUUAUAAAACCUAUUCAAGUCGUAGACUGAGUGAUUUAGUUUAAAAUAAUAUUAUUUUAAGAUAUAUAUUUUUUUAAAAUUAUAACAAAAUCAUUUUAAAAAAUAUUUGAAUAGUCAAAUCUAGUUUCACUUGGAUUUUAACUAGACAAUAUGUUGACCUAAUAGAUUAAUAUAGUUUAAUCGGGUCAACUUUUAUAUAGUUUAAUAAAACCUAGUUUGAAAGUAAAAUACUAAAUUCUUCAUACCAUCAAGUUGACCCGUUAAGAUAAACCGGAUUUAAUAACACCUCUCCCGGCUCUCAAUCCAGUGAACACAAAUGAAAAAAAGCUUUACGUACAGAUGUUUGGGUUUGUUUAGAGAUUCAUUAUAGCAAAUAGGCUCAAAAGGUUGGAUAUGUUAUUACUUUCUCCCCCUGUCUUGUAUAUAGUGUCCUCUGUUUUUAUUUUAUGCUAGAUAGCCUCUAAUUUUGGCUCUACCACCUUUCUAUAAUAAUACUCGACUAUUAUAAAAAGAAGAAGAAGCAGAAGCAGAAAUAACUUAGCGCGUUUGUGUAUAGAUAGUUUCCUUGAAUGAAGCAUGUACAUGUCUGAUGAGCAGAAAGACAAAAAAUGGUAAAUGAGGACAGCAUUGCAUCACCACCAUGGCAAACUCGGCAUGACCGAGGAGUGCAGCAAUGUGCAAAGGAGUGUUUGAUGUGCUAAGGAUAUAUAGCCAAGUAAUUGUUUCUUUUUUGAGACUAAGAGUCAGUGUGUAGCGGAAUUAGCCUUCGUUCUCUCCUUCUGGUCAAUCGUCUUGGAGAGCCUAUGAUCUUGCCUUGAUCAAGACUCCUAUCUUAGUUAUUCAACAAAUAUGAAGAAAUUUUCCAAAAUCAUUUCUUGACAAAACAUCUCACGCAUCCCUCAGCCCUUGUCAAAUCCUCCAUCCCCUUAUGCCCUUGCACAGACUUGCCCCCGGGGUAAAUUCUAAAACUCGGGGCAUCUUUUAUAUGGAAUAUGCAAUUUCCAAAAGGUCUGAGGAAUCGAACAAAGAGGGAAAUGAUUGGGCAUCAGUCUUGAAACCACAAUGAUCCGAUGGACGAGAGCCGCUAGUGGAGAAGGAUUCAUGCAUCUCUGUUUUUGUGUAUUCCUCAUGCUCUUUUUCACUGUACAACAGAACUUUUGCCUCUUCAGUUUUUCCUUUUAGACUCUCUUCAAUCAAUGGAAAGAUGAAACACCACAGAAAGGUGUAAACUGACAAGAAAUUCAAUGCUCACACUUUGAAUUUUAAUUUGCAUGUUUCAGGUCAUUGAUAGCUAUACAUUAAAAUUACAGAGUAAAAUAUCAUUUAUCAAGAUUGUCUUGUUCGUUAUUGAUGAUGAUUAGUGAUUCGAAAUGGAUGCUGGAAAUUGGAACAAAGUGUUUGUGUAAUUUGCUACCGCUUUGGGGGACUUGAUUUUCUUUUCUUUGAGUUAUGUCGUGAAUUCAAGUUACGCAGGAUUUAAGAAUUCUUCAAGACAUAGAACCAUCUUAAUUGGGGAUCGAAAACUUGAUGGACGAGUUGUUAGAUAGGUUGUGAGAACAUCAAGGCCCAAAGAAGAAGAGGAAUUCUUUAUGGGGCACAGUCACAGGCAUAUCUAGAGAAGAUACAGAGUUGAGUUGAAACUUGUUAAUUGAUCUUAAAAAGAUACAGAGCCCCUGACUUAAGGCAAAGACAAAUAUUUUAGAGAAGGUGGUGCUCAAGGGUUUUAAGGGAGUUUUCUCCGGAAAACAAAAGUCCAUAAACAACUUUUCCAAGGAACUUAAAUUCUCAAUUAAUUAAUUAAUUAUAAUUUGGGUUAACUUUCACACUAUUUAAGUUUUUUUUUAAUAAAAAAAUAUUACUAACAUCUAUAUAUAUAUUUUUUAGAUUGAAAACAUGACUUGUAGCGUAGCGUGGCUACAAAUCUAUUAUUUUCACUAUUAGAGACAAGUACUAACUUGUUAAAUCUUUUAAAAUACACUAGAUGGAGUAGAAGUUCUAGAUGGAGUAAAGUUGUUAAAAUAAGAAAUUUACUUUGGAUUAAUAUACAAUCUAACCAAUUGAUACAAUAGAUUAUAAUAAAUUUAGAGUAGAAGUUCUAAAUAAGAUGACUGUAAAUUAGCGGCACAAGUCGUUCUUCCAAUACGCCACUUCCCUUCAACCAAGGAUAUUCAUUAACUUAAUUAUUAUAAUUCAAAGUAGAUUGUUUCCUUCCAAACAUGUUCUUGCUUAUCAUCCUUUAUCAAUUUUAUGCCAACAUAUUAGUUUUUUGUUUUUUAUGAUCACUUAAUACCUUCAAAUUAGUUUUCAAGUUUUGAGAUUAAGUUCAUGGAUCUAUUCUUACCACGAGAUUAAAAAUGAUUUUAUAUUUAAUUAAAUAAAUAAAUAAAUUAGUAAUAUAGAUAUGAUAUUCUUUCUUAUCCAAUUACCACAACAGAACGACCUAGCGUUACCAUGUUGAAACAAUGCCUACCCAAAUAACUCAAGCCCAAACAAUGACAUGAAUUGGGUAAGCAAUGCCUCCUUUCUUUUUUAUAACAAAUACUACUGGGCUUCAGAUAAAACGCUUCAGAUAAAACAAGAAGAAGAUAAAAUCUUUAUAAGCUAAGAUAAAUUGAUAAAGGAGAUUCUCAAUAAGUUAAAAAUGGAGGAUUGUUAAUCUUUAUAAGCUAAGAUAAAUUUCUAAAGGAGAUUCUCAAUAAGUUCAAAAUGGAGGAUUGUACAAAAAUAAAUACUCUAGUUGAGUGUGGAGUGAAGAUGUCAAACAAUUGUCGCACCCGACAUCGCGGCGGCCUUAAAAAUAACAUCAAUGGAAAGAACAAAUUUCUGGCAUCUUGUUCUUUUAGGAGAAAAGGUCUUGUUUAAGGAGUCGCCACCUAGUAUUAUGGUCACUAGAAACCGUAACUAGUUAACAGAGAUUCUAUGGUUCGGGACUGGUUACGUAAAAGGAAAGAUAUUAUCAUCCCUUAAACGUCUUGCCUGAGGCAGACUGCAUUGCUGAUUUUGUUUUAAAUUGCCAAACGUUUAUUAGUUUAUGCUAUGAUAAUUUGCUUAUAAUAUUCCCGACUCUGGCGCCAGUGAAUAUUCAACUACGGAUACUUCCAACUCUGACGUUGGUAAAUAUUAUGUAGCUAUAAAAUAAAUUAGAUCAAUAUUUUUAUACCUGACUGUAGCAUAAGUGAAUAGACAAAUAAAAUAAAUUUAUUUUUACACAUACACAUAUUUUUUAUUUUUAAUGUAGCUAAAUAAAAAUAAAAUACAAUUAAAUUAGUAGUUUUGUUCAUGACUCUAGUGUCAAUCAAUAAACAAAUAAAAUAAAUUUAUAUUAUUUUUAUUCAUGCAUACAUAUUUUUUUAAUUUUUAAUUUUUAUUAUUAUUUUUUGGACCGGGUCCAGCUCAGUCCAUGUGGCUGGGCUGGACCCAGCAAGCUUAGCCGGGUCACAGGCUUGACCUGGCUGGCCAUUGCUUUUUAGUUUUUACCAGCAAGCGUGCGUGAACUGCUCACGCACGCCUGCUACAGGAGCAUGUAAUUAAAAUGCAAGGAGGGAAAGCGCAACUUACCUGGCGCUGCACUUGAAGAUGAGGAUGACGGUGAUGGAGGGCCGGCCGGCUGAUGCUAUUUUCUCCUCCUCUGUUUUCCUCUUGGUGUUCCUCUAGUCUUCCUUCUCUCUGCCCUCUUUUUCUUUACUUUUAUGGGUUCCUUCCUCUUCUCUGAUCUCUCUCUCUCUCUACUGUGUUUGCUCUGUUUUUGUUUUUUUUUUUUUUUGUGUCACCUGUGUUUGUUCCUUUUCUUCCCUUGGUUUCUUGGUUCUCUCUCUCUCUCCUGCGUCCUCGGUUUUCUUUUUUUAUGCUUCCCCCCAGUUUUUCCCCCUAUUUGCGUCUUCGUCCUCCUGUGCUCCCUUCGUGUUCUAGGUUCUCUCCCCUCGGUUCUGCCCUUUUUUUUCCCCUCGGUUCUGCCCUCCCCCCCCCUCGUCUGUGAAUUUUUGCUCUGAAGACGAAGGCGAAGCUGGGGUACGCUGGCUUUUUCUCUGGUUUUUCUUCCCCUGUUUCUGUUUCGUUUUUGCUUCUCUCUCUAUCCUACCGGUUCACUUCCUCCCGGCCUCUCUGUUCUUAUCUGGCUUUAUAGCCAAAGAAUGCCAAGCAUCCCUACGAUUGAAACGGCUUCAAGCCUUUAAUCCAGAACCGGUUCCUGAUGAAUAGCUUCUAAAACGAUUGAAACGGCUUCAAGCUUUUAAUCCAGAACCGGUUCCUGAUGAAUAGCUUCUAAAACGAUUGAAACGGCUUCAAGCUUUUACUCCAGAAACAGUUCCUGAGGAAGAAGGCGAAGACGCCGUUUGUGUGAUGGGAAUAGCCAUUUUUAAUCUGGUCAUAGAAGUUCUGAAAUCGUGUAAUCAAGCCCCUGGGUAAAUUGUAAUUGGACCCCUGUAUUUCGGCGUCUUUUACAAGCUAGUCCUUGAACUUUAACCUGUUGCAAUUUUGCCCCCAAUUAACCCCAAACUUUGAUAUUUAAUUAAGUCCCUGAUUUUAUUAAUUAAAUUAAUUUCAAGUUCAAAUAAGUCUCAAAACUUAUCAAUUCUCCAAUUAAGUCCUUGAUUUGAUUAAUUAAAUUAAUUCCAAGCUCAAUUAAGUCUCAAAACUUAUCAAUUAUCCAAUUAAAUCCUUGAUUUGAUUAAUUAAACUAGUCAAGAGUUUAAUUAAAUCUCUAAACUUCCAAUCAUGUUGCCCUUAAUCCAAAUUUAUUUUUAAUUUCAUUCUUUAUUUGUUUUUUCAUCAUCAUUUUUCAUUUUUUUAUUAUCAUUUCUCAAUAAAUAAUAAUAAUAAUAAACAUAAAAAGGGUCAAAAAUUGGGUUAUGACAACAAUGAUUAAGGGGAAAAGAUAAACUCUACAACAUUAAUCAAAAGCCUAGUUGAGAGUUUGAAAUAUUUAACAUGCAUUCAUCUGGAUAUUCUUUUUGGAGUAGGACUUGUGAGUAGGUUUAUGGAAACACCAACUAUGACUCACUUCAAAGCUUUGAAGCGAAUUCUUCGGUAUAUAAAAUGUACUAUUGAUUUUGGAUUAUUUUAUGGAUAUUUUAAUAGUUUUGAUCUUGUGGGCUAUAGUGAUAGUUAUUGAGUUAGAGAUAUGAAUGAUAAAAAGAGUGCUAUGAGUUUUGUUUUCUACAUUGGAGACACAUCAUUCACAUGGAAUUCAAGUAAGCAAUCUAUAGUCACUUUGUUAAUAUGUGAAGCUGAAUAUGUAGUUAAUACAUCAUGUGUUUAUCAUUUCAUAUUGCUAAGACGAUUAUUGAAAGAAUUGUGAAUGCCACAAGAGAAGCUUUUAUAUGAACAACUGUCAAAACCUCUAAACCACAUCAACCACGAAGCAGUUUACCUCAAGUAAGGUGCGCUAGGGAUGCUAAUACCUUCUCUAACCACAACCAGUCUCUUACCCUCGAAUCUCUGACAAGACCAUUACACCCGAGUUUCCUAGCAACCCUGAAUCAAACAACUAGCUAGGUGGCGACUCCUAAUUGACCCCCCGAUGUUGCGCGUCCAUGUGUGACACUAGGGAAGAAGUAGAUGUUGAUGAGGUCAAGUUAAUCACUGUUCUUGCAGUUAAGGCUGGUGAAGUUAUAGCAAUUGAUGGAGUUGUUGUUGAUGGUAACUGUGAAGUGGAUGAGAAAACUUUAACUGGAGGUUCAUUUCCGGUUGCCAAACAAGUGGAUUCCGUAGUGUGGGUUGGAACUAUUAACUUCAAUGGUGACAUCAAUACUUCUCUCUGACACUCUAUGAAUUGUUUUUGAAUGCAUUUUGGCUUUGGUGGUAAUGGGGUGUUAGAACUACUGCUUUAGCUGAAGACUGUGUGGCGGCUAAAAUGGCAAAGCUUGUGGAAGAAGCUCGAAACAGCAAGUCUAAAACUCGAAGAUUCAUAGACAAAUUCGCUCAAUACUAUACUCCAGGUUAGGCAUACUGCAGUCCAAUUACUCAUCCAGUUUUAUAGGCUUUCACUGAAGUAGGGUACCGAGAACGAGUAUUUGGACAGCCCUUCACAUCAUUCUUUUAGAAUGAAUCGUCAGCUCCAUUGCUAGACAAUCCUACCUUUCAUUUUGUGGGAAAGUUUUCAUUUUAGUUCAUUGUUCAGAUUUGCAGCGGUGAUAUUCAUGCCGGCUGGCGUAGCAGUGAUUCCACUAGCAUUACGAGUUCAUAAUCGUGAUCACUGGUUUUACUUAGCACUGGUUGUUCUAGUCAGUGCAUGUCUAUGUGCUCUUAUCCUGUCUACACCAGUUGCAACUUUUUGUGCACUAACAAGGGCAGCAACAGCUGGUCUUCUAAUCAAAGGGAGGGUACUAUCUUGAAACACUAGGCAAGAUUAAGGCAAUGGCUUUCGACAAAACCGGUACCUUAACAAGAGGUGAAUUUGUUGUCACAGAUUUCCACCAUCUCUGCGAUGACAUCAGCUUAUAGACAUUGCUUUAUUGGUAGAGUAGGUCUAUAAUUCUUCUAUUAUGGCGAACUUUACUCUUCACUGGCAAGUAAUGUUUAUGCAAGUUUCUAAGGGUAUCAAGCAUCGAGAGUAAAUCAAGUCAUCCAAUGGCAGCUGCGCUAGUCGACUAUGGAAGGUGGCAUUCAGUGAAACCAAAGCCUGAGGAUCUAGAGGAAUUUCAAAAGUUUCCUGGAGAAGGAAUCCAAGGAAAAAAUGAAGUGAAAAAUAUAUGUAUUGAUAACAGAAAGAUUGCUCACAGAGCUUCCGGAACAGGUGAAAAGCCCUAAUUAUAUCCUAGUAAGAAUAAACAAUAUGAUUCACAUUUCAAACUAACCAUCUAUAAAAUAACUUUCAUCUUGAAAGUUUUUGGCAGUCUUAUAAAAUAACCAUGAUUUCUAUCGAUUUGUAAUCUGAUAUGUAAAUCAAUCGGUUCCCUUAAACCUUAAACUAACAAUAUAUGAUGUGUCAUAAUUUAACUUUUUAUUUUUUUCAAAAAUAAAUAAAAAUAAAAAAAAUAAUUUAAAAAUUGAAUCAAGAUAACAUAAAUUAAGAAUUAAGGAUUAAUAAUGAUGAGAUUAUAAAUUUAAAAGUUAAUUUGAUCAAAACAUGAAAGAAUUGAUAAGUUUGAGGACUUCAGUAAACUUUAAAUUAGUUUAAAUAAUAAAAUCUAUAGUUUAUUUGAAAAAAAUCAAAUUUCAGGAUUAAUAUGGGUUAAAAUUAUAAAAAAUUAAAGUUAAAGAACUAAAAUAAAUAAAUGGUGAUAGCAUUAGGAGGGUUAAUUAAUUAUUCCAAAAGUAAUUUUAAAAUAAUUAAAAGUUAAAUAGCUAAAUAAAUAAUGAAUUAAUUAAAUUGAAAACCAAAAAUUAUUUUUGUAAAUGGUAACAGGUUUCAAUUGCAAUUUAUCUAGGAGAAAAAUUAAAAUAGCCUUUUCAGGUGAAAACAACGCUGUUUCAAAACAAACUAUUCAUCUCCUUCAUCCCACCGAUUCAGCAGAAACGGCAGUAGAUCAUGGUCACGUCUCUAUCCAGUAUCUCUCCUCCACAAUGUGCCCCUAACAGUCCAGUAAUGGGCAUUUUUUUUUUCUCAAGCAUGACAGGACCGUGCUAAUCUCCACACUAUCCCGGGAGAGAUGAAGGGGCAUUCUCUUGCUCUAUAAAGACCACAACACACAGAGACGAAGAGGCAGGGGGGAAAAAACAGAGACAUAGAGAAGACAGAGAGACUUGUCACCUUCCUCCAGCAAAAGGGAACUUUAACUUCCCCUCACCGUAGGUUGUUGAUCCAACCAACCAAAUACAAACCCAGAGAAACCAGGACGAACAGAGAAAGGCCACAAAGAAGGGGAGAACCACAGACAGAUAAUACAAAAAAAACACAGACGAAAUGAACAAACACAGAUAAUACAGAGAGAGACCAAGAGGAACAAGAACAGAGAGAGACAGGGAACAAGAGAAAGCAAAAAAAAAAAAAGAAAAAAGAGAGAAAACAAGCAGAGAAAAGCAAGAACAGAGGUGAAGUGAACAAAAAACAGAAGUAGAGGGGAAGAAAGUAACAUUGGUUAGCCAGCCCUCCAUCACCAUCGUCUUCGUCUUUAAGUAGCAACUCCAGGUAAGUCUUUCUUUCUCUUUCCCCCGCUUUGCAGCUUCAAUUCUUAAUAAUAAUUGUAAUAAUAAUAACAAACAUGGAUUGAGGACCAUAAGGAACAGCAAACGAAAGGCCUUUUGUCAUGAUAUAUAUAUAUAUAUAUAUAUAUAUAUAUAUAUAACAGUAUGUAAGAAAUGGUUGCGGUGGCGAAUCUAGAAGGUGACAGACCAGUAACAGUGGCUGUGGAUUAUUAGAAUUCCAACAAGAAGAAUUAUAAUCUGGACUGGUUCAAAAUUAAGAGUCAAAGAUGUUAAUUACCUCAAUGUCUAGGAUUCAAAGCUUUUCAGAAUCCACACACCAAUUCAAAGAUCUAACAAACCAUCUUCAUUUGCAUCCAUACUCCCAAUAGCUCUUUCCACUCAGUAUACGAAUUUCAUACAAAACUUUAACUAUAGCAAUCUGAAAAUGGAAAUAUAUAAAGUUAAGCAUGAAAAAUGUUUCCCAAGACUUCAUUACAAGAUUGACCGGUUAAAUUUGUGAUUCAAACUGAAAAUACUUGCCCGGAUUAACCAAUGAAGAAAUUUAAUUAUUAUAUCACACAGAAGCUAAAAUGAAAAACCGAAACAUAAAUGAAAAUUAAUACAACAUCGCUUGAGCAUGCCUUAAAACUUGUUUAAAUCUUAAAACCAGAAUACACAACAAAGCACCAAGUCUUAGUACCAUCAAGGCUAUGAAAAUCCAAACUUGGAUAAAAUGGAAAGAUUCUGCACCAGAAAAUAAUAGCAAUUGUUGAUGCUCACCUCAAUAAAGUAAAACCAAGCUCGUCGCCAAUAUGGAUUUAUCUACAGAACUGCACCUAUCACUAGCAAUUGCGAGUAUUUUCUGCAUUUGAAUUUGAUUAGCUUGAUUUUAUGGUUUAUGCAAAUUGAUUUUCUUCUGAAUAGACUGUUGUGAGUGUCUGAUGCCCUGGUCUUUGAUUUUAAUUAUGGUUGGCUUUUCACGUUUUCAUUUUGAUUGAUUGUUUCUCUAUAACGUGGAUCAUUUCUGUAGGUUUCAUGGUCUUAUAUCCAGAGACCGGAGCCUGAAGAAAACUCGUCUGAGGUGUGUCAUUGUUUUUCUGAUGUUAAUAAAUUUUAGAGCCCAAAGAUUGGAAAAACUAAGAAUGAUGCAUGAUUGGACAUGCUAAAUGAGUUGUUCUGGUUUUCAUUUGUCUAUCUUGUAUAAUACGUACGGUCGAUUUUGUGUUUGAUGCCAGGCCAUCUAUCAAUGCCAACUUCUGGGCUGUAUUUUUCUCUCAUUCAUUGACAAUUGCAUGACUAGGAUUUGACCACCAUUCUUAAUAUUUUAUGCAACCUUUGGAUAAUUUUGGUGGGACUGCAUCUUUAAUUUUCUCCACACUAUAGGCUAUACAUUCUUCCUGCGUCUUCUUUCAGCGUCACAUGCAUGGAAAACAAAUAUUUUUUAUGAAGUCCCCGUGGUGUAUAAAUGUUGUUUCUUUGACACGGAAUAGACUUGUUAGGAUGUUGAUAGGGAGACCUUGUCAUGUGCUUGAAGUUGUUGAUAGGGAGACCUUGUCAUGUGCUUGAAGUGAUAUUUGUGAUUUCAGGCAAGUGCUCUUGUUUCUUAGAUGACAGAUGAGAGAUAUGCUGUUUUCCAGCAAAUUAAGCAGCUUCAGCAAGAACUAGUAAGGUGCUUAGUAUGUGAAUAUAUCAUGUAAGCUUAAUUGCUGAAAUUCUUUUAGGACAACCUUGCCUUUAGAUCAGUUGUGACUUCAAGAAAUAUUAGGUACCAAGAAAAGAAAAAUACAAAGACAAAUCCAUAUUCUGUGAUGAAUUCAGUACAGGAAGAUAAUGUAAAUUUUUUUUAUGAAGUCCUCGUAGUGUAUGAAUGUUGUUUCUUUGACACUGAAUAGACUUUUUAGGAUGUUGAUAGGGAGACCUUGUCAUGUGCCUGAAGUGAUACUGUACAGCACUUCUGGAACAUCAGAGACCAGAGGCUGAAGAAAACUCGUCUGAGGUGUGUCAUUGUUUUUCUGAUGUUAAUAAAUUUUAGAGCCCAAUGUAUGAAGAUGAUAUUUGUGAUGAAUUCAGUGCAGGAAGAUAUUCCAACCUCAAUUUCCAAACCCAAAAAAAACAUCAUCAAACCCUAACUGAAAAGCUUUUAUCUAUGAUAAAACAAUGCAAAUCGAAAAACCUACUAAAACAAAUCCACACAAAUGCUUAUAAACUCAAUACCAAAACCCAAUUUCCUUCUUUCCAAAAUCGUUGACCUCAAAGACUUGGCCUAUGCAUCCCUUGUUUUUAAUCAACUCACCAAACCCAAUAUUUAUGCCUUCAAUGUCAUGAUUCGUGGGUUAGCUACCACAUGGAAAAAGUAUGAUUUUUGUGUUGAAUUGCAUUACAAGCUGAAGUCUUUAUGCCUAAAAGCAAACAAUUUCACAUACCCUUUUUUGUUUAUAGCGUGAGGGAAUAUUUGGGGUUUGGUUCAUGGAAAUAUUGAUCAUUGUCUGGUGUUCAAGGCUGGUUUGUAUGGUGAUGAGCAUGUAAAUCAUUCUUUGACUACAAUGGACGCAAGGUGUGGUGAAAUCGGGUUUGCACGGAAGGUGUUUGAUGAAAUGGGUGAAAGAGACUUGGUGUCGUGGAAUUCGAUGAUUUCGGGGUAUUCUAAGAUGGGUUUUGCUAAAGAGGCAAUUGGGUUGUUUAUGGAAAUGAAGGAGGAGGGGUUUGAGCCAGAUGAGAUGACGUUGGUGAAUGUUCUUGGGGCGUGUGGGGAUUUGGGUUUGGGGAGAUGGGUGGAGGGGCUUGUUUUGGAGAAGAAGAUGGAGGUAAAUUCGUAUGUGGGGUCUGCCUUGAUUGUCAUGUAUGGUAAGUGUGGGGAUUUGAUAUCUGCGAGGAGGGUCUUUGAUUCAAUGCCAAACAAGGAUGUUGUCACUUGGAAUGCCAUUAUCACAUGGUAAUUAGACCGGUUUUAUACUUUGUAAUUGUCACAUAUAGUGGAAUUGUGUUUAUUUCUGUUCCUUUAAACUAACUUGAAAUUUGAAUUCUUCCUAAUUAAUCAGCUAUGAAAUAAAAACCACACAAAUAUAUGAAAUUUGUAAAUGCGUUUCAAGUUAAUAUGAUUUUUUUUGUUCAACUAUCACUUCAUAUGUGUGCACAGAAUGGAGCUUCCAAUGAAGCAAUUGUACUAUUCAUUGGAAUGAGAGAGGCAGGUCCUAAUCCAGAUAAAGUCACAAUGAUUGAAGUAUUGUCUGCAUGAUCCACAAUAGGGGCCCUUGAUUUGGGGAAAUGGGUUGAGACACAUGCAUCAGAAAUAGAUUUACACCACGAUGUCUAUGUUGCGAGUGAAUUAAUUGAUAUGUAUGCAAAAUGUGGGAGCUUGGAUGAUGCACUCAGGGUUUUUGAGAGUAUGCCUCAUAAAAAUGAGGUCUCAUGGAAUGCCAUGAUUUCUGCUCUUGCUUUCCAUGGGCGGGCCCUGGAAGCAUUAUCAUUAUUCAGACGCAUGUCAAAGGAUAAUGGCACUGUUCAGCCUAAUGACAUCACUUUCAUAGGAGUACUUUCUGCAUGCGUGCAUGCCGGAUUGGUUGAUGAGGGCAGCCAAUUGUUUGAAUCAAUGAAAAUGUAAUUUGGAUUGGUCCCAAAUGUCAAGCAUUAUUCUUGCAUGGUUGAUCUUUGUGCGCGUGCAGGACUUCCGAAUGAAGCUUGGGACUUAAUCAAGAAGAUGCCUGGUAAACGAGAUGGAAUUGUGUUGGGGUCAUUGCUUGGUGCCUGUCAGAGGCGUAGAAAUGCAGAUGUUGGUGAAAGGGUCAUUCAAUUGUUUCCAGAGAUGCAAUUAUCUCAUCUAAGAUAUAUGCAAAUAUGAGAAGGUGGGAUGAUUCUGCAAAGAUGAGGUAGUGUGGUGUCUCUAAAACCUCUGGCUGUAGCUGGAUUGACGUUGGAGCUGGUGCUCAUGAAUUUCAUGCUGGUGGCAGCUUACAUCAUCAUUCGGAGAACAUAUACCAAUUGCUGAAUGAGGAAAUGAAGAGAGAAGGUUACAUUCCAAAUAGCGGUUGCAUAUAGAGGUGGAAAAGUUGAAAACUUGGUGGCCUCUUUCAGCCAUUGAGCAGUGCAUUCGGAGGGAUUGUAUCUUCUGGUUGAUGACUGCAGCCAAAGUGUUGAAUGGCAAGUUGUGUUCUUAGGAGCUUGAGCAAGGAUCUCUAUCUUGCUGAUAGAAAUGUAUAGUUUACCCUCGCAUGAGUAUGUUUCUGUAGAAUGAAAAUGGUUGUUGGAUUGUUACAUGCAUUGGCUGUAAAAUAAUGCAAGUUCAUUGCGGAAAGAAUGCUAAAACUAUUUUUUUUUUAGAACAUAAGGAGGGAAUGCAGGGGGAAUUUUGGUGGAUUGAAAUAAAAUGCACUUGACACCUUUUAAGUUUUUAAGGGAUGCCAUAAAUCAUUUUCAAUAGUCCUCUAUGAAAAUGGUUUCCAUAAAACAAACAAGGCCAGUUUAGUUUUUUAAAGCUCCCUUUGCUUUCUUAACUUUCUCCUUGCUGUGGCAAUUGCAGCUGGAAAUAUGAUAAAGCUGAAGGACAUGCUAGUGGAAGUGGAAGAGAAGAAAUGCAUUUUGAUUUGUCAGUGUUUUAAGCAAGUGGAAGUGGAGGUAAUUAAAGAUUCUAACAAGAGACUUAACUUUAUUUUCAUAUAUUCUUUCACCGGAUAUUUGUCAUUUGUCAGUCUAAUUGGAUCUAUUAUUCUUGUAAUUCUCAUUUUCUAGUUUUUUUAGAGGAAGUUUAAUUUUUUUUUCUUUUUACCUUCAGGAGAAAGCUAAUCAUAUCAAAUACAAGGUUUUCUAGUUUUCUGUACAUCACUUUUGGAACAUAUUUUUGGAAUAAAUUUGAAUUGAUAUUUGUGUUGUAAUGUAUUCCCUUUAAUAUUAAAUAUUUUUGGAUAUUCGUGUUGUAAAUUUGAAUUGACCAUCCAUAAAUAUCAAGUAAUAAUGUAAUAUACAAGGGAAGUAAAAACUCAUGCAAUUGAAAAGCCCCCACUAUAUAAAAACCCACAAAACCAAAUGGAACUAUAUAAAUUAAUACAACAUCGCUUAAGCAUGCCUUUAAACUUGUUUAAAUCUUAAAACUAGAAUACAUAACGAUGCACCAAGUCUUGGUACUAUCAAGGCUAUGAAAACCCAAACUUUGAUAAAAUGGAAAGGUUGUCUACUAAAAAAUAAUAGCAAUUGUUGAUGCUCACCUCAAUAAAGUGAAACUAUGCUUGUCGCCAAUAUGGAUUUAUAUGCAGAAAUGCACCUAUCACCAGCAGCACCAUGAUGUAUGCAACCCAAAAGGUAACAUAGAAAACCUCCAUAUCUAUGAAGCCACCAUUAUCUUCAUUGUUUGUUGAAGUUGGUGUUUGUGAUGGUGGCAUAGCCGCACCACAUAUUUUGGGUAGCGGUUCUCCACAAAGAAAAGGGUUGUCCUUGUAGCAGCUCGCCUCAAACGUGGCAAACUGUGCAACUCUCGCAGGAGUCUUACCGGAAAAAUUAUUGUGAGCCACACUAAAAACUUCUAGAGAGAAUAGUUCAGUAAGACGAGGUGGGAUUUCUCCAUCUAGUUUAUUGUAGGAAAGAUCCAAGCUCUCUAUUUCCUUCAAGUUCCAAAAUGUUGGUGGAAUUGUGAUGCAGACCAGGUAGCAAACUCAUAUUUGGCGCGCCUAGAGCACCCAAAAAAGCAAAAGAGCUUAUCAUUGAUGAGUCAUAACAUGCAUAAUCAGGCACUUUAAGUUUCUUACGUGACAGUUGGAAUUUCCUCCUGUUUCCUUAUUUAGCUUUUAUUCUCCCAAUUAUUUUAGGACUGUUUGUUUUAGAAGACUAAGAGUUUCUUUUCGUUUCUUCCUUUAGCUUUUAUUUCCACAUUAAUUCGAGACUGUUCCCAAUUUAAUUGAGUAGUUUUAGGAGUGUAAGAGAUUCGUUUUCUCUAUUUAUUUGGUUGUAAUCGCUUUGCAAUGGGCAGUUGGAAUAAAAACAAAAACUCCUUUGAGUAGUUAACUCAAAUAUCUCUCUUUCUUCUGUUUUUCUGCGGAAUUCCAGAUCAAAGAAACCCUUGUUUGUUAGAAUGCAUGUGAGUUCCGUUCUGGUCUGCAUCAGGUUGGUAUCAGAGCCAGGUUAGUUAUCAUCGUCAUGGCACCAAAGAGACACGCAAACCUACCGAACCUUCGUGAACAACCGUUGGAUGAAGUCUAUGAGUGCGAUGAGAUUGCACGACUACAACAUCAAGUCGAGACGUGAACGCAGCAGUUGGCAGCGUUAAUGGCUCAACAUCGGGAUCCGAAUCCACAAGACGUGGAAGAAGAGUCCGAAGGUGACGAAAAUCCAUUCGCCCCUCAACCAGUGUAGAGGAGGCCAGCGAAUGAUGAAUCAAGGCAUUAGGAGUCAGGCCUUAAGGUCGACAUACUAGAGUUCCAUGGUGGUUUGCAAGCGGAUGAAUACCUCGAUUGGAUCAAUAUGGUAGAGGAAGUCUUAGAGUUUAAACAGGUUCCAGAAGACAGACGGGUAGCGCUUGUUGCAACAAAGCUUAGAGUUCGGGUUGGGGCUUGGUGGCAACAGAUAAAGAAAACAAGGACUCUACAAGGGAGAGGAAAGAUCACGUGCUGGGACAAGAUGAAAAAACACAUGCGUUCUGCGUUUCUACCAUGCAACUACACACGGACACUCUACCAACGGUUACAAAAUCUAAGACAGGAAAACCGCUAAGUUGAUGACUACACUACGGAGUUCUAUCAAUUAGUAUCGCGAGAUGCGAUUGCAGAGGAUGAGUAGUUGCGGGUUGCGCGAUAUAUUGGAGGGCUGCGGAUUCAAUUCCAAGAUGUCCUGAAUAUGUUUGAUGUGUUGAGUGUGUCAGAUGCCCACCAGAGAGCAGUGCAGUUAGAGAAACAACUAAUGCGUGGAAAUACAAGGAGUAUGAACUUUGGAGGUUCUAAUGCAAAUACAAGCAAUAACAGCGGACGAACAGGGAGUAUGAAUUUCGGGGGAACCAGUACAGGUGGUGCAAGCAGCAGUAACGCACGAACAACCAUUCCACCAUCUACUACUAUCAAGCCUACGAUGCCUGCACACACAACGACACCGAACACAGGUUUUUGUUGCUUUAACUGCGGAGAACCAGGACACAGGUUCGCAGAGUGUAAGAAAGGAGCAUGGAGAGGGUUGUUUUUGGACAUCGAAGAAAUUAGUAGGGAACAAGAUGGCGAUGUUGAGGCAGAACCAGUUUAUGAUGAGGAAGAGCAUUUAGAGGGGGAUACUGGAUCGAUGUUAAUGGUCCGACACAGUUGUUUAGCGUCACGCGAGAUAAAGGAUGAUUGGUUAUGCACUAAUGUAUUCUAGUCCACUUGCACAAUCAACAGGAAAGUCUGUCGGUUCAUCGUUGAUUCAGGUAGUUGUGAGAAUGUAGUGUCCGAUGAAGUGGUCUGUAAACUACACAUGGCAACAUAAUCACAUCCUCGACCAUAUAAAUUAACAUGGCUAGAUAAGAAGAAUGAUGUUACAGUAUCAAAAUGCAGCUUGGUAUCUUUUUCAAUCGGCACAACAUACAAAGAUCAGAUUUGGUGUGAUGUGGUCUCCAUGGACGCCUGUCAUUUAUUAUUGGGCAGACCGUGGUUAUAUGAUCGACAUGUGAUGUAUGAUGGGUUCCUGAAUACAUGCACUUUCAUAUUUAAUUCAAUCAAAGUUGUGUUGCUACCAAAGAAGGAAACUACAGGUGGUAUUCUGACAGGAGAAAAAAACAAUUUAUUGACAAUGGCUAAAUUCGAAGCAGAGAUCAGAGAAUCUGGGGUGGUUUAUGUGCUGAUCGGAAGGAUGGAAGUUGAGAAUGGCACUAUUCCAAGCAGCGUGGAGCCAUUAUUGCAGGAAUUUGGAGAUGUAUUUCCGGCUGAGCUUCCUGAGAACCUACCCCUAUUAAGGGACAUUGAACAUCAAAUUGAUCUGGUUCCAGGUGCCAACUUGCCCAACAGGCCGCAUUAUCGGAUGAGUCCAAAGGAGCAUGAAGAGUUACGGUGCCAAGUAGAGGAAUUGCUAAUAAAAGGGCAUAUUCGGGAGAGUCUUAGCCCAUGUGCGGUGCCUGCCCUUCUGACCCAAAAAAAAAAAACAUGACAUGGAGAAUGUGUGUUGACAGCAGGGCCAUCAAUAAGAUUACGGUUCGAUACAGGUUUCCGAUCCCACAGUUGGAUGACUUGCUGGAUCAGUUGAGCGGAGCCAUAAUAUUCACGAAGCUGGACUUGAAGAGCGGGUAUCACCAGAUUCGUAUCCGGCCAGGAGAUGGGUGGAAAACGGCCUUCAAAACUCGAGAAGGACUCUUUAAGUGGAUGGUCAUGCCUUUCAAACUGUCUAAUGCCCCAAGCACAUUUAUGCGGGUGAUGAAUCAAGCCCUGCGGCCCUACAUUGGUAAGAGCGUGGUGGUAUAUUUUGAUGACAUUUUAAUUUACAGCAUUGAUCCUAGGAUGCACCUACAACAUCUUCGGGAAGUUUUGGUCGUGUUACGUAAGGAACAAUUCUUUGCAGCAAAAGGAAAAUGUGUGUUCUUAACUAACCGAGUCUUGUUCUUGGGUUACAUUAUCUCUUCUGAGGGGCUUUUAGUAGACGACUAAAAAAUUAAAGCCAUCAAACAGUGGCGACAACCGUAAACCGUGACUGAUGUCCGAAGCUUUCACGGGUUGGCAUCAUUCUAUCGCCGAUUCAUUCCUCACUUCAGUGGUAUAAUGGCCCCAGUGACUGAUUGUAUAAAGAACAAUAGCAAGUUUGUGUGGACACCUGAGGCCGAAAUAGCCUUCUAAGAAAUCAAGAAACAAUUGACCACCGCCCCAGUACUUGUCCUAUCUGACUUUUCAAAUCCAUUUAAGCUACACGGUGACGCCUCAAAGCUAGGAAUCGGAGUGGUUCUAAGCCAAAAUGGCAGGCCUGUCGCCUUUUUCAGUGAGAAGCUUUCAGGAGCAAAAUUACGGUAUAACACCCAUGACGUUGAAUUUUAUGCAGUGGUUCAAGCGGUAAGACAAUGGCGACAAUAUCUAUUUCUUCAGGAGUUCGUCCUAUUUACUGACCAUGAUGCCCUCAAACAUAUGGGGAGUCAAGAUAAAAUUUCAUCCCGACAUGCAUCUUGGGCUGCGUACUUACAACAAUUCACUUUUGUCAUCAAACACAAAGCGGGUACACUGAACCGAGUGGCUAAUGCCGUCAGUCGUUGAAAAAAUCUGCUGGUUGACAUGCGAAUCAAAGUAUUGGGUUUCGACUCCUUUCAAAAUUUGUAUGCAUCUGAUUUUUUUGCUGCUGUAAUAGAGAAAAUUCAUAACAACCAACAGAGUGACUUUGUUCUCCACGAUGGAUUUGUUUUCAAAGGAACCCAACUGUGUAUACCUGAGUGUAGUCUCCGAAACAAGAUCAUACAAGAACUGCACAUAGAAGGACAUGUGGGAAGAGACUGGACUUACUUGCUGGUGGCUACGUCCUACUUCUGGCCAUCCAUACGGAAGGAGGUUGGUCAUUUUAUUGAGCGAUGUAGGGUCUGUCAUGUUGCUAAGGGAGGAGCCACCAAUGCCGGUUUGUACAUUCCACUUUCUGUUUCAGUACGACCAUGGUCCGACAUCAGCAUGGAUUUUGUUUUAGGCCUCCCGCGUACACAACAGGGAUUCGACUCCAUUUUUCAUAGUGGUAGACAGGUUUUCAAAAAUGGCCCACUUUAUACCAUGCAAGAAAACAACAGAUGCUGUUAAUGUGGCUGAAUUGUUCUUUUGAGAAAUUUAUCGGUUGCAUGGCUUGCCAGAGUCAAUCGUAUCUGAUAGGGACACUCAUUUCCUAAGCCAUUUCUGGCGGAGUCAGUGGAAGAUGGUUAAUACUCACCUGAACUUCAGCAGUGCUUAUCAUCCUUAGUUCGAUGGGCAAACCGAGGUGGUGAACCGGUCGUUAGGUAACCUCCUUCGCAAUUUGGUGGGUGAUCAGAUAAAAUCUUGGGACAAGAAACUUGGCCAGGCAGAGUUCGCUCAUAACCAUACAGUCAAUCGUAGCAGCAAGUUCAGCCCCUUUGAAAUCGUGUGUGGGUUUCUCCCACGAUGUCCACUUGACCUAGCUAAUCUCCCGAGCAACACCGCAACACCAAAGUUAAUCAUAAGGCAGAGGACUUUGUCACUCAGUUGCAGGACAUUCACAACCUUACCCGACAGAACUUGCUGGAAUCUUUUGCCAAAUUCAAACUCGACACAGACCGCAAGCGGCGUCUUGUCAAUUUUGAGGUGGGUGACUUCAUUUGGGCUAUGCUAACGAAGGAUCGUUUUCCUAUAGGCGAAUACAAUAAACUAUCAGCACAAAAGAUUGGUCCCGUGGAGAUUAUGGAGAAAAUAAAUUCCAAUGCUUACCACCUCAAGCUACCUAGUCAUAUUCGCACAGCAAAUGUAUUUAAUGUCAAGCACCUAAUUCCUUUCCACGAGGAUUUGUCAUCAGAAGAGGAAGAUUUCUUGAAUUCAUGGUCGAAUUCUUCUCAGCAUGGGGAGGAUGAUGCAGACCAGGUAGCAAACUCAUAUUUGGCGCGCCUAGAGCACCCAAAAAAGCAAAAGAGCUUGACAUUGAUGAGUCAUAACAUGCAUAAUCAGGCACUUUAAGUUUCUUACGUAACAGUUGGAAUUUCCUCCUGUUUCCUUAUUUAGCUUUGAUUCUCCCAAUUAUUUCAGGACUGUUUGUUUUAGAAGACUAAGAGUUUCUUUCCAUUUCGUCCUUUAUCUUUUAUUUCCACAUUAAUUCGGGACUGUUUGCCAAUUUAAUUGAGUAGUUUUAGGAGUCUAAGAGAUUCGUUUUCUCUAUUUAUUUGGAUGUAAUCGCUUUACGAUGGGCAGUUGGAAUAAAAACAAAAACUCCUUUGAGUAGUUAACUCAAAUAUCUCUCUUUCUUCUGUUUUUCUGCGGAAUUCCAGAUCAAAGAAACCCUUGUUUGUUAGAACGCGUGUGAGUUCCGUUCUAGUCUACAUCAAAUUGGUCCAGUCAAACUAUUGUGCGAAAGGUUCAAUGCCUUGAUCAUACUGAGGUUUCCAAUUUUAGGAGGAAUCUUCCCGGUGAAAUUGUUGCAUGAGAAAUCAAUUCUUAUGAAGUACCAGAUAUUGUCGCCUCUAUAAGAAAGGGAUACAUUCUUCGUGUAAACUCGAAGGAUUGUUGUGAUGAGGACAUAGAAUCAUGAGAAUUGUAUGAUUGUGGGAAAUGAUGAGUAGAUAUCAUCCAAGAGAGGAUGUUACCAGAAAGGUGAUUAUGAGAAAGAUCAAUCAAGGUCAAUUGGUCCAACCUGGAUAAUUGAAUUGGGAUUUCACCUUCAAGAUUGUUAUAACUCAAGAGUAGAAAUCUCAAGUUAGAUAGCCUGUCAAUCCAUUCUUGAAUUGUACCAGUUAAAUUAUUAUGGGAAAGAUCCAAUGCCAAUAUCUCAGGGUGGGUCAUAAAAUGCCAUUGUGAUCGGUCCUUGGAACUUAUUUCUAGACAAAUAAACAUAUCUCAAAUUUGAAGAAGUGUUGAAUCUAGGUGGUAAACGACCAGAGAAAUUGUUCCCUGAUAAGUCCAAGAAUUCAAGAGAAGACAUAUUUCAUAUCCAUCCAGAGAUCUGCCCUUGCAAACUGUUGUUCGAAAGUAUUCUUCCAGUCAAAAGAUUGUUGGAUAGGUCUAACUCAAACAGCGAGUAAGGAAUGCUUCCAUUGAAACCAUUAUCAGACAUCUUUAAGACUUCUAACCCUGGCAAACGAUCUCCGAUUUUUAAAGGGAUUUGGCCUUGAAAGUGAUUCAUGGAUAUCCUUAGGAAUGACAAAUUCACAUGAGAAUUCUUUGGCAACAAAAAUGGACCCGAAAGAGAACAAUUUUCUAAAUAAAGUCUUUGAAGGUAUGUGUUGUUCUCAAUCAACCAAUUUGAAAACUCUCCCUUUAUUUGGAUGUUUGCAAGAUCCAAAAAUUGCAGGCUGAACUGAUGGUAAAAGAACUUGGGUAAUGCUCCCGCAUCUUGUCCACGACCUCUCAAAUAGAGGGACUCUAACUGGAACUUUGGGCUCAGAUUAUGAUCAUCUUCUUCUGCGAAUAUUUCAUUACCUGAACUAUAAAAAGACUUGAUUUUUGAAAGGUUGUAUAAUGGGCUCAAUGACAUAGGAAUCUUGAAGUGAUUGGAAGAGAGAUAUAGUUGUUGAAGGGAAGUCAAAUUUGUCAGACACGAAGGCAAGACUCCACUAAGAUCAUUGUCACUCAUAUCUAGCUCUUGGAGAUGAUUUAAGUCACAUAGGCCUAGUUACAUUAUAAUAUAGAGAAAAUUAAAACUUUGAGUGUCUAAUGGAAAAUACAUAACCUAGAGAGAGAAUAAGAGUCAUCAACCUUACCUUGAGCUGUAGGUAUUUGGCCAUCUAGUUUGCAGCUCCCCAAAAUCAAAGUUUUGAGAGAAGUCAUUGUUUCGAUGGAUUGUAAGAUGUUGUUAUCAAGAGUAUUGGAACUCAAAUCUAAGUAUUCCAAGUUCUUGGGAUUAAGGAAGCCUGCUGCAAUCAAUUAAACAAGAAAUUAUAAUUGCGUAGAAGGAAUUAAUUAUAAAGGAAAUGAAAGAGCAAGAGUGAUCAACCUUACCUUGGGUUGUAGGUAUUUGGCCAUUUAGACUGCAAUCCUCCAAUUUCAAUAUUUUAAAAGAGGUCAUCGUUCUGAUGGUUUGGAAGAUGCUAUUAUUGAGAGUACUGUAACUCAAAUCCAAGUAUUCUAAGUUCUUGAGAUCAAGGAAGCCUAUCACGAUCAAUUAAAUAGAAAUUAUAUUAGCGUAGAAGGAAUUAAAAUUAGAAAUAACUCAUUACCUAUCAAUCAUGGCUAAAGAAACAAAAAAUAUCAGGUAAGUGUAGAAAUUGUACUGUCCAAUUAAUAGAAGGUUUUUUUUAUACGUUUGACCCAAAAAUAGAAAUACACCAUUGUUAAUUUAUUCUCCUCCUAAAAAUAACACUCUCUAUAUAUGAAGUUAUAUUGUUUUUUAUGUUAUCAUUUUAAUUACAUUACACUGAAAUGGUGUUGAGAGAGGGGCAAGAUUAAAGUGAAAUAUUAUUCAUAUUAAAUGGAUGGUAGAAUUUUAAAAUAAUAAAGAUUUCAAUUGAGUUAAUUUCUAAAUUUGAGAUUUAAUUGUCUCUCCAAGACUUGUUUAGUAGGUUGCUAAAACAUAAAAGAAGAAAUCUAUACGACACCUAAUUGUAGCAGGUAUAGAAAGAAAUAAAAUGAUCAAUGAUAAGUAAUAGUGGAGUUGAAAUUUGUUAAUUUACCUCCAGAAGGUACAGUGCUAUUAAGUUCUUGCAAUGACAGAUUUUUUAGAGAAGGCAGUGCUCGAAAGCUUUGAAGAGAGUGUUCAUCUAGAGAACAAGAGUCCAGAUACAAAUUUUUCAAAAAGCUCAAAUUUUGCAACUCUGUUUGUUCAAUAGUAGCAAAUUGAAUUUUUCAAUUAAACCCAAAUAUAUAAACAUCACUAUAUAUGUAAUAUAACUUACUAUCACCUAAUAUUCUUCCUCUAAAAUCGUAGAAUCCCAGAUAAAGUGUUGUGAGGUUUGGGAAUGCUCCUAAUGAUUGCAAUAACUGGAAGCUACUUCCAUAGGUUAUGAUAUUCUCUAGCCAUAGAGUCCUCAAGUUGCUUGGACCUGCAAGUUAGUUAUGGAAGAAACAAGAAUAAUUAAUAUUAUCUUCAUGAUGCUACCAACAGGUAGGUAAUGUGAAUGUGUUACUAAUUACCUCUUGAGGCUACCAACUUGUUAAUAUUGUUGCCGCCCAGACCCAAUUCCUCCAAGCUAGUUAGAGAUUCUUGAUAUUUAUAUAUAAAAAAAUAAAUUAAUACAAUACUCAUUAAUUGUGUUUUUGAAAUUAAAUUUAAUAGAUAAUUGUGUUAAUUAAAUUUAAUAUUUAUAAAAAUAAUAGUAUAUAAAAAAACUAACCUUUCAAAUCUAUUAACCCCUCCAGUCUAUUAUAAUCUAAAUAUAGUGAUUUAAGAAACGGAAGCCCUUCCACAAAUAAUAGAAUACUGUUAUCGAAGCUAUUAUAUUCCAAGGCAAGGAACUCCAAAUUGCUCAAUUUCUGUAACUCAUAACCACCAAUAUAAAUAAAUAAAUAAAUAAAGACUUUAGGUAUAGAAUAAAAAAGAUAUUAUUGGAGUAAUUUAAUUAUGAUUGAUUAAGAGGCAUGUAAUUGUUACAGUGAAGGUUGAGGUGGUGAAAGUGAAAAUAAAAAGAGUAAUUGUUAAAGUGACGGUCUAUGUCUAUGUCAUGAUUAUAAUAAAAUUGGCAAUUUAAUAAUAUAUGUUGUGGAAUUAAACAACACCUUGUUACUAGAUAUGAUUUCUAUUUCUUCGAUGAUGAAUUACUGUAGAGAACUAAAAUUAAUGAUAGUAAUUAAACAACACCUUAUUUGAUUAAUUCUAAAAAAAUAAAAGUAAUAUAAAUAUUUUGUAAUACUUAAGAGAGCAAACCUUUCUUCUCAACCCAACCAGCUAUGCGAUUAUUCGACAAGGAGAGAACGUUGAGUUGUUGAAAAGGAAGAAACAAGGAGGCAUUCAAGUACCAAUCUCCCAGUUCCGGAUUCCAUACGCCCCCAAGACCGAGUUCGGUGACUCGACCUGUACUGCUGUUGCACUCAAUAAGUUCCCAAGAACAACAGUUGGCGUCUGCUUUCAUCCAGGAGGGAAGGGAGGUGCCAUUGGGAUAGUUAAGAGAAUCUUUGAGCUGCAAGAGAGCGAUCCUCUCUUCCUCCAAGCAACCAAGAGGCACCCAUCCUUGCAGCGAAACCGUUAUCACUAACACCGUGAACACCUGAAGGAACAGCCCCAUCUUAUUAAUAUCAACUAUUACAAUAUUAAUUGUUGCCAAUGGCAGCGAGGAGGUUAAGGCUUUUAUAGAGGACUUCACGGACCCAUGCCGUGCAAAAAACUGCAUAGUUGUUUUAAAGAAUUCCAUAUCAUAAUGAAAACAAUAUAUCUCAGUAAUUUGUAAAAAUAUCUUAAUGAAUAAAUAUAUAUCCACUUCAUAGUCUCUCUUGUUUUUUUCUUAAUUUUUCAUUAAUUUGGCCAAUAUAUAUUAAUAAGAGAAAUCCUACUAAUACAUAUUUUUGUUUUUGCUGUGAAUAAAUUUAGAUAUCCAACGCUGUUGUUGUUGUAGUCAAUUUUUCCAUCUAAACUGCGGUAAAGGUUGAUCAUCACAAAUGUUCAUCAUUCUUUAUAGUAUUCCAUUUUAAUUUUAACAAGGUUCAAGAUGAAUCUUUACUGAUUGAUUUGAUUCCGUGUUUUUUUCCCCUACUAAACGCUAACUUUUUAGUAUAUUUUUCCUGCUGAAUACUUUUUUUUUUUUUAGUUUUAACAAACUAAAAGGUUGUUUGGGAAUAAUUUUGAAAUUAUAUUUUUUUUUAAAAUAAUUUUUUUAUUUAAAAUUAUUUUUUAAGUUUUUUUUAUCCGAUAUAUUGAUGUUAAAAAUAUUUUUUUAAAAAAUAUUUUAUAAAUCAACUUCUUUUAUUUUAUUUUAGUACAUAAUUCAUAAUAACUGAAUUGAUUCAUUUAACAUUUAUCUUUAAUAUAUGUAUUCUCUUUGUUUCUUUUUAUAAUAAUCUUAAUCUGAAUAUCUUUUUAGGAAAAAAUACUUAUGGAAAAAUGCAUGAUGGCACCAUCCACCGGACCCAUCUUGAAGAAAAAUGGAUGAUGGAAAUGGUCUAACGGACCCAACUCAUGGAAAAAUGCAUGAUGGCAACUUCCAACGGGCCCAUCUUGUGAAAAAGAAGAAGCAGGUUGGCAUAGGACGGCAGUGUCCUCUUCAUCACAUUUGUUUUCGUUUUGAUAUUACCCUGAUUAUUUUUUACAUUCUAAAAGUAUUUUUUAAAAAUAAAUUUUAUUUUAUUUUUUGAUGUUCUUAUAUUAUUUUAAUAUAUAAAUGUUAAAAAUUAUUUUUAAAAAAUAAAAAAAUAUUAUUUAAAUAUAUUUCCAAACUAAAAAUACUUUAAAAACCAACUAUUAUCAUACUCCCAAACACUCCUAAGUAUUGCUUACAUUGAAAUUUUUUUUCCUUUGUCAAGACUUUACUGAUUAUUCUUUUAUAUAUUAUUGUAAAUGAAUUGUUUAAAAAUUUAAUUUUUUUAAUUUUUUUUUGACAAUUUAGUUUUAAUUAAACUUUAAUUGAUUUUAAAUUUUUAUAAAAAGAUAAAAUAAAAAAAUAAAAAAGAUAUAAGUGUCAUGCUAUAAAUUUUGCAAAGGAUGUAUUUUCCCAUACUAAAAACAAUAAAAAGUGAAAGUAAUUGAUGUAAUGACAUAGCAACCAUAAACAUUUGGAUGAUCAAAAUAAAAAUAACUCAUUUUUAAGCUAUAAUUGUUCAUUCGGUCACCUGUUCAAGUACAUAUAGAAAAUGAUAAUUUUACUGUACAAAUUUUUAGCACCUCGUCGUACUUUUCAUGAUAAUUAUUCUCAAGCUUAUGGGGCAAUAAUCUCACGAACUCAUCUUAUCUCGUAGAAAAAAAACUCUUGAAAAGCCCCCGCUGUAUAAAAACCCUUGAAACCAAAUGAAACUGUAUAAAUUAAUACAACAUGAGCAUGCAUUGAAACUUGUUUAAAUCUUAAAACUAGAAUACACAACGAUGCACCAAAGUCUUGGUACCAUCAAGGCUAUGAAAACCCAAACUUGUAUAAAAUGGAAAGAUUGUCCACUAGAAAAUAAUAGCAAUUGUUGAUGCUCACCUCAAUAAAGUGAAACCAAGCUCGUCGCCAAUAUGGAUUUAUGUAUAGAACUGCACCUAUCACCAGCAGUACCAUGAUGUAUACAACCCAAAAGGUCACAUAGAAAACCUCCAUAUCCAUAAAGCCACUAUUAUCUUCAUUGUUCGUUGAAGUUGGCGUUGGUGAUGGUGGCAUAGCCGCACCACAUAUUUUGGGUAGCGGUUCUCCACAAAGAAAAGGGUUGUCCUUGUAGCACCUCUCAUCAAACGUGGCAAACUGUGCAACUCUCGCAGGAGUCUUACCAGAUAAAUUAUUAUGAGCCACACUAAAAACUUCUAGAGAAAAUAGUUCAGGAAGUCGAGGUGGGAUUUCUCCAUCCAAUUUGUUGUAGGAAAGAUCCAAGCUCUCUAUUUCCUUUAAGUUUGAAAAUGUUGGUGGAAUUGGUCCAGUCAAACUGUUGUGCGAAAGGUUCAACGCCUUGAUCUUGUUGAGGUUUCCAAUUUCAGGAGGAAUCUCUCCUGUGAAAUUGUUGCAUGAGAAAUCAAUUCCUGUUAAGUACUGGAUAAUGCUUCCUCUAUAAGAAAGGGAUACAUUCUUCGUUGUAAACUCAAAAGAUUGGUGUGAUGAGGAUUCAUAACCAUAAGAAUUGUAUUGUUGAGGGAAAGGAUGAGUAGAUAUCAUCCAAAAGAGGAUGUUACCAGAAAGGUGAUUGUGAGAAAGAUCAAUCAAGGUUAAGUGGUCCAAUCUGGAUAAUUGAAUUGGGAUUUCACCUUCAAGAUUGUUAUAACUCAAGAGUAAAAAUCUCAAGUUCGAUAGCCUGCCAAUCCAUUCUGGAAUUGUACCAGUUAAAUUAUUAUGGGAAAGAUCUAAUGCGAAUAUCUCAAAGGAGUCAUAAAAUGCCAUUGCGAUCGGCCCUUGCAACUUAUUUCUAGACAAAAAAAUAUAUCUCAAAUUUGAAGAAGAGCUGAAUCUAGGUGGUAAACGACCAGAGAAAUUGUUCCCUGAUAAGUUCAAGAAUUCAAGAGAAGACAUAUUCCCAAUCCAUCCAGGGAUUUGCCCUUGCAAAUUGUUGUUUGACAGGUCGAAUGCUUGCAGCGAGCUAAUGUUACCCAACGAGAAAGGAAUGCUUCCAUUGAAACCAUUGUCAGACAUAAAUAAAACUUCUAACCCUGGCAAACGAGCUUCGAUUUCUGAAGGGAUUUGGCCUUGGAAGUGAUUCAUGGAUAUACUUAGGAAUGAUAAAUUCACAUGAGAAUUCUUUGGCAACAAGAAUGGACCCGAAAGAGAACAGUUUUCUAAAUGAAGUUCUUGUAGGUAUGUGUUGUUCUCAAUCAACCAAUUUGGAAACUCUCCCUUUAUUUGGAUGUUUGUAAGAUCCAAAGAUUGCAGGUUCACUUGGUGGUAAAGGAACUUGGGAAAUGCUCCUACACUUUGUCCACGACUGCUCAAAUAAAGGGACUCUAACUGGAACUUUGGGCUCAUACUAUGAUGAUCUUCUUCUGCAUAUAUUUCAUUACCUGAACCAUAAAAAGACUUGAGUUUUGAAAGGUUGUAUAAUGGGCUCAUUGACAUAGGGAUCUUCAAGUGAUUGGAAGAGAGAUCUAGUAGUUGAAGGGAAGUCAAAUUUGCCAGCCACGGAGGCAAGAAACCACUAAGAUCAUUGUCGUCUAUAUAUAGCACUUGGAGAUGAUUUAAGUCACAUAGGCCUGAUCACAUUAUAAUUUAAGGAAAAUUAAAACUUUGAGUGUCUAUUGAAAAUAUACAACCUAUAAAGAAAAAGAGAGUAAGAGUCAUCAACCUUACCGAUGGUUUGAAAAAUACUAUUGUUGAGAGCAUUAUAGCUCAAAUCCAAGUAUUUUAGGUUCCUGAGAUGAAGAAAGCCUGCCAGAAUUAAGAAAUUAUAUUAACAUAGAAAGAAUUAAAAUUAUAAAGGAAAUGAAAGAGUUAGCCGGAAGCAGUUUAUAGAAUGAAUAAUAAGUAUCUCAAUUGAAUUGAUUUCUAAAUUUGAAAUUUAAUUCUCUCUUAUUGGUCAAUUUGCUCUAGCAAGCAAAUUGCUAAUAAGUUGCUAGUUCCAGUAGUGGACAUCACGUGGUUCUAGUCAGGUUCUAGUCAAUUAUUGGUUGAGUAAUGUAUUUUUUAUGCUUUUUUCCUUAUGUUUUGUGAGUUUUUUUUUAAUUGACUCAUAAUUAGUUCCUAAUUUUUUUUAAUUUUCCAGAUUAAUAUUAAAAAAGAAAGGCUAUACAAAUAAAAUAAAAGUUCAAGUUUAAAAUAUUAUAAUUUAAUCCACCUAUAUCACACUAUUAUUUUUUCCAUAAUUGUUUUUUAGAAAAAGCCAUAAUUUGUUGACAUGUAAGGAAAUUAUAAGUGAAACUAUCAAAAUUGAUAUUCUUAAUUCCAUAUAUUUUUUUAGAGAAUGCUUUAUUGGCGAGAUGUUUCUUUGGUAGAAUUCAAGAUGGUCAUAAUUCCGGUCAAGUAAAUAUUUUAUCAGCUAAGGAAAAUGGGUUAUAUAUUCUUUAUCUACAUUAAAUUGAUAUUCUUUAGAGAAAAUAAAUCUCUUCACGACAUUAAUGAGUGUUAUUAACAUUCUUCCUUAAUUCUUUCUCUUUCUAUAGAUUGAUAAGACUUGGACCGUUCUUUCUCUCUAGAUUGCUUUUUAUAUGUCAUAGUAAAUUUAGAAAAUAAUAUUCUUUAUUUUAUAAUUUCAUAUUUUGUAAUCUAUCAUUUUCAAGAUAUUUAAAACACUCAAGUUGUCUUUUUUUAUGGUUUUGAAAAUAAUAAUAUCUUAUAAUAUCAAUCUAUCAGUGUAAAUUAUUUUGAUUGAGUCCACAUAUAAGAAGAUAAAAAAAAAGUCCACGUGUAUAUAAACAAAGUCUCCCGUGAUUUCUUUGUUCAACUCUCCUAAGAGGUUAUUAAAUACAAUAAUUCUUUACUAAUGAAUUAUGGCUAAAGAAAACUAAAAAAUGGGAAGGGAAGUGUAGAAAUUGUAGAGUCCAAUUAAAACAAGGAUUUUUGAUACGUCUGACAAAAAAAAAAAAAAAAACAUCAUUGUUAAUUUAUUCUCCUCCUAAAAAUAAUACUCUCAAUAUAAAAAGUUAUUUUUUCAUUAAUGUUUUUUUAUAUUAUCAUUAUGUUUACAUUACAUUAAGAAAGGAUCAAAAUGGAAUUGAAAUAUAGUUAAUAUUAAAUGGAUGGUAGACUUUUAGAAUAAUGAAGAUUUCAAUUGAGUUAAUUUAUAAACUUGAGAUUUAAUUGUCUAUCCAAGACUUAAUUUAGUGGGUUGCUAAAACAUAAAAGAUGAAUUCUAUAUAGACAAAUCUAAUUGUAGCGGGCAUAAAAAAAAAAACAGAAUGGUUAAUUUACCUUCAGAAAGUACAGUGCUGCUGAGAGCAUACAAUGAUAGAUUUUUUAGAGAAGGCAGUGCUCCAAGGCUUUGAAGGGAGUGUUCAUCUAGAGAACACUGAUCUAGAUACAAAUUUUCCAAUGAGCUUAAAUUUUGCAACUCUGUUUGUUCAAAAGUAGCAAAUUGAAUUUUUGAAUUAAUCCCAAAUAUAUAAACAUCACUAUAUGUAAAAUAUAUAACUUACUAUCAUCUAAUAUUCUUCCUCUAAAAUCAUUUUCUUCCAGGUGAAGUGUCGUGAGGUUUGGAAAUGCUCGUAAUGAUUGCAGUAACUGGAAGCUACUUUUAUAGGUUGUGAUAUUUUGUAGCCAUAGAGUUCUCAAGUUGCUUGGACCUGCAAGUUAGUUAAGGAAGAAACAUAUGAUUAAUAUUGUAUAGAUAAUAUCUUCAUGAUGCUACUAGCCAGGUAAGUAAUGUGCAUGUGUUACUAAUUACCUCUUGAGGCUACCAAUUUGUUAAUAUUGUUGCCGCCCAAACUCAAUGCCUCCAAGCUGCUCAGAGAUUCUUGAUAUUUAUAAAAAUAAUAGUUAAUUAAUUCACUACAUCAUAUAAAUUGUGUUUUUUUAAUUGAAUUUAAUAGAGAAAAGAUAAGUAUAUAAAAAAACUAACCUUUCAAAUCUAUUAUUCCCUCCAGUCUAUUAUGACCUAAAUAUAAUGCUUUAAGAGAUGAAAACUCCUUCACAAAUGAUAAAAUACUAUUAUCGAAGCGAUUAGAUUCAAAGUCAAGGAUUUCCAAAUUGCUCAAUCUUGAUAACUCAUAACCACCUAUAUAAAAAAUAAAUAAAUUAAGACUUCAUGUAAGAAAAAAAAAAGAUAUCAUUGGAGUAAUUUAAUUAUGAUCGAUGAAGAGGCAUGUAAUUGUUAUAGUGAAUCCAUGUAAAGAGGUUGAGGCGGUGAAAGUGAAAGUAAGAGAAGUAAUUGUUUCACUGAUGAUGUCAUGAUUAUAAUGAUUUCUAUUUCUUCGAUGAUGAAUUACUGUAGAGAACCAAAAUGAAUGAUAGUAAUUAAACAACACCUGAUUUGAUUAAUUAUAAAAAAAUAAAACUAAUAUAAAUAUUUUGUAAUACUUAAGAGAGCAAACCUUUGUUCUCAACCCAACCAGCUAUACGAUUACCGUACAAGUAGACACCGUUGAGUUGUUGGAAAGGAAGAAACAAGGAGGCAUUUAAGUACCAAUCUCCCAGCUCCUGGUUCCUUGUGCUCCCAAAGAUAGAGAAAGGUGACUCGACCUGUACUGCUGUUGCAGGUAAUAUGUUCCCAAUCACAGCAGUUGGCGUGGGCUAUUCUCCAGGAGGGAAGGGAGGUGCCGUUGGGAUAGUUAAGAGAAUCUUUGAGGUGCAACAGAGCGAUCCUCUCUUCCUCCAAGCAACCACGAGGCAGCCAUCCUUGCAGCGAAACCGUUAUCACUAACACCGUGAACACCUGAAGGAACAGACCCAUCUUAUUAAUAUCAACUAUUACAAAAUUAAUUGUUGCGAAUGGCAGCGAGGAGGUUAAGGCUUUUAUAGAGGACUUCACGGACCCAUGCCGUGGAAAAAACACUGCAUGAUGGCAACGGACACAUCCCCUCGUGGAGAAUAAAUAUUUAUAAUUCAAUGUUCAUGACUUUCUUAAGCAAAAUAAAUUUUAAAAAAAAAUCUGAAAAAAAAUCUCAGUAAUUUUAAAAAAUAUCUUAAUGAAAAACACACUUAGCAGGCAGCCACAUAAGUUAGAAGCUUCAUUUUUUUGGUAAAAAACAAAUCCACUUCAUAGUCGCAUCCUCUCUCUCUCUUGUUUUUUUCUUAAUUUUUCAAUUGGCCGAAAUCCUAUUAAUAUUUUUUUUCCAGCUCCUAAUAAAAAACCAAAUAUUUGUGCUUUUACCCAACAUUUCCCAAUCACAACAGUAUUUUUUUCCUACUAAACACUAACUUUUUAAUAUAGUUUUCCUCCUAAAGACUUUUUUUUUUUUUAGUUUUAACAAACUAGAAGGUUGUUUGAGAAUAAAUUUGAAACUGUGUUAUUUUUAAAUAAUAUUUUUGUUUAAAAUUAUUUUUUUAUAUUUUUUUUAUCGUUAUGAUAUAUUGAUGUUAAAAUUAAUUUUAAAAAAAUAUUUUAAAAACAACUUAUUUUAUUUUAUUUUAAUACAUAAUUCAUAAUAUCUGAAUUGAUUCAUUUAACAUUUAUCUUCAAUAUAUAUAAUCUUUUUGUUUCUUUUUAUAAUACUUUUAAUCUAAAUAUCUUAAAAGAAAUAUGACAAGUUUUUUUUUUAACACUACUGAUCACUUCUUUAAAUAUUAGUUAUUGUUGAUGAAUGAGAAUUUAAGUGAAUAGAAUUUUAGAAUUUUUAGAAGAAUUAAUUCUCUCAAAUUUUGUCAUAUUUUCUGUUUUUAUUUUUAUUAAUUUGGCUUUUCUUUCAUACUUUUUAAUAUUUUUUGGAUGAGAAUGAAAUAUUUUAUAUAAACUUUAAAAACAACUCUGAGAUUUAUUCAUAUAUAUUUUGUGUGAUUCUUUACUUAUAUAAACGGAUGAAGCAUGGAAAUUAUAGUAUUUUUUUUUAUAAUACUUUUAAUCUGAAUAUCUUUUAGGAAAAAAUGCAUGAAGGAAAUGUUCUCUCGGGCCCACCUCAUGGGGGAGAAAAUGCAUGAUGGCACCAUCCAAUGGGCCCAUUCAUGGAAAAAUGGAUGAUGGCAUAGGACAGCAGUGUACACUCUUCAUCACUAUCCCUUUCGUCUUCGUUUUCAUAUUAUUAAGUAUUGCUUGCGUGGAUUUCUUUACUCCGCAAGGACUCACUAUUUUCUCGAAUAAUAUUGAGGAUGGAUUAUAUUUUUAUUUUUAUUUUUAUUUAUAUUUUUUUGAAUGAUCAUUUAAUGUCUUUAUAUUAGUUUUCAAGUUUUGAGAUUAAGUUCAUAGCUAUUUUCUCUUCAAAGACAAGAAAUAUAUCACAAGAUUAAAAACUACUUUAUAUUUCAUUAAAAUAGAUAAAUAAAUAACUUAUAUAGUUACAGUAUGUUCUUCUUAAGCAAAUAAAUUGAUUUCACGUGAUAGUAACCUGAAGGAUUUUCUUCCGAUCAAAUAAACAAAUUUAUUUUAAUUAUAAAUUAUUAUUUAUUUAUCAAAAUAAUUAUUAUUUUGGACGGAACUUUUCCCCAAAAAACCUAAACUCAAAGUUAUCAGGAAAAACAAAGAAAAUCGAUGGACUUCUUAUAAAAAUAUUUGAUUGAUAUGAUACAAAAAAUGGGUACAAUGAUAUGAGAAAAUAAAAGUUUAUAUACUAAAAUUAAUAAAAAGUGAAAGUAAUUGAUGUAAUGACAUAGCAACCAUAAACAUUUGGAGGAUCAAAAUAAAAAUAACUCAUUUUUAAGCUAUAAUUGUUCAUGUAUAUAUGGAAAAUGAUAAUUUUAAUAUACAAAUUUUUAGCACCUCCUCGUACUUUUCAAAAUAAUUAUUCUCAAGCUUAUGGGGAAAUAAUCUCUACGCCUGGAGGAGACGCGCCGUCACUGCUCUCCUGGACUUUUUAAAAAUCUAUUUUUGUAAUUUUUAGAUGUUUGAACAUGUAUUUAAAUUUCUGUUAAAUGUUUUUUAGUUUAUGUUAUUAUGUAAACAUGUAAUAUAAUAAAUAUAGUAAAAAAGUGAUGUUAGUGUGUGUGUUUGUAUUUAUUUUUUUAUGAAUGUUUUCUUUUAAUGUUAAAAUUAAAAAAAAAAAACAAAAAGAAUUAAGUGUUUAAUUUGAAUAUGGUUAAAUAUCUCAAGGACAAAUAAAAUCAUGUUAUAUUUCCCGUGAAAAUAUAAGAACACGUUUCUACAUCUAUUUUGGGAUUUAAUAACUGAUUUAUUAAAGCCUUAAGAAUUUGACUAAUAUUUUAAAUUUUCAAAUCACAUCAAACCGCAAAGCAACUUACCUCAGGUAGGGUGCGAUAGGGGUGCUAAUACAUUCUCUAGCCACAACCAGUCCCUUACCCUCGAAUCUCUGACAACGACCAGUACAUCCGGGUUUCCUAGUAACCCUCAAUCAAAUACUAGAUGGCAACUUCCAAGAACCAAAUCAAGCAAACAUACUGAAAAAUCACCAUAAACACCGCGUGGGGGACGUGCGACACAUAUAAUUUUGUGGUACUAUUAUUUAUAUAAAUGGAUGAAGCAUGAAAAUUAUAUAUAGAAGGCAAUUGUUACAGACUAAACUUUGAAGAUGAAAUUGAGAAAUUUCAAGGAGCAAACUAAAAAUUGAAUUAUAAAUAUUAAUCACUUGAUGAAAAAUUAAAUAUGAAAACAAAUACAAUAAAAAAUGAUAAUAUAUUAAUCUAAGGUCGAUUAUCCAUUAAUUAGUCGGUGGUUGCAUUCUAACACACUAAAUUGAGAUUUUUUUAUACAAGAUGAAAUUAAAACAUAUUAUUCUUUCUCAAGCUUACGGGGCAAUAAAUUUAUUUUAUUUAAAAACUUUUGAUUUUAUGAAAUGGUUAAUAAAAUAUCUACGUUAGUUUUGUUAUAAAAUAAUUACAUCACAGUUAACUCCUUUUUAAAUAACUCCUUUUAGAUGAGUUUGAAUUGAUUUUAUUUUAUUUUUAAUUUUUGAACUAUAAAAAUAUAGAUAAAUUUAAAAUAAAUAUUUUCUUACAAUAGUCUUCGAGUGAAAUUAGAGAAAAAAAUUAUAAUUUUAAAAUAAAAAAUACAUAAAAACAUGUUUUUCUGUUCCCACUAUUUUUGUAUUUUAUACCAUGGUAAUUAAAUGUUGCCUGAUUAACAUAACACUAAAUUAUAAUAUAAAAAAUUAAUUGUGGAAUGGCAUGGUAGUUGGAUCUAUUUGUUUUUUUUUUGUGUGAUUAAAUUAAUUAUCUCGAUAAAUGACACAUGUGUUUGGGGGAAAAUAAAAUUAAUUAUUGCUAGAGAGGCACUGGAGCAAUUGAUAUUUUGCAAAGGCAUGGAAUUCGAUGCCAAGCAGGGAAUGUAAGAUAGUUGUUAGACUGCUGGCGUCAAGGUGAUAAAGCAAUUAAUUAUAGUGAAAAUAAAAUAGUUAACAACGACAAGCUGAAUUCAAUUUAGAUUUGAAAAUUCUAUUUGGCAAUGUAUGAUUUGAAAAUUCUAUUUGGCAAGCUGAAUUCUUUUGAAAAUUCUAUUUGAACGGUAGGCGAGCCGAAUAAAAAAUGGUAUUUAAAGUUGGCUAGAAUUAUUUUUGAAAGUUUUUUUUAUUUAAAAUUAUAUUUAAAUAAUAUUUUUUAUCUUAAAAAUAUUUUAAAAUCAGCUUAUCAAAAAAAUUAAAAAAAUAUAUAAAAAAAUUAAAUAAAAAAAUCAAGGGCAUAUCUAAGAAAAGUCUAACAAGGAACGAAGAUAUUUGAAGAAUAACAAAAAAUAAAUCAAAUCAAACCAAAGCCGUGGAAUUAGAAACCAAAAGAUAGAUCAAAUUUGUCUCUAUAGUGAGCCAUCUUAGUGGUGGGGCAAAAACUUGAUGGAGAGAUUAUUAUUUAUUCAUCAAAACAAUUAUUUAUUCUGGAGGAAAACUCAAACUCAAUUUCAUUUGAUCAAAGUCACGCCAUCAAAGAAAACCAGAAAAAAGUAUUUAAUUGAUAUAAUGAAAAAAAUUGGUAUACUAAUAUAAAAAAAAUAAAAAUCUACUAAAAUGGGUGGUACUCAAACAGCUUUGAAUAUUCACAUUCCUUAUCUUCCGGGCAAGAGAAAUCAAUAAAAAUAGAUGCACUAUUAUGUAAAUGGAUAGAGAUAUCAAUACCAAAAACAUGGACAAAAAUGGUUUUUUUUUUCAAUUUAAAUAUUUAUUUUCAUGAAAUCUGAUAAAUAAAAUAUCUUUAUUAGUUUUAUUAUCAGAAUGAUGAUGAUGUCAUAGUUAAUUUUUUUUUAAAUGAGUUUGGAUUGAUUUUAUUUUAUUUUUAAUUUAUGAAAAGUAAAGAUAUGUAAAAUACUUAUAUUUAAUAUUUUUUUUAAUUCAAGUACUCUAAUUGAUUUUUUUUCUAUUUGAUAAACUAGUGUCUGACCAUAAAUUUGUUCACAGAAUAAAUGUAAGGUUUACAUAAAGUCACUAUGGAAUAAUAAGAAUAUUAACAAUAAGAUUUAUUUAUAAAUAAAUCAUAGAUUUAAUGUCUCUAAAUUUUAAAUUUGGUGUGAAUAAAUUCAAGGGAUUUACAAGAUAAAUAGUACAAUAUUAGCCUUCAAGAAUCUCUCACUCUUCCUCCUCAAGGAAUUAAUUAGUGGGUAGUUAGUUUGUUUUAUUUGCUUCACGUUGUCUAUAGUUUUAUCUAUAUUAUUGUCACAAAUUAGUAAUAGUUAAAACUAGUGAUAUUUCUCGCUUGUUAUUAAAACUAUAGUUUUUUUUUAAUUUGUUUCUCAAUUAUUGAAACAAUAAUAUUUUUAACAUUAUUAUUCCCAUACUUGUUUAUAAAAAUCAUUUCUAUUAAACCACAUUAACAUGUUUAAAUUAAAGUAUAUUAUCCCUUCUCAAUGAUGGAAAUGGUCUCACGAACUCAUAAAUGCAUGAUGGAAAUGGUCUCACCGGCUCAUCUCGAGGAAAAGCUACGCUAUCGGGGACCAAAGCGCAUAUGGUAAUGGUCUCAUGAGCUUAUAAAUGCAUGAUGAUGAUUGUCUGUCGGACCCAUCCUGAGGAAAAAUACUUAUUUCGUGUACUCUUGAGAUUGGAGGAUUGCCACCAUAUAUUUUCGCUGUUGGAGAAAUACAGUAGUUUAGGGAAUUUUUUUAAAUAUAUUAUAUUAAUAUAAUUAGAGGUGCAUCCUUAAAGUUAUUUGGAUAAAAAAAUUAAUUACUUUUUCAAUUUAUAUACAAUCUAACCCAUUGAUAUAUCUUUCUGUCGAAUACCGUAGAUUUGGAGCUAAAACUCUAAAAAAAGUCAGCAGCAAAAUUUGUUUUUUCAAUGUGCUACUUCUCUUCAAUAUAGUAUUUUAGUCAAGGAUAAUUAAUGACUCUUUCUCAAGAUUCUCAGCUUUGGAAAAGAUGAAUAUUUUCAGCUUUUGGAACCUCAUGAAGCAAAAAAGAUUACUUGAGGUGAGCUUAUUUAGGGACAAAUUAAAAAUCCAAUAACAAACAUAUACCUCAUUAACCCUUUAUUCAUGUUUUUCCAGAAGAUGACUUGACUUGGGUCAACGUUUACGAAUAUAAGUUUCGGUUAAUUAUUUUUAUGCAAUUCAAUAUUUUCUUUUGUACUCUAUGAUCCUGAUUAACAUGACUUUCUUAAGUUAGUUGUAGUGUAUAGAAUUUUUUUUAAAAAAAACAUUCUAAAAAUAUAAUUCACAUCCGAGUUAAUGCAUUCACAAAUUAAUAUAAUAGGUUUUAAUACUUACUUUUAAUAUUAUAUAAAAUGAAAGAUAUUAAGAGUUGAUUAAUUAAGCUAUAUAUGUUUUAAAAAAUCAUUUCUAUUAAACCACAUGAUAUAUUUAAAUAUGUGCAAUAUGUACAUAUUUUGAAUUUAAUAUUAGUAAUUAUAAAGUUUAUUUAGUUGCUCCACUUUUGUUCUCUUCUCUUUCUCUCAUUAUUGUUUUUUUUCUUCUUCUUUUGAACUGUCUUGUCUCUCUUUCUUUUUUUGUCUUCCAUCUCUUAAUUCUUCAAGAUUCAAAAUACAUGGCAAUUUACAUUAGGAAUGUUGAUGAAAAAUUAAAUAUAACCAGAAAACAAAUAAAAAAUAAUAAUUAUUUUUUAAAGUAUUUUCUACUUAAAAAUAUAUUAAAAUAAUAUAAUUUUUAUUUUUUAAAAAUAUUUUUGAUAUCAAUAUAUUAAAAAUUAAAAAAUAUAUAAAAAAAUAAUUUUAAAUAAAAAAAUAAAAUUUUAUCCAAUUUUUAUUUGGCCAACCGAGGCAUAUCCAAGAAAAGUCUAUCAAGAAACGAAGAUAUUCAGAGAAUGACAGAAAAUAAAUCAAACCAAAAGAUGGACCAAAUUUAUCACUGUAGUGAGCCAUCUUAGUGGUGGGGCAAAAACUUGAUGGAGAGAUAAUUAUUUAUUUAUCAAAACAAUUAUUUAUUCUAGAGGAAAACCCGAACUCAAUUUCAUUUGAUCAAAGUCACAUCAUAAAAAAAACAGGAAAAAAAAGGUAUUUAAUUGAUAUAAUAAUAAAAAAAGUUGGUAUGUUAAUAUAAGAAAAAUAAAAAUCUAAUUAAAAUAGAUGGACUCGAAUAGCUCUGAAUAUUCAUAUACCUUAUCUUGUAGGCAAGAAAAAACAAUAAAAACAGAUGAUGUUCUUUUCUCUGGCUGUAAAUGGAUGGAGACAUUAAUACCAGAAUCAUGGACAUUUUUUUUUUCGAUUUGAAUACUUAUACUCACAAAAUCUAAUGAAUAAAAUAUUUUCAUUAGUUUUAUUAUUAGGAUGAUGAUGUCACAAUUAAUUGUUUUUAGAUGAGUUUGGAUUGAUUUUAUUUUAUUUUUAAUUUUUGAACAGUAAAGAUAUAUAAAAUACUUAUACUUUAUAUCUUCUUUUAUUCAAGUACUCUAAUUGAUUUUUUUUCCUAUUUAAGUACUUGAUAAACUAGUGUCUGACCAUAAAUUUAUUUACAUUGAUUUCUUGAAUAAAUGUAAGGUUUAUAUAAAUUAACUAUGGAGUAAUAAGAAUGUUAACAAUAAAAUUUAUUUAUAAGUAAAUCAUAGAUUUAAUUUCUCUAAAUUUUAAAUUUGGUGUGAAUAAAUUCAAGGGAUUUCCAUGAUAAAUAGUACAAUAGUAGCCUUUCAAAAAAUUGAGAAUCUCCCACUCUUCCUCCUCAAGGAAUUAAUUAGUGGGUAGUUAAAACUAUAGUUUAUGUUCUAUUUUCUUCACUUUGUUUAUAGUUUUACCUAUAUUAUUGUCACAAAUUAAGAAUAGUUAAAACUAGUGAUAUUUCUCGAACAUUGUUAUAAGAAAAUUUUGGAAAUUUUUAGUCAAUUAUAAGAUAAUAAAAAUAAAUAUUAACAAAAAGAAACAAUAAAUAAAAUUAUAAAAGUAAAAUAUGUUUUUUGAAUUAUGUAAUUUUUCUUUGUUCUCAAAACAAAAGGAGUUUUUAUUAGCAUUAUAGUUUAUUGAAUAAAAAGUAACAAUAAUAGCCCCAUGUUAAUAAUUUAAACUAAAAAAAAAAACAUAUAUUUUCAAGCAAUCAAGAGGCUGCCAUCCUUCCAAGAAAACCAUGGUUACUAACGCCAUCAACAUCUGAAUUAAUAGCCCCAUCUUAAUAUCAAAUAUAAAUGGUGAUCAAUAUUUGUUAUAGAGGGCAGCUAGCGAGGAGGUUCAGGCUUUUAUAAAGGACUUCACGGACCCACCCCGUGGAAAAAACCACCAUUACAAAUAUAUUUGAUUAUAUUUGUGUGUAUUUGUUUUUUAUUUAAUUUUUUUAAAUAAAAAACAUGUUAAUUAAAAAAAAUAUAACUCACGGUGGUGAAGCGAUGGACAAAUAUCUGGUCUAUGUAAUAAAAUGGGUGGCACUUGAAGGUUCACAUACCUUUUAUUUUUAUUAAUUUGGAUUUUCUUUCCUACUUUUUAAUAUUUUUGGGAUGAGAAUGAAAUAUUUUAUAUAAACUUUAAAAACAACAGUACUGAGAUUUAUUCAUAUAUAUAUAUAUAUAUAUAUAUAUUAUGUGUUACAAUUACUUAUAUAAAUGGAUGAAGCAUGGAAAUUAGAGAAGGCGAUUGUCACAAACUAAACUUUGAAGAUGAAAUUGAGAAAUCUCAAGGAGCAAACUAAAAAUUUCAGAAGGCAAGAAAGAAGAUAAAAAUAAUGGAAUCACAUCACUAGCAGUAUAACGUUCCCUUUCAAUUAGAAAGCUUAGAAAUAAAAAAAACAAAAAAACUGCUUUCUACGUAUACAGCACUUCUCCAUUUAUAUCUUCUCCAGUAUAAAGUAAUCUAUUUUUUUUUAUUAAAAUUUAAUUCUUUUCAAAAUCAUAUUAUCGGAAAAACAUGAAAACCGAUGGACUUUUUAUGAAAAUAUAUGAUUAAUAUGAUACAAAAAAUGGGAACAAUGAUAUGAGAAAAUAAAAGUUUAUAUACUAAAAUUAAUAAAAAGUGAAAGUAUAUCAAAAAAUUUAUAUGAUUGAUAUGAUACUGAUAUUUUGAACAUCAAUAUAUCAAAAAAUUUUAAAAAUAAUUUUAAAUAAAAAAAAUCAAAUUUUAUUCUAUUUUCAUUUGGAACACAAUACCAACCGGGCCAUAGCCAAGAAAAGUCUAUCAACGAAGAAGAUAUUUGGAGAAUGACAGAAAAUAAAUCAAACCAAAGCCGUGGAAUUAGAAACUAAAAGAUAGACCAAAUUUGUCUUUAUAGUGAGCCAUCUUAGUGGUGGGACAAAAACUUGAUGGAGAGAUAAUUAUUUAUUCCUCAAAACAAUUAUUUAUUCCGUAGGAAAACCUAAACUCAAUUUCAUUUGAUCAAAGUCACACCAUGAAAGAAAACAAGAAAAAAGUAUUUAAUUGAUAUAAUAAAAAACAAUUGGUUUACUAAUAUAAGAAAAAUAAAAAUCUACUAAAAUUAAUGGGUGGCACUCAAACAACUCUGAAUAUUCGCAUUUCUUAUCUUCCAGGCAAGAAGAGACAAUAAAAGCAAGUGACGUUUCUUUUCUCCGGCUGUAAAUAGAUGGAGACAUCAAUACCAAAAUAAAUAUGAAUUAGUUAGAAUAAUUAUAACUAACUAAUAUAAUAGGUUUUAGUAUUUACUUUUAAUAUAUAUAAAAUAAAAGAUAUUAAGAGUUGAUUAAUAUUGUUAAGCUAUAUAUAUAUAUAUAUAUAUAUAUAUAUAUAUAUAUAUAUAUAUAUAUAUUUGCAAUAUGUACAUAUUUUGUUUUUAAUAUUAGUAAUUAUAAAGUUUAUGUAGUUAAUGAAAACACUCCAUUUUUGUUCUCUCAUCUAUCUCUCACUAUUGUUUUUUUUUUAUUCUAAAUUAUCUUGUUUCUUUUUCUUUUUUUGUCUCCCAUCUCUCAAUCUUUCAAGAUUUAAAAUUAAUAGCAAUUUACGUUAGGAAUAUUAAUAAAAAAAAUAAAUAUAACCAGAAAACAAAUACAAAAAAAUGAUAUUGGAGAAAGAGAGUAUCUAAUUCUAGUAAAGCAUUUAAAUUUCCAUUGAAAGAUGUGUCAUAUAUUAAUCUAAGGUCCAUUUUUCAUUAACUAAUCGGCGGUUGCAUUCUAACGCUUAGAUUUAUUUUUUAUGCUUAAGCAUUUAAUUCUUUUUUAUACACUAAGUUAAAAUUAAAGCAUAUUACCCCUUCUCAAGCUUAUGGGGCAAUGGUCUCAUGGACCCGUCUCGUAGAAAAAGCAAAAAACGCUUGAUAGCAAUGGUCUCAUGGACCAUCCCACUGGCCUCUAUCGUGGAAAAUAUGCAGAUGACAAUUAUCUUAAAGACCAUCCCACUAACCCACAUCGUGGAAAAAAUGCAGAUAGCAAUGGUCUCACAGACCAUCUUUUACUUGUUGAUUGUGUUACAAUUAUCUUAAAGACCAUCCCACUAACACUGCAUCCAUCUUUUACUUGUUGAUUGUGUUACAAAAACUACUGAUAAAUACUUUAGAAAUAAAGAAAAGAAGACUUGUUGACAUGACAAUGAUAAGAAGUAUUUUACAAAAACUACUGAUAAAUACUUGUUAAUCUCAAACCUAACUUGAUUCAUAUUUUAAAAAAUUCAAGUGAGAGUUGACUUAAUCAAACCUGAUUAAUUAAAUAAAUCAAUGCAUGACCUAGUCAACCCAGUCAAAAUUCAAUUUAUUAAAUCACUUAACAUAUUUAAAUAUGUGCAAUAUAUAUGUAUUUAGAAUUUAAUAUUAAUAUUAACAUAUUCAAAUCUAGUUUAACUUGGAUUUUAACUAGACCAUAUGUUGAACUAAUAGAUUAAUAUAGUUUAAUCAGGUCAACUCCUUUCUAAUUUAAUAAAACCUAGUUUGAGAGUAAAAUAUUAAAUUUUUCAUAGCAUCAAGUUUGACUUGUUAAGCUAGACCGAAUUUAAUAACACCUCUCCUGGCUCUCAAUCCAUUGAACACAAAUGAAAAAAAGCUUUACGUACAGAAGUUUGGGUUUGUUUAGAGAUUCGUUAUAGCAAAUAGGCUCAAAAGGUUGGAUAUGUUAUUACUUACUCCCCCUGUCCUCUGUUUUUAUUUUAUGCUAGAUAGCCUCUAAUUUUGGCUCUACCACCUUUCUAUAAUAAUACUCGACUAUUAUAAAAAGAAGAAGAAGCAGAAGCAGAAAUAACUUAGCGCGUUUGUGUAUAGAUAGUUUCCUUGAAUGAAGCAUGUACAUGUCUGAUGAGCAGAAAGACAAAAAAUGGUAAAUGAGGACAGCAUUGCAUCACCACCAUGGCAAACUCGGCAUGACCGAGGAGUGCAGCAAUGUGCAAAGAUGUGCUAAGGAUAUAGAGCCAAGUAAUUGUUUCUUCUUUGAGACUAAGAGUCAGUGUGUAGCGGAAUUAGCCUUCCUUCUCUCUUUCUGGUCAAUCGUCUUGGAGAGCCUAUGUUCUUUCCUUGAUCAAGACUCCUAUCUUAGUUAUUCAACAAAUAUGAAGAAAUUCUCCAAAAUCAUUUCUUGACAAAACAUCUCACGCAUCCCUCAGCCCUUGUCAAAUCCUCCGUCCCCUUAUGCCCUUGCACAGACUUGCCCCCGGGGUAAAUUCUAAAACUCGGGGCAUCUUUUAUAUGGAAUAUGCAAUUUCCAAAAGGUCUGAGGAAUCGAACAAAGAGGGCAAUGAUUGGGCAUCAGUCUUGAAACCACAAUGAUCCGAUGGACGAGAGCCGCUAGUGGAGAAGGAUUCAUGCAUCUCUGUUUUUGUGUAUUUCUCAAGCUCUUUUUCACUGUACAACAGAACUUUUGCCUCUUCAGUUUUUCCUUUUAGACUCUCUUCAGUCAAUGGAAAGAGGAAACACCACAGAAAGGUGUAAACUGACAAGAAAUUCAAUGCUCACACUUUGAAUUUUAAUUUGCAUGUUUCAGGUCAUUGAUAGCUAUACAUUAAAAUUACAGAGUAAAAUAUCAUUUAUCAAGAUUGUCUUGUUCGUUAUUGAUGAUGAUUAGUGAUUCGAAAUGGAUGCUGGAAAUUGGAACAAAGUGUUGGUGUAAUUUGCUCCCGCUUUGGGGGACUUGAUUUUCUUUUCUUUGAGUUGUGUCGUGAAUUCAAGUUACGCAGGAUUUAAGAAUUCUUCAAGACAUAGAACCAUCUUAAUUGGGGAUCAAAAACUUGAUGGACGAGUUGUUAGAUAGGUUGUGAGAACAUCAAGGCCCAAAGAAGAAGAGGAAUUCUUUAUGGGGCACAGUCACAGACAUAUCUAGAGAAGAUACAGAGUUGAGUUGAAACUUGUUAAUUGAUCUUAAAAAGAUACAGAGCCCCUGAGUUAAGCCAAAGACAGAUAUUUUAGAGAAGAUGGUGCUCAAGGGUUUUAAGGGAGUUUUCUCCGGAAAACAAAAGUCCAUAAACAACUUGUCCAAGGAGCUCAAAUUCUCAAUUAAUUAAUUAAUUAUAAACUGGGUCUAAGUUUUUUUUCUAAUAAAAAAAUAGUACUAACAUCUAUAUAUAUAUAUAUAUAUAUAUUUUUUUUUUUUCUUACAUUGAAUAAAACAUAUGCGACUUGUAGCGUAGCGUGUGCUACAAAUCUAUUAUUUUCACUAUUAGAGACAAGUAAUAACUUGUUAAAUCUUUUAAAAUACACUAGAUGGAGGUGCAUCUUUAAAGUUGUUAAAAUAAGAAAUUUACUUUCGAUUAAUAUACAAUCUAACCAAUUGAUACAAUAGAUUAUAAUAAAUUUAGAGUAGAAGUUCUAAAUAAGGUGACUGUAAAUUAGCGUCACAAGUCGUUCUUCCAAUAUGCUACUUCCCUUCAAUCAAGGAUAUUCAUUAACUUAAUUAUUAUUAGUCAAAGUAGAUUGUUUCCUUCCAAACAUGUUCUUGCUUCAUCCUUUAUUAAUUUUAUAAUAAAAUUGCCAACAUAUUAGUUUUUUGUUUUUAUGAUCACUUAAUACCUUCAAAUUAGUUUUCAAGUUUUGAGAUUAAGUUCAUAGAUCUAUUCUUACCACGAGAUUAAAAAUGAUUUUAUAUUUAAUUAAAAUAAAUAAAUAAAUUAGUAAUAUAGAUAUGAUAUUCUUUCUUAACUAAUUAACACAACAGAACGACCUAGCGUUAUCAUGUUGAAACAAUGCCUACCCAAAUAACUCAAGCCCAAACAAUGACAUGAAUUGGGUAAGCAAUGUCUCCUUUCUUUUUUUAUAACAAAUACUAAUGGGAUUCAGAUAAAACAAGAAAAAGAUAGAAUCUUUAUAAGCUAAGAUUCUCAAGAAGUUCAAAAUAAAAGAUUGUAUAAAAAUAAAUACAUAAAAUCUUUAUAAGCUAAGAUAAAUUCGUAAAGAAGAUUCUCAAGAAGUUCAAAAUGAAGGAUUGUACAAAAAUAAAUAUUCUAGUUGAGUGUGGAGUGAAGAUAUCAAACAAUGAUGAAGGAGAGAAGAUAAACUCUACAACAUUAAUCAAAAGUCUAGUUGAGAGUUUGGGAUAUUUAAUAUGCAUUUGUCUGGAUAUUCUUAACUAUGACUCACUUCAAAGCUUAGAAGCGAAUUCUUCGGUAUAUCAAAUGUACUAUUGAUUUUGGCUUAUUUUAUAAAUAUUCUAAUAGCUUUGAUCUUGUGGGCUAUAGUGAUAGUGAUUGAGUUAGAGAUAUUAAUGAUAGAAAGAGUGCUAUGGGAUUUGUUUUCUACAUUGGAGACACAUCAUUCACAUGGAAUUCAAGUAAGCAAUCUAUAAUCACUUUGUUAAUAUGUGAAGUUGCCCACACAAAUGGCAAAGGGGGUGAUUGUUAGGAUAUUGCCAUUUGUGGCAAUACCCCACCACUAAGCAAGUGGUUGCUCCAUUAGUGCCACUAAUGGUGGCAUGGUUUAAGGCCUUCUUGUCCCACCAUGAUUGACAAGUGUGCUGAAGGAGCUCACCAUGUUUGCCUAUAAAAGAGGCAAUUAUUUGAGAGCAAAGAGAGAGUGAGAGACAACGUGAGUGUGUGAAGAGAAUAGAGAGAAAGGGAGAAGAGCUGCAACAGAAGUGAGCUGGGAGUUGAGUAGAGUGGAUGCAAUCCUCCUCCUCCAUGUAUUUAUUGUAUCCUUUCUCUAUCUCUAAAUAAUAUGGACUCUCUCCCGUGGAUGUAGGCGGUUUUGCCGAACCACGUAAAAUAUUAUGUCAGUGUGCUUUACCCUCCGAUGAGCAACUAUCAGUACACCCCCGGUCCGCGCAUGGGGGUGCCGGAAUCCCCAACAAUUAUCAUUUCAUAUGGUUAAGACAAUUAUUAAAAGAAUUGUGAAUGCCACAAGAGAAGCCUUUUAUAUGGACAACUGUAAAAACCUCUAAACCACAUCAACUACAAAGCAGCUUACCUCAAGUAAGGUGUGCUAGGGGUGCUAAUAUCUUCUUUAGCCACAAACAGUCUCUUACCCUCGAAUCUCUGACAAGACCAAUACACUUAAGUUUUCCUAGCAACCCUAAACCAAACAACUAGCUAGGUGGCGACUCCUAAUCGACCCCCGAUGUUGGGCGUCCAUGUGCGACACUAGGGAAGAAGUAGAUGUUGAUGAGGUCAAGUUAAACAUUGUUCUUGCAGGUGAAGUUAUACCAAUUGAUGGAGUUGUUGUUGAUGGUAACUGUGAAGUGGAUGAGAAAACUUUAACUGGAGGGUCAUUUCCGGUUGCCAAACAAGUGGAUUCCGUAGUGUGGGUUGGAACUAUUAACUUCAAUGGUGUCAUCAAUACUUCUCUUUGACACUCUAUGAAUUGUUUUUGAAUGCAUUUUGGCUUUGGUGGUAAUGGGGUGUUAGAACUACUGCUUUAGCUGAAGACUGUGUGGCGGCUAAAAUGGCAAAGCUUGUGGAAGAAGCUCGAAACAGCAAGUCUAAAACUCGAAGAUUCAUAGACAAAUUCGCUCAGUACUAUACUCCAGGUUAGGCAUACUGCAGUCCAAUUACUCAUCCAGUUUUAUAGGCUUUCACUGAAGUAGAGUACCGAGAACGAGUAUUUGGACAGCCCUUCACAUCAUUCUUUUAGAAUGAUUCGUCAGCUCCAUUGCUAGACAAUCCUACCUUUCAUUUUGUGGGAAAGUUCUCAUUUUAGUUCCUUGUUCAGAUUUGCAGCGGUGAUAUUCAUGCCGGCUGGCGUAGCAGUGAUUCCAUUAGAAUUACGAGUUCAUAACCGUGAUCACUGGUUUUACUUAGCACUGGUUGUUUUAGUCAGUGCAUGUCCAUGUGCUCUUACGAUUCAAAAUAACUAGUUUGUUAAGUAACAAAUUAUGAGUACAAGUAGAAGUAAAUUGAGGAAGUAACUCCUCUGAUUUUCUAUAUUUAAAUUCUUGUUUUAAAUGAAAUGAUAUCAAAUUCAAACAUUCAAGAAGAGACCACUGUCUUUUGAAGGUCAAGUUACCCUCGAAGUAGCUUAUAUUCUCUUAUCUUUAUUUAGUUGCCGGCUCAAGCUAAGGUUUAUAACAGUGGCAUUCAGUGGAACCAAAGCCUGAGGAUCUAGAGGAAUUUCAAAAUUUUCCUGGAGAAGGAAUCCAAGGAAAAAAUGAAGUGAAAAAUAUAUGUAUUGACAACAGAAAGAUUGCUCACAGAGCUUCCGGAACAGGUAAAAAGCCCUAAUUAUAUCCCAGUAAGAAUAAACAAUAUGAUUCACAUUUCAAACUAACCAUCUUAUAAAAUAACCAUGAUUUCUAUCGAUUUGUAAUCUGAUAUGUAAAUCAAUCGGUACCUUUAAACUAACUAUAUAUGAUGUGUCAUAAUUUAAUUUUUUUAUUUAAGAAAAUAAUAAUAAAAAAAAUUUAAAAAUUGAAUCAAGAUAACAUAAAUUAGAAUUUUGAGGACCGAUAAGGAUGAGAUUAUAAAUUUAAAAGUUAAUUUGAUCAAAACUUGAAAGAAUCGAUAAGUUUGAGGACUUAAGUAAACUUUAAAUUAGUUUAAUUAAUAGAAUCUAGAAUUUAAUUGAAAAAAUAUCAAAAUUCAGGAUUAAUUUAAAUUAAAAUUAUAAAAAAAUUAAAGUUAAAGAAACAAAAUAAAUAUAUUGUAAUUCCAUAAGAGGGUUAAUUAAUUAUUCCAUAGGUAAUUUUAUAAUAAAUAAAAGUUAAAUAGCCAAAGUAAAGAGUGAAUUAAUUAACUUGAAAACCAAAAAUUGUUUUUGUAAAUGGCAACAGGGUUUCAAUUGCAAUUGAUCUAGGAGAAAAAUUAAAAUAGCCUUUUCAGGUGAAAACAACGCCGUUUCAAAACAAACUAUUCAUCUCCUUCAUCCCACCGAUUCAGCAGAAACAGCAGUAGAUCAUGGUCACGUCUCUAUCCAGUAUCUCUCCUCCACAAUGUGCCCCUAACAGUCCAGUAAUGGGCAUUUUUUUUUUCUCAAGCAUGACAGGACCGUGGUAAUCUCCACACUAACUCGGGAGUGAUGAAGGGGCAUUCUCUUGCCUAUAAAGACCAGUCCACAACACACAGAGACGAAGAGGCAGGUGGGAAAAAACAGAGACAGAGAGAAGACAGAGAGACUUGUGACCUUCCUCCAGCAAAAGGGAACUUUAACCUCCCCUCACCGUAGGUUGUUGAUCCAACCAACCAAAUACAAACCCAGAGAAACCAGGACGAACAGAGAAAGGCCACAAAGAAGGGGAGAACCACAGACAGGUAAUGCAAAAAAAACACAGACGAAAUGAACAAACACAGAUAAUACAGAGAGAGACCAAGAGGAACAAGAACAGAGAGAGACAGAGGGAACAAGAGAAAGCAAAAAAAAAAAAGAAGAAAGAGAGAAAACAAACAGAGAAAAGCAAGAACAGAGGUGAAGUGAACGAAAAACUGAAGUAGAGGGGAAGAAAGUAACAUUGGUUAGCCAGCCCUCCAUCACCAUCGUCUUCGUCUUUAAGUAGCAACUCCAGGUAANNNNNNNNNNNNNNNNNNNNNNNNNNNNNNNNNNNNNNNNNNNNNNNNNNNNNNNNNNNNNNNNNNNNNNNNNNNNNNNNNNNNNNNNNNNNNNNNNNNNNNNNNNNNNNNNNNNNNNNNNNNNNNNNNNNNNNNNNNNNNNNNNNNNNNNNNNNNNNNNNNNNNNNNNNNNNNNNNNNNNNNNNNNNNNNNNNNNNNNNNNNNNNNNNNNNNNNNNNNNNNNNNNNNNNNNNNNNNNNNNNNNNNNNNNNNNNNNNNNNNNNNNNNNNNNNNNNNNNNNNNNNNNNNNNNNNNNNNNNNNNNNNNNNNNNNNNNNNNNNNNNNNNNNNNNNNNNNNNNNNNNNNNNNNNNNNNNNNNNNNNNNNNNNNNNNNNNNNNNNNNNNNNNNNNNNNNNNNNNNNNNNNNNNNNNNNNNNNNNNNNNNNNNNNNNNNNNNNNNNNNNNNNNNNNNNNNNNNNNNNNNNNNNNNNNNNNNNNNNNNNNNNNNNNNNNNNNNNNNNNNNNNNNNNNNNNNNNNNNNNNNNNNNNNNNNNNNNNNNNNNNNNNNNNNNNNNNNNNNNNNNNNNNNNNNNNNNNNNNNNNNNNNNNNNNNNNNNNNNNNNNNNNNNNNNNNNNNNNNNNNNNNNNNNNNNNNNNNNNNNNNNNNNNNNNNNNNNNNNNNNNNNNNNNNNNNNNNNNNNNNNNNNNNNNNNNNNNNNNNNNNNNNNNNNNNNNNNNNNNNNNNNNNNNNNNNNNNNNNNNNNNNNNNNNNNNNNNNNNNNNNNNNNNNNNNNNNNNNNNNNNNNNNNNNNNNNNNNNNNNNNNNNNNNNNNNNNNNNNNNNNNNNNNNNNNNNNNNNNNNNNNNNNNNNNNNNNNNNNNNNNNNNNNNNNNNNNNNNNNNNNNNNNNNNNNNNNNNNNNNNNNNNNNNNNNNNNNNNNNNNNNNNNNNNNNNNNNNNNNNNNNNNNNNNNNNNNNNNNNNNNNNNNNNNNNNNNNNNNNNNNNNNNNNNNNNNNNNNNNNNNNNNNNNNNNNNNNNNNNNNNNNNNNNNNNNNNNNNNNNNNNNNNNNNNNNNNNNNNNNNNNNNNNNNNNNNNNNNNNNNNNNNNNNNNNNNNNNNNNNNNNNNNNNNNNNNNNNNNNNNNNNNNNNNNNNNNNNNNNNNNNNNNNNNNNNNNNNNNNNNNNNNNNNNNNNNNNNNNNNNNNNNNNNNNGGUAGUCUUCCUUUCUCUUUCCCCGCUUUGCAGCUUCAAUUCUUAAUAAUAAUUGUAAUAAUAAUAACAAACAUGGAUUGUGGACCAUAAAGAACAGCGAACGAAAGGCCUUUUAUCAAUAUCCUAUAAUCUAGAAUAAAUCGGUCAUUUCUGCUUAUAAAAGCAUGUUACCGCUCAGGAUAUUCUAUACGCAAUACGUGACUUACCUUCAGCUAAAUUCAGCUAAAAAUUGAAUACUCUUGUUAUUAUCACUCCGGAGCUUUAUUUAAAAGCAAGCAUACUACCUGCAAGUCUAUCAGCAGCCUCCUCGGCUGGUAGUAGUAGCUUAACUCUCUCUAGAUAGUGCAUGUCUGCAUAGCUUUAUUAUUUGACACACAAUAAUACUUAGGAAACAUAAAAUAUCCGACACAGACGAGUGAAAGAGCAUAUUCUUUCUUUCCCUGGCAAAUUAGAAUGGCAACAAGAAGAAUUGUAAUCUGGAUUGGUUCAAAAUUAAGAGUCAAAGAUGUUAAUUACCUCAAUGUCUAGGAUUCAAAGCUUUCCAGAAUCCACACACCAAUUCAAAGAUCUAACAAACCAUCUUCAUUUGCAUCCAUACUCCCAAUAGCUCUUUCCACUCAAUAAACGAAUUUCAUACAAAACUUUAACUUUAGCAAUCUGAAAAUGGAAAUAUAUAAAGUUAAGCAUGAAAAAUGUUUCCCAAGACUUCAUUACAAGAUAAAAAAAAAGUAAUGUCAACUGAGAAAGCUCCACAAGAACAGGCAAGAUGACACAGUACCUGAAACACUAGAUUUUGGUACUUGUAGUCACCUUGUGAAUAAUACAUUUAAGUAACUUGACAUUCUUGAUGCAAAGAGAUCAAGUCAUCCAAACUUCAUGUCAGAGACAUUGCUAUCCUGGAUUCUGUCCCCCAAAUUACAGCUGUAAAUAUAAAGGAAAGCUCAGUUGUUGAAGAGAUGGUACAUUGUUUCAUAGCAAUUAUUGCCAUGAAAUUAUUCAUGAAUAAAACCAGUAGAACACAAUCACGAUGCACUACAUACAGAAUAAUCUCUGAAAGUGAAGUUGCCAUACCAAUUACUCAUCAAUCAUGAUGUGAAUGUAUUACUUACAUUACCAAUUUGUUAAUAUUGUUACCGCUAAAAUCCAAAGUCCUCCAAACUGCUCAAAGAUUCUUCAUAUUUAUAAAAAUAAUAGUUAAUUAAUUCACUGCAUAAAAAUUGUGUUUUUUAAAAUUAUAUUUAAUAAAGAAAAGAGAAGUAUAUAUAAAAAAAUUAACCUUUCAAUUCUAUUAACCCUUCCAGUCUAUUAUAACCUAAAUAUAGUAAUUUAAGAUAUGAAAAUAACAGAAAAGCGAUUAUAUCCUUAGUGAAGGUGCUUCAAAUUGCUCAAUCUCGUAGUUCAUAACCACCUAUAUAAAAAAACAAAUAAAUUAAGACUUCAUGUAAAGAAUGAAAAAAAAUAUUAUUGAAGUAAUUUAAUUAUAUUGAUGAAGAGGCAUGUAAUUAAUUGCUAUGGUGACUCCGUGGAAAGGGGUUGAGGUGGUGAAAGAUUGAAAAUAAAAGAAGUAAUUGUUAUAGUGACGGUCUGAUUUGUAUGAAUAUAUUAAUAAAGUAAGGAAUUAAAAGAAAAACAACAAAUCAUCUUUCGUUGUUUUAAUAAUCGAAAUAUGUUUUCUAUUUUCUCCCAGUUCCUGAUUCCAACCGUCCUGGAUAAUACUUUCAAUUUCACCUUUUAUCCAGGACGGUUGGGAGGUGCCAUUGGCAAUCAAGAGGCAGCCAUCCUUGCAAUGAAACCAUUAUCAUUAUCCAUUUAUAUUUUUUUUUAAUUUAUAAAUAAUCUAUUAAAUUAUAAAUAUUUUUUAAUUUUAACCCCACCUUAACUAUCUGAUUCGGACUGCUGCCUUACCGCAUCCACCAGGNNNNNNNNNNNNNNNNNNNNNNNNNNNNNNNNNNNNNNNNNNNNNNNNNNNNNNNNNNNNNNNNNNNNNNNNNNNNNNNNNNNNNNNNNNNNNNNNNNNNNNNNNNNNNNNNNNNNNNNNNNNNNNNNNNNNNNNNNNNNNNNNNNNNNNNNNNNNNNNNNNNNNNNNNNNNNNNNNNNNNNNNNNNNNNNNNNNNNNNNNNNNNNNNNNNNNNNNNNNNNNNNNNNNNNNNNNNNNNNNNNNNNNNNNNNNNNNNNNNNNNNNNNNNNNNNNNNNNNNNNNNNNNNNNNNNNNNNNNNNNNNNNNNNNNNNNNNNNNNNNNNNNNNNNNNNNNNNNNNNNNNNNNNNNNNNNNNNNNNNNNNNNNNNNNNNNNNNNNNNNNNNNNNNNNNNNNNNNNNNNNNNNNNNNNNNNNNNNNNNUUUUUAAUGAUUUCAUUGUGCAAAAUUAAAUUGGUUGGAAAUAAAUCUUUUUUUUUUUAAGUUGAGUCUAGAAUUUAACGAGUUGUAACUUUUAGAUAUUAGACCAGAUUUAGAAAAUUCACCCGAGUUUUUUUUUCUUUUUUUUAAGCUUAUGUUUUCUUCUCUUAUUUUUUUAGUUUUGUUUUAUUAUUUUUUACAAUUUUCCUUCUAUUAGAUUAGAAUUAGGUUAUUUGAUAAUCUAAAUAGGUUCAGGUUUAUUCUUUUUACCUUUUUCUUUAUGGUUUUUUUAGCACUUUAUUUAUUGUUAUUAUAUUUUUUUUAGUAUUGUUUGGAUUAUCUCUUGAACUAAUAAUUUAGUACUUGGAUUUUUUUUUACCCUAGUAUUUUUUUACACCAAAUUUUUCUUUACUCUAACCACUGUAAAGCAUGAGUAACAAAUGUAAUUAUUACUAAAUUGCUACUAGUACAAAUAACUAUCUCUUGCAAAUGACAACGAGGAGUUUUAGGCUUUUGGAGCCCCCAAGCUACGGCCCCAUACUGUGGAAAAAAAAUGCAUGAUGGCAAUGGUCUCAUUAAUGCGGAAAAAAUGCAUAUAGUUAUAGGAUUAAGUUUUUAAUAUGAGAUGGUUUAUAUGGUAUUUGAAUUUUAUUAAUUAAGUGGUAAUAAGUUUAAACUUUAUUAUUUUAUUUUAUUUUAUUUUAUAAAAAUUAAAUAUAAAAUAAUAUGAAUAUAAAGAAGUUUCAAGUUUAAAAAAAAAUUAUUUGAAGAGGUGAUAUUUGUUAAAGAAUUAUAUAAAUUUUAUCUUUAGACCUCUAGAUUAAGUUUUUAGAUUAGGAUGAUAUUUUUGAAAAGUUUUGAAGUUUUGAGAUUAAAUUCAUAGCUUUUUUCUCUUUAAAUACAAGAAAUAUACAAGUUAUAUUUGUUGUUUUUGUUGUUUUUUUUUUUAUGGAUAUUGGUUUUUUGAUUGGCAAAAAACCAAUGAGAUCAUUGUUGCUGAUAUAUAGCUCUUGUAGAUGAUUUAAGUCACAUAGGUCUGAUCGAAAAAUUUAAACCCUGUUUUCUGCUUCUUCUUUUUUUUUCGGCUGCUAGUUUACUCUGUGUUUGUUUUCUUUGUUUCCUUUUUGUUGAAAUUUUCUUCUUUUAUGUGUUGAUAGGUCUGAAUCACUAAGAAAACAUACCUCAUUUCUUUAGAAGAGUUGUUUUCACAGAAUGAAUGUGAAUUUGAUCAUGUAAAGAUGGGCUGUGGUCAUUUUGCAGUUUAACUGAGUUCCAUGCUUUCGUUUAACUGAGUUCUUUUGGAUAUCUGAAAGUUGGUAUUUUGUUGUUCAGUGGGAAUUUAGUGUGUUUGGGACUCGGUGUAUGGCGAGUAUUCGGAAUAAAUGAGGCGAACAUAUUGGCUUAUACAAGGCCAUGGUCAUAAAUAAUAGGGAAGGAGUUAGUAAUUAGCAUUCAAGAUUGGAUCUGCAUGACCAGGACUGUUUUUGAUGGAUAUUGGUUUUUUGAUUGACAAGAAAUGGCAGCUGGUUUUUAAUGUGUGUGCAUGCUUUGCUCAUGUUGUCAUAUAUGUUUGUUUUCUCAAAUAUAUAAUGCAAAUAUCAAAAUUGUCUUCAAAACACUUAUCUGACUUUCUGUUGGAGAUCAAAUUCCAUAUAUUGAAUCAGGCACUUAUGUGGCCUACAAUGACGAGAAUGGUGGGGUAAUCAAAAGUUUAAAGGAAGAUGGUAUUGUUGAUUUGGACACUGACUUCAGCUCGCUCCCAGAAUGGAUAUCAAUGAAAGCGAUGGUUAGCACCUGGCUUGCAGAUGCAAUCAUGUAUGAACUCUGGGUGGGGUCUGAUGGAACCUCUGCCCGAACAAUUUAUCACUCUGGCCUCCCUUGGUUGAUAGGAAAGGCUCUAUUAAUGAAACAAGUGCACGUUGUUAAGCAGCGACUUGGGAUAACUAAAGAAAAUGCUGAACGAAGGGAAGCAGAGGUUACACUUCUAUCGUUUAUGAUCUUUUUCUGCAACUUGUUGAUAUCAAAUCUGCGCACAUACACUAGUGUUAGAAAGCAUACACCUGUGGAAUGAUUUUACCCGUUUAUAUAUUGCUUCAUUUUCUGUUAAUUUUCCUUGACCAUGGCCUUGCAAUAUUUUUAUUUUAAUUUAUGGAUAGAUCUACAAGAGAGUGAAAAUUGCAUAUGGAGCUUUGGAUAGAUUCAGGCAGUUUCCAAUCCCAGAUAUUUCUAAGCAUACAUGCUGUUCAUCUUUGGUUAGCUUGCCAACUAAUAGAUUUAAUUUUUUAAUUAAAAUCUAUUUUUUUAAUUAAAAUUUAAUUUUUUAUUUAAAAUUAUUUUAAAAUAUAUUUAAAAAAAACAAUACCUAACACAACUCUCUUGUCUCUGAAAAAAUGGCAGCAAGGAGUUUUAGGCUUUUUCAUCCACAAGUGUACGGAUCCAUCUCGUGGAAAAUCUGUUGCAGUGUCCUCUCCAUCAAAAUCCUUCUUGUUUUGAUAUAAAACAUUUAUUUCGUGCACCCUUGAAAUUAAUAGGAAGAUUGAAAUAAAGUUGAAAGGAUUGGUUUUUUUAUUUUUAUUUUUUUCAAUGAUCAUUUAAUUACGUCUUUAUAUUAGUUUUCAAGUUUUGAGAUUAAGUUCAUAUAUACCUCUUUUCUCUUUAAAGACAAGAAAUAUACCACAAGAUUAAAAACUAUUUUAUAUUUCAUUAAAAUAAAUAAAUAAAUAACUUAUAUAGUUACAGUAUUUAAUUUCUUCUUAAGCAAAUAAUGUACGCAAUGUCAGCGUCAAAAGAGGAUCGUAAGACCCACCCUCGAGNNNNNNNNNNNNNNNNNNNNNNNNNNNNNNNNNNNNNNNNNNNNNNNNNNNNNNNNNNNNNNNNNNNNNNNNNNNNNNNNNNNNNNNNNNNNNNNNNNNNNNNNNNNNNNNNNNNNNNNNNNNNNNNNNNNNNNNNNNNNNNNNNNNNNNNNNNNNNNNNNNNNNNNNNNNNNNNNNNNNNNNNNNNNNNNNNNNNNNNNNNNNNNNNNNNNNNNNNNNNNNNNNNNNNNNNNNNNNNNNNNNNNNNNNNNNNNNNNNNNNNNNNNNNNNNNNNNNNNNNNNNNNNNNNNNNNNNNNNNNNNNNNNNNNNNNNNNNNNNNNNNNNNNNNNNNNNNNNNNNNNNNNNNNNNNNNNNNNNNNNNNNNNNNNNNNNNAAAAAUGGGUACAAUGAUAUGAGAAAAUAAAAGUUUAUAUACUAAAAUUAAUAAAAAGUGAAAGUAUAUAUAUCAAAAAAUUUAUAUGAUUUAUAUGAUACUGAUAUUUUUAACAUUAAUAUAUUAAAAAAUUUAAAAAUAAUUUAAAAAUAAUUUUAAAUAAAAAAAUCAAAUUUUAUUCUAUUUUUAUUUUUAAACACAAUACCAACCGGGCUAUAUUCAGGAAAAGUCUAUAAAAAAACAAAGAUAUUCAGAGAAUGACAGAAAAUAAAUCAAACCACAGCCGUGGAAUUAGAAACCAAAAGACAGACCAAAUUUGUUUCUACAGGGAGCCAUCUUAGUGGUGGGGCAAAAACUUGAUGGAGAGAUAAUUAUUUAUUUAUCAAAACAAUUAUUUAUUCUAGAGAAAAACCCAAACUCAAUUUUAUUUGAUCAAAGUCACACCUUAAAAGAAAACAAGAAAAAAGUAUUUAAUUGAUAUAAUAAAAAAAAAAUUGAUAUACUAAUAAUAAAAAAUCUACUAAAAUGGGUGGCACUCAAUAACUCUGAAUGUUCACAUGCCUUAUCUUCUAGGCAAGAAGAGAUAAUAAAAGCAGGUGAUGUUCUUUUCUCCAGCUGUAAAUGGAUGGAGACGUCAAUACCAAAAACAUGGAUAAAAAUUGUUUUUCUUUUUUCAAUUUGAAUAUUUAUAUUCACAAAAUCUUAUCAAUAAAAUUUCUUCAUUAGUUUUAUUAUGAUGAUGUUAUAGUUAAUUCUUGUUUAGAUAAGUUUGAAUUGAUUUUAUUUUAUUUUUAAUUUCUAAUCAGUAAAGAUAUGUAAAAUACUUGUCCUUUAUAUCUUCUUUUAUUCUAGUUCUCUAAUUGAUUUUUUUUUUCUAUUUAAGUACUUGAUAAACUAGUGUCUGUCCAUAAAUUUGUUUACAUUAAUUUCUCUAAUAAAUGUAAGGUUUACAUAAAGUAACUAUAUGGAAUAAUAAAAUAUUAACAAUAAAAUUUAUUUAUAAAUAAACCUUAGAUUUAAUUUCUCUAAAUUUUAAAUUUGGUGCGAAUAAAUUCAAGGGAUUUUCAAGAUAAAUAGUACAAUAUUAGCCCUUCAAAAAAUUGAGAAUCUUCCAGUCUUCCUCCUCAAGGAAUUACUUAGUGGAUAGUUAAAACUAUAGUUUAUUCUAUUUUCUUCACUUUAUCUACAAUUUUACCUAUAUUAUUGUCACCGAUUAGAAAUAGUUAAAACUAAUGAUAUUUCUCGCACACUGUUAUAAAAAAAAUUUGGAACUUUUUAUUCAAUUAUAAGAUAAUAAAAACAAAUAUUAACAAAAAAAAUAGUAAAUAAAAUUAUAAAAGAAAAAUAUAUUUUUUGAAUUAUGUAAUUUUUUUUCAAAACAAAGGAGUUUUUAUUAGCAUUAUAGUUUAUUGAAUAAAAAGUAACAAUAAUAACAAAAAUUCUAUAAAACUAUAAUAAUUUAAAUUAAAAAAAAACAUAUAUUUUUAAGCAAUCAAGAGGCAGUCAUCCUUCCAAGAAAACCAUCUUACUAACGCCAUCAACAUUUGAAUUAAUAACACCAUAUCUUAAUAUAAAUGCUGAUCAAUUAUUAUCAUUAUCAAAAACAAAGUGAAAGAUGAAAAUGGUUUUUUCUUAAUUUUUGAAAAAAAAUAAAAAAGGUUGCCGCCUUUACUUUGUUCUAUUCGGACUCCGAAUGCAACAGAGUUUGAGCUAACGAGGUAUACCACAAAAGAAAAGAAAAAUAAUAAAGCAAGGUGGCUUCUGUUGAUAGCAGAGCAGUGAAGAAUUGAUACAAAAAAAGAGUGCUAUAAAUAGUGAGAAAAAAAUUAAAAAACUGAUUAAACUAGAAAAGAAAUAAUUAAAAAAACUGAAUUGUAAAAAAACCGAUUAAAAUUAAAAAAAACCGGCCAAUUCGGUUCCGGUUGUAUAAGUAUGAAAUUAAAAAAACCGAACCAAACCCAAACCGAAAAAAAUCAAGCCAAACCAAAAAAAAUCAAGCCAAACCGGUUUGAACCGGUUUUUUCCUAAAAAACCGAACCGAACCGAAACCGGUCAGUUUGAACCGGUUUUGGUUUUUUUAAAAAAAAUUCGAUUUGAUUAUUUUUUUUAUAAAAACCGAACCGAACCAAAAAUGAUAUCCGCUGAGCAGAUGUAUCUCCUUGAAAAUGCAUUUGAAUUAAUAUUUACAUCAUGUAUUUAAAAAAAAAACGUAAUAAAUAAAGAAAACACAUUACAAAAAGCCUACUAAUAUUCCUAAAACUUCCAACUUAAUGGAACAAAAGUAAGAUUAAACUAUAUUUUAGUAACUUCCAUUUAUAUACAAGUAUCUUCCUAAUAAAAUCACUACAAUGAUAAAUUAUAUUACAAAAAGUUCUCUAAAUACACUAUCCUACUAAACAAAAAGAACACUGUAUAUCUACUGCUCUAGUAUGAUAUGUGAAUGACCUGUCAAAUUAAAUCAUAUUAGAAAAUUUAAACAAUAUUUAGAAUAAAUUUAAAUAUAAAUCCAUCAUUAACUUUUCACCCUAAUAACUUUAUAAAUCUUACAAAUUAUAUAUUUAUUCUCAAAACUUGAAAGCACAUAAAAAUUUAAUAACUCGGCCAUCAAGUAUUCUAAUACUACGAAUCCUAUUUAGUUGAUAGUCUAAACAACUAUCCCGGUUAUAUGUCAUAUAAAUACCACUAGCUUCAAUUAAUUUAAACAAUUGUACUGGUAUCAGCUAAGACUAAACAAUUUUUCUUCUUCUUUUUUUCUUCCAUAAAAUACAUUACAAAGAAUAAUACACAUUUAGUGAAAUUGCAGAUAAGUAAACAAUUAAUUCCUAUAAAUAAUAUUUAGGUGUCCGUAGAACAUAUAUAGCAUAAAUCACCACUGAAUGAAAACAUAUACAUUAUAUAGCAUUAAAGAAUAAUAAUCAUCGUAGUCGUAGUCAAGUCGGGUACAAAGAUCUUAAAAACUAAUGAUCCUGUCGUUGACAAAGAUCACAUGACAAUUGCAUCCCACUGUGAUAAUAAUGCCCAUUCAAUCAGACUAAAUGAGUGUUUUUUUAAAUAAAUACUUUACCUAAUAAUUAAUUAGUAAAUAAUAUAUAAAUAUUGUAAAUCUAUACAUGUACUAGUAUUUUAUUCUGCUUCGAAUAAUAAAUAAUAUUUAAAUAAUAAAUAUUUAUAUGAUUUGUUAUCUGAUGAGUGGAGUAUAUCAAUAUAAAAAAAAACUUUUGGCAGAUAGUAGAAAAAAAUUAUGGAAAAUUCUACAGUUUAGCUCUUCCAAUUGCGUAAGCUUUUGUUAGUGCGGAUCUAUUUAUAAAUUACUAUUCAUUAUAAUUAUAUAAUUAUAAAUUUAUUCUUGCAAACAAAAGGAUAAGAUCAUAAGAUUAUCUUUUUGUCAUAGUACAAUUAUCUUUAAUAUAUUAUAUGAGGUUAUAUUUGUCAUUUCAUCUUUCUUUUAUAGUAAAUUUACUAUUUUGGCUUUGGAAUACAUAACUCUUAUGCUUUUGCUCCACAAGUGCUUUUAUUUUUUUAUUUUUUAAAAAAUAAUUAAUUAAAAUUUUUAUAUAGAAUGCUUUAAAGAUAAUGUAAAUUUGUUUUUAUAAAAAAUAGAAAACAUUUACAAAAACAUUAUAUAGAAUACUUUAAAAAUACUUUAAAUAUUAUUUUUUUAUGAAAACUAAAAAAAUUAUAAAAAAUUUAAUCAAACAUAACCGCCAGAUCCAAAAAGUUAAAACAUUCUUUAAUACUUUUAAUAUUUUUUAACAUUUUAAAAGUUAAUAUACGUGCAAAUAUACUAAUAAUGUCUGGAAAGAAAGGAGCAACUUUUCUGUAUCCAUUAUUGUCAAGGAAAUGGAAAGUAAGCUCAUAGCAUUAACAUUUUAUUCAUGUUUUUUUUUUUUUUUUUUUAAAAAGACUUUGAUUCGGGGUCAACGUUUCAAGAAGGAAUAUAAGUUUCGGUUGAUUACUUUCAUGCAAUUCUUUAUUUUUUAAUUUUUGGGUACCGUAUGGUCCGAAGAAGAUGCCUUUUGUAGUAUAUAGAGAAUUUUUUAAAAACAUUUUAGAAUUAUAAUUCGCAUCCGAAUUAAAAAUAUAAUAGGUUUUAAUAUUUACUUUUAAUAUAUAUAAAAUGAAAGAUAUUAUGAGUUUUUGAUUAAUGAUGUUAAUCCAAAUAUGUUUAUAAAAAUAAUUUCUAUCAAACCAAAUGAUAUGUAUUUUGAAUUUAAUAUUAAUAAUUAUAGCUUCCUAAAAUACAUUUAUUUAGUUAAUAAAAACUAGUACAUUUUUGUUGUCUCAUCUCUCUCUCUCUCAUUUUUGUUAUUUGUUUUUAAUUUCUUCUUCGGAGCUGCUUUGUCUCUCUUUCUAUCAAAAUUCUAAAUACAUAGCAUUUAGCGUUAAGAAUUAUAACCAUUGAAUUAUACAUAUUAAUCACUUGAUGAAAAAUUAAAUAUGACUAGAAAACAAAAUACAAAUAUAUAUAUAUAUAUAUAUAUAUAUAUAUAUAGCAUAUUAUCUCUUCUCAAGCUUACGGGCAAUAUGGUCUCACGGACUCUUAUCAUCUCUUUGAAGAAACUCGUGAUAGCAAUGGUCUAACGGACCCAUCUCACAUCACAAUUUGAUUAUUUUUUAUUUUCUGGACUUUUUCUGUGUUUCACUACUUUGAUGGAUCAAAUUUAUCUUUACAGUGAGUCAUUAGAGUAGUGGGAUAAAAACUUAAUGGAGAAAUAAUUAUUUAUUCAUCAAAACAAUUAUUUAUUUUGGAGAAAAACCUAAACUCAAUUUCAUUAGAUGAAAAUCACACCAUAAAAGAAAACAAGAAAAAAGUAUUUAAUUGAUAUAAUAAUAAAAAAAAAAUCUACAAAAAUAGGUGUCACUUGAAUCGCUCUGAAUGUUCAGAUGCUUUAUUUUCCAUACAAGAAGACAUAAUAAAAACAGGUGAUGUUUUUUUCUCCAGUUGUAAAUGGAUGGAAACAUCAAUACCAAAAUAAAUAUGAAUUAGUUAGAAUAAUUAUAACUAACUAAUAUAAUAGGUUUUAAUAUUUACUUUUAAUAUAUAUAAAAUAAAAGAUAUUAAAAGUUGAUUAAUGUUGAAAUUAAAACAUAUUAUCCCUUCUCAAGCUUAUGAGGCAAUGGUCUCAUGGAUCCGUCUCGUAGAAAAAACAAAAAACGCUUGAUAGCAAUAGUUUCAUGGACCAUUCCACUGGCUAUAUCGUGAAAAAAAAAAACAAAUGACAAUAGUCUCAUAAACCCAUCUCAUACUGCAAAUUCCUAUCCAUCUGACGUGUUGACAAUGUAAGCUGACGAACCCAUCUCGUGGAAAAAACGCAUGAUGGUUGGAAAUGGUCUCACGGCCUCACCUCGAGGAAAAAUGCAUGAUGACAACGGUCUCACUAACUCAUAAAUGCAUGAUGGAAUUGGUCUCACGGGCUCAUCUCGAGGAAAAGCAACGCUAUCGGGGACCAAAGCGUAUAUGGCAAUGGUCUCACGAACUCAUAAAUGCAUGAUGGUGAUUGUCUGUCGGACCCAUCCUGAGGAAAAAAACAUGCAUGACGGCUAACUCUUCAACAUUAAGUAAAAAAAUCUUCAACAUUUUCCUUUUUAAUUUAACAUUUUAGGGGUCAAUAUGAAUCUUUUCCUGAAUGAUUUGAUGCUGGGUUUUUUUUCCUACCUAAACUCUAACUUUUUAAAAAGUUUUCCUACUAAACACAAAUUCUNNNNNNNNNNNNNNNNNNNNNNNNNNNNNNNNNNNNNNNNNNNNNNNNNNNNNNNNNNNNNNNNNNNNNNNNNNNNNNNNNNNNNNNNNNNNNNNNNNNNNNNNNNNNNNNNNNNNNNNNNNNNNNNNNNNNNNNNNNNNNNNNNNNNNNNNNNNNNNNNNNNNNNNNNNNNNNNNNNNNNNNNNNNNNNNNNNNNNNNNNNNNNNNNNNNNNNNNNNNNNNNNNNNNNNNNNNNNNNNNNNNNNNNNNNNNNNNNNNNNNNNNNNNNNNNNNNNNNNNNNNNNNNNNNNNNNNNNNNNNNNNNNNNNNNNNNNNNNNNNNNNNNNNNNNNNNNNNNNNNNNNNNNNNNNNNNNNNNNNNNNNNNNNNNNNNNNNNNNNNNNNNNNNNNNNNNNNNNNNNNNNNNNNNNNNNNNNNNNNNNNNNNNNNNNNNNNNNNNNNNNNNNNNNNNNNNNNNNNNNNNNNNNNNNNNNNNNNNNNNNNNNNNNNNNNNNNNNNNNNNNNNNNNNNNNNNNNNNNNNNNNNNNNNNNNNNNNNNNNNNNNNNNNNNNNNNNNNNNNNNNNNNNNNNNNNNNNNNNNNNNNNNNNNNNNNNNNNNNNNNNNNNNNNNNNNNNNNNNNNNNNNNNNNNNNNNNNNNNNNNNNNNNNNNNNNNNNNNNNNNNNNNNNNNNNNNNNNNNNNNNNNNNNNNNNNNNNNNNNNNNNNNNNNNNNNNNNNNNNNNNNNNNNNNNNNNNNNNNNNNNNNNNNNNNNNNNNNNNNNNNNNNNNNNNNNNNNNNNNNNNNNNNNNNNNNNNNNNNNNNNNNNNNNNNNNNNNNNNNNNNNNNNNNNNNNNNNNNNNNNNNNNNNNNNNNNNNNNNNNNNNNNNNNNNNNNNNNNNNNNNNNNNNNNNNNNNNNNNNNNNNNNNNNNNNNNNNNNNNNNNNNNNNNNNNNNNNNNNNNNNNNNNNNNNNNNNNNNNNNNNNNNNNNNNNNNNNNNNNNNNNNNNNNNNNNNNNNNNNNNNNNNNNNNNNNNNNNNNNNNNNNNNNNNNNNNNNNNNNNNNNNNNNNNNNNNNNNNNNNNNNNNNNNNNNNNNNNNNNNNNNNNNNNNNNNNNNNNNNNNNNNNNNNNNNNNNNNNNNNNNNNNNNNNNNNNNNNNNNNNNNNNNNNNNNNNNNNNNNNNNNNNNNAAUUUGAUUUUGAUUAAAAAUUUAUUUUUGUUAUUUUUUAAUCCCUAUUUGAGAGAGGAGAGAGAAGUCGACAAAUUCCAGCGGUAGAGAAAAAAAAUAUUGUUAAUACCAAUUUAGACCACCAAAACGAACAAUAUUUGUGUCAAAUGAAUUUAUUUUAUGAGGGAAGCUCAUAUUAAGUAUUUUUUUUUUUUACUUUUAAAGUUCGUAAAAAAAUAAAUACGAUCUUUAGUUGAUUUUUUACCUUAAAAGAAACAUGAUAAGUAUAUAUAUUUUUUUUUAACACCACUGAUCACUUCUUUAAAUAUACGUUAUAUUGUUGAUGGAUGAGAAUUUAAGUGGACAGAAUUUUAGGAUUUCGAGAAAAAAUAAUUAUCUCAAAUUUUGUCAUAUUUUCGGUUUUUAUUUUUAUUAAUUUGGAUUUUCUUUCUUACUUUUUAAUAUUUUAUGGAUGAGAAUGAAAUAUUUUAUAUAAACUUAAAAAACAACACUGAGAUUUAUUCAUAUAUAUUCUGUGUUACAAUUAUUUAUAUAAAUGGAUGAAGCUUGGAAAUUUUUUUUAUUAAUAUUUUUUAAUGAUUUCAUUGUUUAAAAUUAAAUUGGUUGGGAGUUAAUUUUUUUUUAUUAAACCUAAGUCUAGAAUUUAACGAAUUGCAAGUUUUAGAUAUUAGACCAGGUUUAGAAGAUUCAUCUGAGUUUGCUUAUUUUUUUUCUUCUUUUUUUAAUGUUUUUGUUUUUUUUUUUAGUUUUGCUUUAUUAUUUUUUAUGAUUUUCCUUCUAUUAGUAUUGUUUGGAUUAUUACUUGAACCAAUAACUCGGGAGUUAGAUUUUCUUUUACCCUAGUAUUUUUUGACAUCAGAAUUUUUUUAACUCUAACCACUGUAAAGCAUGAGUGACAAAUCUAGUUAUUACUAAAUUGCUACUAGUAUAAAUAACUAUCUCUUGCAAAUGGCAGCGAGGAGUUUUACGCUUUUAGAGCCCCCAAGCUACGACCCCUUCUUGUGGGAAAAAAAGGCAAAUAGUUAUAGAAUUAAGUUUUUAAUAUGAGAUAGUUUAUAUAAUUUUUAGAUUUUAUUAAUCGAGUUUAAAUUUUAUUAUUUUAUUUUAUUUUAUAAAAAAUAAAUAUAAAAUAAUAUAAAUAUAAACUUAUAUAAGUUUCAAAAUUAAAAAACUUUCAUUUAAAGAGAUGAUGUAUAUUAAAGAAUUAUAUAAAUUUUAUUUUGAAACCUUGUAUAAUAUAUUAAGCAUUUAGAAUAAAAUAAUUUUUUGGAAAGUUUUCAAGUUUUGAGAUUAAAUUCAUAGCUAUUUUUUCUUUAAAUACAAGAAAUAUACCAAUCAAUAUUCAAAUAACUUAUUAAUAUUUUUUUUAAGUUUAUUAAAAUAAUAAGGAACAGAUCUUAUAAAUUAAAAAGUUAAAAAAGAAUGAAAUUGAAAAAAAAAAUUUAAUUUCAUAAAUUAUAUUAAAUAAAAUAAAUAACAAUCAAAAUAAAUUGUAAACUCAAAUGUUAAAAUGCAAAUUCAAAUGAACUUGAUGAUGAUGAGUGAAUAUAAUAAUGAAAGAAGUGUAAGAAAAUAUCUAGAUAUUUAUAUACAAUGUAUGAUUUUAUAAUAAUUUCAUGUGAUAAUAAUGGGAAGGAUUUUUUUCAAUCAAAUAAAAAAUUUUAUUUAUUUAUCAAAAAAUUAUUAUGAAUUUAAUAUUUGCAAUAUGAAUUUUGAAAUAUACCACAUGAAAUGUUUAAAUAUUUGCAAUAUGUAUUUUGAAUUUAAUAUUAAUAAUUAUAUCUUCCUAACACAAGUUUACUUUAGUAAAAAAAAACUGGUACACCUUUUGUUUUUUCAUCUCUCCCCCUCCCUUUUGAUCUUUCUUCUUCUUCUUUCGGCUUUGUCAUUCUUUCUUUCUCUUUCUAUCUUCCAUCUCUCAGUCCAUCAAAAUUCAUAAUACAUAGCAAUUAUAAUAAAGCAUUUAAUUGCAUUUCCAUUAAUUAAUCGGUGGUUACAUUUUUUUAAUGAUAAUUGAAGAAUAUAUUAAAAUAGUUAUUUAAAGAAUGAUAAAAACAAAAGAAGGAGAAUUAAGCUAGUUAAAAUUAAAGCAUAUUAAGCAUUAAUGGUCUCCCGGACCCAUCUCGUGGAAAAACAAUUGAUAGCAUUAAUGGUCUCACGGUCGACCAUCCCACUGACCCAUAUCAUGGAAAAAAUGCAGAUGGCAUUAAUGGUCUCACAGACCCAUCUUACACUGCAAAAUAGCUGGCAUUAAUGUUUUUCCACAAAAGACUUUGACUUGGGGUCAACUUUUCAGUUCAUUACUUUUAUGGAAUUCAAUUUUAUUUUACUAUGUGGUUUCAAUCAAUGUUAGUAAAAUCCAGUUCAGCUUGACUGCAGGUUCAUCCAUGAUAUUGGAGCCCGAUCAAAUGGAUGCACUCAAAUGUCUCUAUAGGUUUACAUACCUUAUUUUUCAGGCAUGAAGAGAUAUAAUUAUCAAAAUUUUAAUACUAUAAUUCAUAAAAUUAUUUUCCUUUUAUCUAUAUAGUUUAUGCUAUCAGAACCUUGAAAAAUCUUGUACUACUUAAAAUCUUGAAUUGACAAGGUCUUGGUCCAUCUACUAGACCUGUCCAGGUUUUAUAUCAAUGAUGCUGGGAAUGUGAAAGAGCUAGAGUGAAUAUCGAAUUAUGGAGUUGUUGGGUAAUAUGAACAUGAAUUAUAUUAAUAGAUUACAUUAAUAUGACAACUAGUUUUGAUUUAUCCCCCCAAUUUGAAUACUUAUAUUCACCAAAUGAUUAAUAAAAUAUCUUCUUAGUUAUGCUAUAAAAUAUAUAGUGAUGUCACAGUUCACUCUUUUUAGUUGAGUUUAGAUUGAUUUUUUUUUUUUAAUUUUUGAACUAUAAAAUAUAGCUAAAUUUAAAAUAAAUAUUUUUUUACAGUAGCAUUUCUAAUUUGCUUCUGUUCAAGAUGAGGCAGUUCUGUUUGAGGUGGUUCUCCAUAUCCUUCAUCCACCAUACUCCACAAAUCUUGUGAGAUAAAGAUUGUCUCCAUUUGAGAACUCCAAUAAUCAUAAUGCUUGUUUUUCAUUUUUUAGUUUCUGGAUAAAAAAGAAGAAAAUAAAAAAUAUAUAUAUAUAUUUGGAAGAAAACAAAAAAUAUAUAGCAGUGAGAAGAGGAUGCCGGAACGACCAGAAAAUAGCCAAAAACUGGUAGAGCAAGUUAAAAAUUACAAAGAUUGAAAUUUGACAAUAUAUUUUUUUACUGAUAAGAGUCAUGUUGACAAAAAAAUUCAAUUUAAGAAAGAAAAGUCCAAAAUCAAAUGUUUAUGGACUCAAUUAAAUUUUAUUGAAGGUUUAAUUGAAUUUAUGAAGGGUUUGAUUGCAAGAAAAAUUAAUUUUUAAGUCAAUUUAGGCUUUAAUUGGAAAGAAUUAAUUUUCUAGGGUCAAAUUAUAAUUUUAAGAGUUGAUUUGGUUAAAGCAGGGGCUUCAUUGCAUAAAUAUUGAAGUUUGAUGGCCACUUAUGGACUUGAAUGAAUAAAUCCAAAACCAAGGACCAAACUGGAAAAGACAUGUAAAUAGAGGAAUUGAAAUUGACCGAAUCAGGGGCUAUAUUGAAAAAAUUAAAAGUUUAUUGAUCAAAUAAGGGUCAAAUUGUAUAAAUCCAAAACCAAGAACUAAAAUGAAAAAGACAGCAAGCAUUAGAGCUGACAUUGAAAUUUAACAGGGAUGUAAUUGAAUUGAUUUUUUAAAAUUAAAAUUACAAUAAAAAAGAUUGAAUAAAUAAAAAAUUAAAAACAAAUUUAAAAAUUAAUAUAUUUUGGAGUUAUUUUUUUUUAAAUCAAACCACACGUCUCAAAUAAAACAACAAUAGAGUUCAUAAAAAAAAAAUGCCCGAAACGGUAUGUAACAAUUUGAAAAAAGUGAUAGGUGGUUCAGGGAAGAAAUUGUGAAAAUAAAAUUAUGUCGUUAUACCGGUUUAAACCAUUAAAAUAAAUAAUAUUUGUGUUAAAUAAUUUUAUUUGAUGAUAAAAACUUAUAUUAAAUAUUUUUUUUAUUUUUAAAGUUUGUAAAAAAACAAAUAUAAUUUUUAAUUGAUUUUUGACCAGUGUUCUUUUGUUCUUAACACCACUGGUAACUUCUUUAAAUAUACGUUAGUGUUGAUGAAUGAAAAUUUAAGUGGACAGAAUUUUAGGAUUUCUAGAAUUUUAGGAUUUCUAGAAUUUUAGGACCCAUGCCGUGGAAAACACUGCAUGAUGGAAAUGUUUUCUCGGACCCAACUGAUGGAAGAAAUGCAUGAUGGCACCAUCCAACGGACCCAUCUCGUGGAAAAAAGAAGCAGGACGACAGUGUCCCCUUCAUCCUCUCGUAUUGAAGUAUUGCUCGCGUGGAUUUUUUUAACUCGACAAGGCUUUAUUCUUCAACCUCUCGUAUAAUACAGACGAGCUGUGUAAAAUUUAUAUUUUUUUUUAAUUUAAUGAUGAGAGUUUAUAUUAAAUAUUUUUUUCCUUUAAAUUCAUGAAAAAAUAAAAUAUUUUUUUUUUACCUUAAAAAAAACAUGAUAAGUAUUUUAUUUUAUUUUAUUUUUUCAACACCAUUGAUCACUUCUUAAUUUGAAUAUACGUUAUUGUUGAUGAAUGAGAAUUUAAGUGGAUAGAAUUUUAGGAUUUCUAGAAAAAAUUAAUUAUCUCAAAUUUUGUCAGAUUUUCUGUUUUUAUUUUUAUUAAUUUGGCUUUUCUUUCCUACUUUUUAAUAUUUUUUGGAUAAGAAUGAAAUAUUUUAUAUAAACUUUAAAAACAACACUGAGAUUGAUUCAUAUAUAUAUAUAUUCUGUGUUACUAUUACUUGUAUAAACGGAUGAAGCAUGAAAAUUAUAGAAAGGGCGAAAAACCAACUGCUUGAGGGUGUUUAAAAGGGCGAAAAACCAACUGUUGUCCACGUACACAGCACUUCUCCAUUUAUAUCUUCUAAAUUUAUAAAGUAAUUUUGUACAGGGUGUUUUUGAUUGAGUAAUUUAUCCUGUUUUUUAUUAAAAUUUAAUUUUUUAAAAAAAUAUUUUUUUAUAUUUUUAAAUAUAUUAUAAAAAAAACAAAAGCUAAUAUUACACUCUUCUCUUGUCCGUGAGAAAAUGGCAUCAAGGAGUUUUAGGCUUUUAGAUCCACAAGUGUACAACCCAUCUGGUGGAAAAUUUGUUGCAGUAUCCUCUCCAUCAAAAUACCUUUUGUUUUGAUAUGAAACAUUUAUUUUGCACACCCUUGAAAUAGAAAGAUUAAAAUAAAAUUGAAAGGAUUAGUUUUUUUAUUUUUAUUUUUUUUCAAUGAUCAUUUAAUGUCUUUAUAUUAGUUUUCAAGUUUUGAGAUUAAGUUCACAGCUCUUUUUCUUUAAAGACAAGAAAUAUACCACAAGAUUAAAAACUGUUUUAUAUUUCAUUAAAAUAAAUAAAUAAAUAACUUAUAUAGUUACAAUAUUUUAUUCUUAAGCAAAUAAAUUGAUUUCAAGUGAUAGUAACAUGAAGGGUUUUCUUCCGAUCAAAUAAAAAAAAUUAUUUUAAUUAGAAAAUAUUAUUUAUUCAUCAAAAUAAUUAUUAUUUUGGAGGGAACGCUUCCCCCAAGAAAACCCAAACUCAAAUUUUUGAUAAGAAAACCCAAACCCAAUCCGGCAAAAUAAAAGGCAGAGGAGUACACAGGAGAAAAAAAAAAGGGGGGGGGGGAAGAGAACGAACGAACGAAACCAAAAGGAAAAGAAGCAGAAAACAGGGGAGAAUAAAAAGAAAGCCAGAGAGAGAUGUAGGGAAUUCCGACCGGUGAUGUUCUGAUAUUUGCCCAUUGGAGGCUAAGCACACUGACACGAUAUUUAACGUGGUUCGGCAAACCGCCUACAUCCACGGGAGAAGCCAUUACAUUAUAUAGGGAGAGUACAAGAUUUACAAUAAUAGAGGAGGAGGAAUCAUCCCCUCUUUGGCAACUCUCAACCUCACUCUAUUUCUCUCUUCUUAGUGCUGCAAUGGCAGCUACUGCUGGCUGCCUUGGCAGCCCACUCUCUCCUACAUUUCUCACAUCUUUGGCUUUACACUCUCACGUAUGCCUCUAUUUAUAGGCAUCCAUGGCAGCUCCUCUUGCUCUUUUGUCAACAAUGGUGGCCACCAACUCUAGCUCAUCUUCAACAAUAGUGGCUGCCAACCUUUGACAUUCCCGAAGGGCUGCUGCAUUUGUCAAUGGACNNNNNNNNNNNNNNNNNNNNNNNNNNNNNNNNNNNNNNNNNNNNNNNNNNNNNNNNNNNNNNNNNNNNNNNNNNNNNNNNNNNNNNNNNNNNNNNNNNNNAUUAAUGGUUGCUGCACAUUAAUGGCAACCAACCCAACAAUCACCCCCUUUGUCAUUUAUGUGGGCAAUUGUCCUCUUGCUUCUUCAGCACAUGCUUGCAUUCUGCAGCUCUUCCAAGCUUACCAUUUUUAGAGCGUUUGUGGCUAAGUUUACAGGUACUUGCCAAACCUCUCAAUCACCAGAGUCACCCAAACACCUCUUUGCUCACUCCAAAGGAUCACUUCAACCAGAUGGUUUGUCACAUCUCAUCUGAAGAGUGUUAAUGCUUGUCUCUGGAACAACAUUCCCCUUCAAGCAUAUCAACCAUGCUUGGCCCGGAAUGAUUUAUCAAGCCUUACACCAAGGCUUACAACACCCCCUCAAACGGGUAUUUCCAAGUGCGACAGUCAUUGAGUAUUUUAAUGUGAUCACGAGCUCACCACUCUUCCAAGAGUCUACUCAUCCCGGAGUUGCGUCUGCCCUCUGUUCCUCCCUAGGAACCACGCCUUACUUCUCCGUGAGUCUCCCGCUCUUAGUCUCAAGAGUCCAGGUAGCUUUCCCUUUUAACCAUGGGGACAACCCAUUAAAGGUUGAUCCAUCUCUAUCUUCAUACUCUGAGUAUUACAAUGUCAUUACUGAGCUCACCACCUUGACAGAGAUUGACUGUUCCCGGAACCUGCGCAUGCCCUCUGCUCCUUCAUAGCAGUCGCGUCUUAAUGCUCCACAAGUCAUCCACUUAUUGUCCAAGGCAAAUGUCUUCUAGCUCAUUGAUCUUUAGCAUGGGGGCAAUAUCCAUGAAAGUCAAUCCUGCAUUUGUCUCCAUACUCAUCAUAGCCAAUUGGCUAUACACUUGUCCACUUAUAUCCAGCCAUCACAUCGGUCUUUAGGGCAUUCUGAAAUUGGGCUCCUAUCAUGGCCCUCACACCUUCUCCUGAGGUGUCUCCGCCUGUUGUCAUGAGACGAUCUGAAUUUGGACUCAUAUCAUGGUCCUCACACCUUCUCCUGAGGUGUCUCCGCCUGUCGUCAUGAGACGGUCUGUACUUGGGCUCCUUUCAUGGCCCACACACCUUCUUGCCUGAGGUGUCUCUACUCGUCGUCAUACGGCGGUUUCUACUUGGGCUAGUUUCAUGGCCCACACACCUUCUGCCUGAGGUGUCUCCGCUCAUCGUCAUGCGGCGGUUUGUACUUGGGCUCAUUUUGUGGCCCACACACCUUCUAUCUAAGGUGUCUCCGCUCAUCGUCAUGUGGCGGUCACAUCCUCCUUCAUCGGGGAUGUCUCCAGUGGCUCCAAGAUUCUCUACCACCAUGUGAACUUGGGAGAGAUCACUGCCACUGGUCACAUAGAAAGAGAGAGUUGCGGUGCACUCUUCGCAAUCCUCCAUCUCAUUUUCUAUGUUUGGAGCUUCUAUGCCUUUCUGCUUGAUAGCUCCACCCACACCAACUCUCUUUGGUGUCUUCGCCUUUCAUCGGCGGUCGCACCCCCUUAAUUAGGUGCUUCUGCAACAACUCAUCUUUCCAUCAUUGCAUGCAUUGGAAAGGUCCUCGCUUGUUGCCUUUAUCAAGAGCACAAGAGACUUCCUGUUGUACAACUUUUUCACACAGUCUCUACUCUGAGCUUCAUCUGGGAACUCUUCUUCUCCUUGCAUCUGUUGUCUCAUUACAGUACCUCGUUGGAUCCUUUAGGUACUCCUGCAUAAUCUUCGUGUGCUCUCGUGCAAUUUCGGUUCUCCAGAUUUCUCCCUAUUCUUUGCUUUUAUGUUUGACAGCAGCUCAUCCUGUCACAUCAUUUAUCCAAGUCAAAAUAGGGUGCCAAUCUUUAUCCCUUGUUUUAUUUCUCUUUCAUUAUCAAGGUCUUCAUCAAUUCUCCCUUUGAGAAAUUACAGUCACCGAAUCUAACUUCUUUGAAGAAAUCACCACUCCAUCAGAUCCUUGAACAUACGGAACCCAACUGUUCCUUUAUGUCGUCAUCUUGCUAGUCUUCAACAGUUCCAUUACAAACUGUUACAUAUACAAAAAUAGUACUGUGUGGAUGAUCCUUCAACUAAGCAAGUUCCCAGGAAAGAUUUGGAGGGGUCACACUGAUCCCGCUUAAAACCCAAUCUCCUAGACAGAACUUCUUAGAACGUAUCUAUCCACUGUACUGCCUUUUUGUAUAUACAACCAUUUGCUAGCUUUUUUGCGGCUUUUCUUUACAAGUGAUCUGGGGUAUCCCGGUUUUAUACCUGAUUUCUCAACAUCUGGCGAGACUACCAGUUCUUAGAUUCAUCAAGAUUGGUCUUCAUCAAUUUCCACUCUCCACCUCAAAUCGUCCACAUGAUCGGGUGUCCAGAGUAUCCCAAUUUUGCCUUCCUUCAAGGCAAUUAAAAUUUCUCCCCAUUUAGCAGUUCAGCACAUGUAAUUGGGCAAACAUGUGCACUUUCUCCUUCUUCAUCUCCAUCGACCACCAUGAUGACCUUCAGAUGCCUCUUCAUCGGGCAAUCUCUUUUAAUAAUUCACCACCACCAUUUUCGGUCUCAAUCUCAAUGAUCGAACCGUACCAUUGCAUCCGGAACAAUCAAAUUAGCUGGAAACAAGUCUGAAAUCAUCCAAAUCGCAUUUCAGAUGGCUAAGAUUUGAUCAAAACAAUUCUGGCCUGAUUAACGGCCCAGAUUCAAUCUCAGAUCUGGUUGCAUGUAGACUCUACUGCACAGAAUCUUAUCCCUCGGCUCGCGGCUCGGCUCGGCUCAAAAACGGCUCGGCUCCCAUUGUGCUGACGUGUCUGCCGACUGGACGCUGACAUGGCAUGUUGACUGUGCAUGCUGACGUCUCCAUUACAUCAUGCUGAUGUUAUCAUGGGCCAUGCUACUGUACAGGAUGAUGUCACGAUUACAUCAUGCUAAUGUCAUCCCUGGCAUGUCUGCUGUUCAUGCCGACGUCACUUUUACGUCAUGCUGAUGUCAUCCUUAUCCGAGUCAGUCACAUGGGUCGGGUCAGCUGGUAUUCGGGUCGGUCAACCCAUCCGGGUGAAGAAGACGCGUGGCACGCAUGGGGCGCGUCUGCCAAAGAGUGAUGGAGAGUGCGGCCAUGUCCGACGUCCGAUUUUGACGCCGUUUUCACCAGUGGCUUCGACUCUUCCUCCUCUACACGGUGGUAUGGUCAAAACACAAUUUUCACAACUUUCAUUUUUGAGCAAAAAUCAAACACCACUUUAAACCAUAUGCUCUGAUACCAAUUGUAGGGAAUUCCGACCGGUGAUGUUCUGAUAUUUGCCCAUUGGAGGCUAAGCACACUGACAUAAUAUUUAACGUGGUUUGGCAAACCGCCUACAUCCACGAGAGAAGCCAUUACAUUAUAUAGGGAGAGUACAAGAUUUACAAUAAUAGAGGAGGAGGAAUCAUCCCCUCUUUGGCAACUCUCAACCUCUCUCUAUUUCUCUCUUCUUAGUGCUGCAAUGGCAGCUACUGCUGGCUGCCUUGGCAGCCCACUCUCUCCUACAUUUCUCACAUCUUUGGCUCUACACUCUCACUCUCAUUUUCUCUCAUGUAUGCCUCUAUUUAUAGGCAUCCAUUGCAGCUCCUCUUGCUCUUUUGUCAACAAUGGUGGCCACCAACUCUAGCUCAUCUUCAACAAUGGUGGCUGUCAACCUUUGACAUUCCGGAAGGGCUGCUGCAUUUGUCAAUGGACGGUGCCGUCCAUUAAUGGUUGCUGCACAUUAAUGGCAACCAACCCAACAAGAGAGAGAGAGAGAGAGAGAGAGAGAGAGAGAGAGAGAGAGAGAGAGAGAAUAAGAAAAGCCACAGAGCUAAACGGGGAACUAAGAACAUAAGCUUCAUCCGGUUUGUUGGCAACAUAGUUAUCAAACCCGUUCAGGAGCUGACUUAGCUAAGGUCGGUUCUCAGGUUUUAUGAAUCAAUCUGAAUCAACCACAAAGUUUUUAAUAUUUUAUAUAAAAAAAUUAAAAAAAAAUCUAUAUGAAUAUAAGCUAUAAAUAUUGUAAAUAAUAAAGUUUAAAAGAAUAUUUUAAAAAGUUUUUUAUCUCAUAUUGAAAAUAUACUAUGUUAUGCUUUUAAGUUGAAGUAUUUAAACCAAAAUUUUUUUUUAUCCCACAUUGAAAAAGUAUAAUUUUUUUCUUAUAAACAUAAAGUAUAUAUACGAAAUAACUUCAAAUUCCACAUUGAAAGAACAACUUUUUCUUGUGAACAUAAUAGUAUAUAUAUUAAUAAAGGGUUUCAAAUUCCAUAUCGAAAAGAUAUUAUAUUAUCUUUUUAAGUUAAAGUAUUUAAACCAAAAAUUUUUUUAUCCUAAAUUAAAAAAACAUAAUUUUUUUUUGUGUUCAUAGAGUAUAUAUACGUAAGGGCUUCAAAUCCCACAUUGAAAAAAUAACAUUUUUUCCUGGAAACAUAGAGUAUAUAUAUUAAAGGGUUUCAAAUCCCUAUUUGAAAAAAUAAAACACUUUUCUAAUAUUUAUAUAGUGAGCUUUAAAAAGUGUUAAUAAUCAACUAAAAAAAUAUGAAAAAAGAGGGGUACAGGAGAAAAACCACAUUUGAAAAAAAAACACUGAGUCUCGCCCGGAUCAUGGGUUAGCCCAUCGGGUCAACCGGGUUUGGCCGGGUCGUUGCACCGGCCGGUCUUUUGGCAAACUCGGACCGGUCUAGCCACUGGGUCAACCCACCGGGCCGGUCCGGGUUUAAUAACUAUGAUUGGCAGUCGAACAAGAUCUUCGUCCCAAGGCCAUAUGCAAGAGAAGUGUUUCUCGUUCCCUCCCCCACCAAUUUAAUUCACUUAUUGUUGCAAGCGUGUGAUAACACUUCACACACAGAGAAAACCCAACGGUUACUGGUCUGAACCAGUAACCGGGUCGGGCAGCUGGAUCGGGCAGCUAGUCUGAACUAGUAACACUAAAAAAAGGAGAAGAAGAAUGGGUUGGGUCUAGGCCUCAGCCCAGCCAACUCAAAUUGUGUUUGCUAAAGAUUAUGUAUUUGUCAUGCAUUUUUAUCCCCAUUUUAUUUUGAUAUCUGGCCAAAUAAAUCAUUUUUGGAUAUUGAAAAAUUUUAGAAAUAUUUAUGGAUCUUUGUUGAUUUAUUUGGGCCCCUCGUUCUUUGUUUUAUAUUUUUUUUAUUUUGCAUAUUUGUUUUUGCUAUAUGCUUAAUCUACAUACCUUUACUGUUAAAUACAAAUCUUCUGUGUAAUGCAUCUUUUUUUAUUCUUAAGCAUUGAUUAUAAAAAUGAAGUCAUAACUUGAUAUGAAAAUGCAAGCUGCCAUAGCCUUCUUUGCAGCUGAAUACAUAGAUAGAAAGGGAAAUCUGAUUGCCUCUAUACCUAAUUCAAAUUUACAACCUUUUCUUAUUCAAAAUUCAGCAACCUAUAAUUGUGAUCUAAGUAAAAACUAUUGAAAGAGUUCUUUGAAACUGCUAAUUAACAAGGUUUACUCUCUACUUGAAUCCCUAACUAGUUUCUUCAAUAUAGUAGUAUUUCAGCCAAAUUAUAAAUUAUAAAUCAAAGUUGGUUGUUUCCUUGCCAUAAUUAUUUAAAAUAAAAAAAUAGUUUUUUUUUUCAUGAACACUUGUACUGAUCACUUCUAUGAAUAUACGUUGUUGUUGAUGAAUGAGAAUUUAAGAGGAUAGGAUUUUAGGAUUUCUAGAAAAACCAACUCUCUUAAAUUCUGUCGUAUUUUCUGUUUUUAUUUUUAUUAAUUUGAAUUUUCUUUGUUAUUUUUUAAUAUUUUCUUAGAUGAAAUUGAAAUAUUUUAUAUAAAGUUUAAAAACAAUAUUGAAGUUUAUUUAUAUAUAUUCUGUGUUACAAUUACUGAAAAUUAGAAAAAAAGAUUGUUACAAAAAUGAACGGGCUGUUAGUGAAUUCAUUUAUAUCCUCUAGUGUUAACAAGUAUGUCUGUACUAUCUCUUGCAAAUGACAGUGAGAAGUUUUAGAGCUUUUUUAUUUGUGUAUUUUUUAAAAAUUAAUUUUUUUUAUUUUAAAUUAAUUUUUUUUAUUAUAAUUUUGAUGUAUUGAUAUCAUUAAUAAAUUUUUUAAAAAUAAUAAUAUUAUUUUAAUAUAUUAAAAAAACACUUUUAAAAAUAAAUAUUACUGCACCAAAAAUAGAGUAUUCGGUUUUUAGAGCCCCAAGCAUACGACUCCAUCUCGUGGAAAACAUUGCAUGAUGGCAAUGGGUCUCACGGACCCAUAUCGUGUAAAAAAUGCAUUCGGUGGAAAAUUUGCUGCAAUGUCUUCUGCAUCAAAAUCCUUUUUGUUUCGAUAUAAAAUAUUUAUUUCGUGUACAUUUGAAUUAGGAAGAUUAAAAUAAAGUUGAAAGGAUUAUUUUUUUUCAUAUAUUUUUUAUUCAAUGAUCACUUAAUAUCCUUAUAUUAGUUUUCAAGUUUUGAGAUAUAAGUUGAUAGCUUUUUUCUCUUCUAAGAAAAGAAAUAUACCACAAGAUUAAAAACUAGUUUAUAUUUCAUUAAAAUAAAUAAAUAAAUUACUUAUAUAGUAACAAUUUUUUUUUCUUGAGUAAAUAAAUUGGUUUAUGUUAUAAAAUUAUGUAUCAAGAAGUUUACAAUAACAAUAUAAUUAUUAAACAGUAAAUAGAAUAUAUAAAAACAAUAAAGAUUAGGGAGAUAAAAAGAAAGUAUUUUUAUUUUAUAUGGAUUUGUAGUUAUAUUUAUUCACAAUACUUCUAAACUCUCUCAACAAUGCUUUUAUAUAUAUAUAUAUAUAUAUAUAUAUAUAUAUAUAUAUAUAUAUAUAUAUAUAUAUAUAUAUAUAUAUAUACUUGUAAGCUUAAAGAUUAUUAAAAAAAAUAUAAAUUUAAAUGAAUUUUGAAAUAUUCUAAUUAUAAUAAAACAUUUAUAUUUCCAUUAAUUAAUCGGUGGUUGCUUCUUCUUUUUUCAUGAUAUUUGAAGAAUAUAUUAAAAUAAUUAUUUAAAGAAUGAUCAAAACAAAAGAACGAGAAGUCAAGUCAGUUGAAAUUACAUAUUAUCCCUUCUCAAGCGGCAAUGGUCUCACGGACCAUCUCACUGAUCCAUAUCGUAGAAAAAAUAUAGAUGACAAUGGUCCCCACAUCUCACAUGUUAAAUAAUAUAUUUAUUUUGUUUAAUUUAUUAAAUGUAAAAUAAUUUUUUUAAUUUAAUUUAUAUAUAAUUUUUUUAUAUUUAAAUUAAAACAAGUAUUUUAAAAUAAACAGAUUAAUAUGAAAUUUUUUUUAUAUUAAUAUUUUUAAAUUAAUUUAAAUUGCUUUAACAUCAUAGAUCCAUUUACACUGCAAAUCCCUAUCUCUUGACUGCGUUAAAAAAAUAGAUGAUAAUAAUGUUUGAUUUUGCCAACAACAUUAAAAUUAAGGCAUGAUUUUCUUCACGUGAUUUCCGUAAAGAAAACAGCGACGGCUCUAAUAUCCAUCAUCUUCAUGGAAAGUGAGCUGGCUAGCGUUGAUCUUUAAUUCAUGUUUUUCCACAAAAGACUUUGACUUGGGGUAGCUGGCUAGCGAUAACUUGGGGUCAACUUUUCAGUUAAUUAUUUUUAUGCAAUUUUAUUUUAUAUUUAAUUAAAAUAGACAUUCGAAUCAGUUUGUGUAUAUUUUUACUAAUCUUAUAAAUCCUAAAAUUAACAAUUAUAUAAACCUCUAAUAAUUAUUAUAUUAACAAAAUUCAAUUUUAUUUUACUACGGGGUUUCAAUUAAUGUUAGUAAGAUCCAGUUCAGCUUGACAGCUUCAUCCAUAAUGUCUUUCUAGGUUUACAUACCUCAUUUUUCAGGCAUGAAGAGAUAUAAUUAUCAAAAUUUUAUAUUUUAAUACUAUAACUCAUAAAAUUAUUUUCGUUCUUUCUAUAUAGUUUAUGUUAUCAGAAGCUUGAAAUAUCUAAGAUUUUCAUUCCAAAGUUUUUUGAAAACCAAUUUCAUUUUUACCAGAAUCAUUUUUUUUUUCACACUUGAGAAAUUCAGCCAAAAAAAAGUUCUAAGGACAAUUGUGGUCAGAUUUGUAGGCAAACAAAAAGGGUCAAAAUCCACUAAUAUUAGUUGAUGAUGGCAUUUAAAUUAUUCCCCUUUAUGAAUCCUAUUCUUUCUUUAAAAGUAAUUCGUACCCAACUUAUCAAUUAUACAUUGAAUUAAUUGGGGCCGCACAGAUUCAUACAAAAACGUUGCCUCUUCCAUUUUGUUGCUAUUUUCUAUAACAAAAAUUUGUAAAAUGAUUUGAAAAUAUCUUUUUCUGUGAAGUUAAUAUUAUUAAACUUUCAUUUUUUUCAUAUUUCAAGAAAAAAUAUCUCUUGCUUUUCAUCCUCGUUUUCAUAAGAAUAAACACUAUAUUUCAAACACGCACGAAUACAACAUCUAUGGAAUAACUUUGAUAUUGAAAGUUUUUGGCAGUUUUGAAUUUGACCUACGUAUUUUGAAUUUUUUUUUAAUCAUAUUAUCCCUUUAGUUUUGGUGGGGUAAGUAUUGUCCUUCUAAUUGCAAUUUUUUUUUUUUUGUUUUUUACCAUACAAUUAGUGAAAUAAAUUUGAAUUGAUAUUUGUGUUGUAAUGUAUUCCUUUAAUAUUAAAUAUUUUUGGAUAUUUGUGUUGUAAAUUUGAAUUGAUCAUCUUUAAAAAUCAUGUAAUAAUGUAAUACACAAGGAAAGUAAAAACUCAUGGAAUUGAAAAGCCCCGCUGUAUAUAAACCCUCAAAACCGAAUGGAACUGCAUAAAUUAAUACAACAUUGCUUGAUCAUGCCUUUAAACUUGUUUAAAUCUUAAAACUAGAAUACACAACGAUGCACCAAGUCUUGGUACCAUCAAGGCUAUGAAAACCCAAACUUGGAUAAAAUAGGAAGAUUGUCCACUAGAAAAUAAUAACAAUUGUUGAUGCUCACCUCAAUAAAGUGAAACCAAGCUCGUCGCCAAUAUGGAUUUAUGUAUAGAACUGCACCUAUCACCAGUAGCACCAUGAUGUAUGCAACCCAAAAGGUCACAUAGAAAACCUCUAUAUCCAUGAAACCACCAUUAUCUUUAUUGUUCGUUGAAGUUGGUGUUGGUGAUGGUGACAUAUCCGCACCACAUAUUUUAGGUAGCGGUUCUCACAAGAAAGGGUUGUCCUUGUAGCAGCUCUCCUCAAACGUGGCAAAUUGUGCAACUCUCGCAGAAGUAUUACCGGACAAAUUAUUAUGAGCCACACUAAAAACUUCUAAAGAAAAUAGUUCAGUAAGUCGAGGUGGGAUUUCUCCAUCCAGUUUGUUGUAGGAAAGAUCCAAGCUCUCUAUUUCCUUUAAGUUGGAAAAUGUUGGUGGAAUUGGUCCGGUCAAAUUAUUGUGCGAAAGGUUCAAUACCUUGAUCAUACUGAGGUUUCCAAUUUCAGGAGGAAUCUCUCCUGUGAAAUUGUUGCAUGAGAAAUCAAUUCCUUUGAAGUACCAGAUAAUGUCGCCUCUAUAAGAAAGGGAUACAUUCUUCGUUGUAAACUCGAAGGAUUGAUGUGAUAUGGCCAGCAAAUCAAAGUAAGUGCUUUCUACUGGGAAAUUAUGAGUAGAUAUCAUCCAAGAGAGGAUGUUACCAGAAAGGUGGUUAUGAGAAAGAUCAAUCAGGAUCAAUAGGUCCAACCUGGAUAAUUGAAUUGGGAUUUCACCUUCAAGAUUGUUAUAACUCAAGAGUAAAAAUCUCAAGUUAGAUAGCCUGUCAAUCCAUUCUGGAAUUGUACCAGUGAAAUUAUUAUGGGAAAGAUCUAAUGCGAAUAUCUUAGAGGAGUCAUAAAAUGCCAUUGCAAUCGGCCCUUGCAACUUAUUUCUAGACAAAUAAACAUAUCUCAAAUUUAAAGAAGUGCCGAAUCUAGGUGGUAAACGACCAGAGAAAUUAUUCCCUGAUAAAUCCAAGAAUUCAAGAGAAGACAUAUUCCCUAUCCAUCCAGGGAUCUGCCCUUGCAAACUGUUGUUGGACAGGUCUAACACUUGCAGCGAGCUAAUGUUACCCAACGAGAAAGGAAUGCUUCCAUUGAAACCAUUGUCAGACAUAAAUAAAACUUCUAACCCUGGCAAACGAGCUCCGAUUUCUGAAGGGAUUUGGCCUUGGAAGUGAUUCAUGGAUAUACUUAGGAAUGACAAAUUCACAUGAGAAUUCUUUGGCAACAAGAAUGGGCCUGAAAGAGAACAGUUUUCUAAAUAAAGUUCUUUUAGGUAUGUGUUGUUCUCAAUCAACCAAUUUGGAAACUCUCCCUUUUUUUGGAUAUUUGUAAGAUCCAAAGAUUGUAGGCUGAACUGAUGGUAAAGGAAUUUGGGAAAUGCACCACCUUGUCCAAUACCACUCAAAUAAAGGGACUCUAACUGGAACUUUGGGCUCAGAUUAUGAUCAUCUUCUUCUGAGAAUAUUUCAUUACCUGAACCAUAAAAAGACUUGAGUUUUGAAAGGUUGUAUAAUGGGCUCAAUGACAAAGGAAUCUUCAAGUGAUUGGAAGAGAGAGAGAGUUGUUGAAGGGAAGUCAAAUUUGUCAGACAUGAAGGCAAGACACCAUUAAAAUCAUUGUCACUCAUAUCUAGCUCUUGGAGAUGAUUUAAGUCACAUAGGCCUGGUCACAUUAUAAUUUAGAGAAAAUUAAAACUUUGAGUGUCUAAUGAAAAAUACAUAACAUAGAGAGAAAAUAAGAGUGAUCAACCUUACCUUGGGUUGUAGGUAAUUGACCAUUUAAAUUACAACUCUGCAACCUUAAAGUUUUAAGAGAGGUCAUCGUUCCGAUGGCUUGGAAGAUGCUAUUAUUGAGAGUAUUGUAACUCAAAUCCAAGUAUUCCAAGUUCUUGAGAUCACGAAAGCCUGUCACGAUCAAUUAAACAAGAAAUUAUAUUAGCGUAGAAGGAAUUAAAAUUAGAAAUAAUUCAUUACUUAUUAAUCAUGGCUAAAAAAAUGAAAAACAUCAGGUAAGUGUAGAAAUUAUAUUGUUCAAUUAAUAGAAGGUUGUUUUAUUCAUCUGACCCAAAAAAAGAAAUACACCAUUGUUAAUUUAUUCUCCUCCUAAAAAUAACACUCUUUAUAUGUGAAGUUAUAUUGUUUUUUAUGUUAUUAUUUUAAUUACAUUACACUGAAAUGCUAUUGAGAGAGGGGUAAAAUUAAAGUGACAUAUUAUUUAUAUUAAAUGGAUGGUACAAUUUUAAAAUACUAAAGAUUUCAAUUGAGUUAAUUUCUAAAUUUGAGAUUUAAUUGUCUCUCUGUUUUUUUUAUAUUAUGAAUUUAAUUUCUAUUGGAUUUGAGUGUAAUAGGUUACAAAAACAUAAAAAAGGAAUUCUAUAUAGACACGUCUAAUCAAGCAGGCAUAGAAGUUGAAAUUUGUUAAUUCACCUCCAAAAGGUACAAUGCCAUUGAGUUCUUGCAAUAACAGAUAUUUUAGAUAAGACAGUACUCCAAGGUUUUGAAGAGAGUGUUCAUCUAGAGAACAACCGUCUAGAUACAACUCUUCCAAUGAGCUUAAAUUCUGCAACCCUGUUUGUUCAAAAAUAGCAAAUUGUAUUUUUCAAUUAAACCCAAAUAUAUGAACAUCACUAUAUAUAAUAACUUACUCUCACCUAAUAUUCUUCCUCUAAAAUCAUUGCCUUCCAAGUGAAGUGCCACGAGGUUUGGGAAUGAUCCUAAUAAACAAAGAAUACUCAAGUUAAAAAUAUUAUAAUUUCAUCAAACCACUAAUAUGAUAUAUUACACUAUUAUUUUUUUCAUAUUUUGUUUUGCUUUCCCUGGUUUAGAAAAUGCCAUAUUUUUUUUAAAUAAAAAGAAAUUAUAAUGACUCCAAUUUAGUUAAUUUCCUAAUUUGAAUAGUCAAUAAUAAGUAAUAGUGGAGUUGAAAUUUUUUAAUUUACCUAUAAAAGGUACAGUGCCAUUGAGAUUUUGCAAUGACAAUUGUUUUAGAGAAAGCAAUGCUCCAAGACUUUGAAGGGAGUGUUCAUCUAGAGAACAAUAGCCUAGAUCCAACUCUUCCAAGGAGUUCAAAUUCUGCAACUCUGUUUGUUCAAAAGUAGCAAAUUAAAAUUUUCAAUUAAACCCAAAUAUAUAAACAUCACUGUGUGUGUGUCUAUAUAUAUAUAUAUAAAAAAAACCUACCGUCACCUAAUAUUCUCCCUCUAAAAUCGUUGUACCUCAGAUAAAGUGUCGUGAGGUUUGGGAAUACUUUUAAUGAUUGCAGUAACUGGAAGCUACUUCCAUAGGUUGUGAUAUUCUCUAGGUAUAGAGUACUCAAAUUGCUUGAACCUGCAAGUUAGUUAGGGAAGAAACAUACAAAAGCGAAGAUAAUUAGUAUUGUUGGAUGGGCUCAUCAUCAUGACGCUAACAGGUAGGUAAUGUGAAUGUGUUAUUAAUUACCUCUUGAGGCUAUCAAUUUGUUAAUAUUGUUGCCGCCCAAAUACAAGGUCUCCAAGCUGCUCAAAGAUUCUUAAUAUUUAUAUAAAAAAAUAUUUAAUUAAUUCACUACAACACAAAAAUUGUGUUUUUCAAAAUUAAAUUUAAUAGAUAAUUGUGUUAAUUAAAUUGAAUAUUUAUAAAAAUAAUAGUAUAUAAAAAAACUAACCUUCCAAAUCUAUUAACCCCUCAAGUCUAUUAUAAUCUAAAUAUAAUAAUUUAAGAGAUGAAAGCCCCUUCAUAGAUGAUAAAAUAUUGUUAUCAAAGCGAUUAGAUCCCAAGUCAAGGAUCUCCAAAUUGCUCAAUCUUGAUAGUUCAUAACCACCUAUAUAAAAUAAAAAAUAAAAUUAAGACUUCAUGUAAAGAAUAAAAAAUAUAUUAUUGGAGUAAUUUAAUUAUGAUUGAUCAAGAGGCAAGUAAUUGUUACAGUGACUUCAUGUAAAGAGGUAGAGGCGGUGAAAGAAAAAGGAAUAAUUGUUACAAUGAUGAUGUCAUGAUUAUAAUAAUGUAAGGAAUUAAACAACACCUUACUGCUAAAUAUGAUUUCUAUUUUCUUCGAUGAAUUACUGUGGAGAACCAAAAUUAAUGAUACUAAUUAAACAACACCUUACUUGAUUAAUUAAAAAAACUAAUAUAAAUAUUUUGUAAUACUUAAGAGAGCAAACCUCUGUUCUCGACCAAACCAGCUAUACGAUUAUUCCACAAGUGGAGAGCGUAGAGUUGUUGGAAAGGAAGGAACAAGGAGGCAUUCAAGUACCAAUCUCCCAGUUCCUGGUUCCUUACGCUGUCAAGAUAGAGUCUGGUGACUCGACCUGUACUGCUGUUGCAGACAAUACUUUCCCAAUCACAACAGUGGGCGUCAGCUUUUAUCCAGGAGGGAAGGGAGGUGCCAUUGGGAUAGUUAAGAGAAUCUUUGAGGUGCAACAGAGCGAUCCUCUCUUCCUCCAAGCAACCAAGAGGCUGCCAUCCUUGCAGCGAAACCGUGAUCACUAACACCGUCAACACCUGAAGGAACAGCCCCAUCUUAAUAUAUAUCAACUAUUACAAUAUUAAUUGUUGCAAAUGGCAGCGAGGAGGUGAAGGCUUUUAUAGAGGACUUCACGGACCCAUGCCGUGGAAAAAACUGCAUAGUUGUUUUAAAGAAUUCCAUAUCAUAAUGAAAACAAUCUCAGUAAUUUAGUCCUAUUUAAACUCUAGUUGAUUCUGAUUUUUAAUGAAAAGAUAGGAUUAAAAAAGAAGGGACUGAAAUAAAAAAAGACACUAAAUAUAAGUGCUAUGCUAUAAGUUUUCUAAGGAAUGCAUUUUGUUUUUUAAAUUUUAUAAAGCUAUAUCCAACUCCAUAUUUUUACGGGUACAGUAUAAAGCUAUAUCCAAUCUAGCCUUGAUGUUGUCCUUUGUCUUCCCCUUCACAUCCAUGACGGUGUUGAAAAUAUUCUCAAACAUGUUCUUUUCAAUAUGCAUGACGUCAAGGUUAUGGCGGAGCAAAUUGGUCUUCCAAUAAGAAAGCUCCCAAAAGAUACUUCGCUUUACCCAAUUAUGGGUCAAACCAAAACCAGGAAACUUUUGCUUACCUGAUUGAAGGCCAAACACAAUGUCAUCGUACUCUGACACAACAUCAUGCAAUUCUUCACCAGAAAGACGCGGGGAUGCAACAUCUUUUUCAACUCUGCCAACAAAGAAAUCUUUUCUGUUCUUUCUGUACAUGUGAUUAAGUGGCAAGAAGCGACGGUGACAGUCAAAAAAAGAAGCUUUACCUCCGUUUGCUAGCAUGAAUGCCUUGUUGUUUUUCAUGCAGUAUGGACAUGCGCGUUUCCCAUGCGUGCUCCAACCAAAAAGCAUUCCAUAAGCUGGAAAAUCAUUGAUAGUCCACAUCAAAGCCGCCCUCAUAAGGAAAUUUUGUUUCCUCGAUAUAUCAUAAGUCAGAGCUCUGGAGGACCACAACUGCGUCAACUCAUCAAUCAACGGUUGAAGACAAACAUCUAUAUUCCGCCCCGGGCUGCUUGGACCGGGUAUGACAGUAGAUAAAAACAUGAACUCCGGCCUCAUACACAUUCCCGGUGGCAAGUUAUAAAUUAUGAGUAUGACCGGCCAACAAGAAUAAGGAGCAGCAAAUGACCCAAAUGAGUUGAAUCCGUCUGUACACAACCCAAGACGCACAUUCCUUGAUUCAACUGAAAAGUGAGGAUGCACACUAUUAAAGAGUUUCCACACUUUGCCGUCAGAAGGAUGCACCAUCACUCCAUCAACCGCAUCAUGUGCUUGGUGCCAUGUCAUGUGCUCAGCAAUCCUUGGUGACAUGAAUAACCUCUGCAGUCUAGGUGUGAUCGGGAAGUAUCUAAGUUUUUUAUAUGCCACUAGAGUCUUUCCCCUGCCAGUUCUAGGUUUGUAACGGGAAUGCUCGCAUGUCAUGCACUCGGUCAUCUCAGCAAUUUCAAGGUAGUAUAACACGCAGAAGUUAAGGCACAUGUCAAUUUUCUGGUAUCCUAAACCGAGGGGUUUCAUCAUGGACUUCGCAGCAUAGAAGUUCUCUUUCAGCUUGUUCCCUUCAGGUAAAAUGCUUCUCGCCCAUUCAAUAAUCUUAUCAUACCCGGCCUUACUCAACCCGUGAUCUGACUGGAUGGUGAACACAUAUGCUACGGCCGAUAAUUUACUGUGGUUCGUGCAGCCAUCCCAUAAUGGUUCGUUAGAAUCUUUCAACAAAUCAAAAAACCUAGCUGCAUCUGCAUUAGGUUCUUCUUGUACGAUCGGACAUUGACUGACAUUACCUUGAUUCAUUCUCAUUGCAUCUAUAACCAUAUUUCUGUAAGGAUUGGUGUUGUCAUUUGCCGCUUCAUGCACGUUGCUAGCACUAGAAGUAGACCCAACCACCGUUUCUUCCAUUCUCCUCUUACUAACAAAUACUUCUCCAUGUGCAUACCAACACUGGUAAUUCUUCAUAAACCCUUUGUGUAGAAGAUGCAUCAUUACAACAUCUGGAUGCAGAUAUUUUUUAUUUUGACACUUUCUGCAUGGACACCUAAUACCGCCUCUAGUAAAAUUUCUAGGAAUAGAUGUUGUGAAAUUAAUAAAACCCUGAACCCCGUUACAAUAAUCAAUCCUCCGCAAUCCUUGGGGUGAAUCUCGAUACAUCCAUGAACGAUCAUCCAUGACUUAUAUCGAACCUUUAUAAAAUUACGAUGACAUCAUGUAUUAAUUAACUAAGUUAGGUAAAUAAACUUGCAAAAAUAUUACUUUACCACUCCAACAAACCAAUCACAACUUCUCAUAAAUAUUAAAUAUUCAUUAUCAUUUAUCAACGUCCAUACAAAUUAAUAUAUAUAAAUUUACAUAAAUUACCACUCCACAAUACCAUUGAUAAAACUUUAAACGGACCCAUUAACCAAGCUAUUAAUCAUUUCAAAACAGCACAUGCAAUUCGGUAGUUCCAUAAAGUUUUAACAAUUUACAAACAAAUACAAUCUUACAAAAUCUAAAACAAACCAUAAUAGGUAUAGAAUUAUACAUUCAUAUACUACAAGUUUGUUUGAGAAAUAACAAUAAAACAUGUACAUCUACUAACAAAAUACAUAUACUAAAAAAACAAUAAAAUUGACAUUUAAUUAAAUGUUAAAAUUUAAAAAUAUAGAAUUACUUACAAAAAUUGAUAAAAUCCGUCGGUAAAUCAGAACACGGAUGCUGUGACCACAAAACUUCAAGAAAUAUAACUUGUUGUGCUAAGAUGAGGGAGAUUUUUGUUUGGGGGGGAGGGGGGGCUGGUUGUUUGCAGAUGGGGAGAGUUGGGAUUAGGAAGAAGAAGGAGAAAUAGGGGAGGAGAGGGUCGGCAAAGAGGACAUAUAUUAACUUUUUCCAACGGUUUCACCGAUAGAAAAGCCAUCGGUGAUGUCGUCGGUGAUUUUGACGGAAAAAUCGACACGUCACCGUACGGAUCUGGCAUUUCGAAUCUCUCGGUGAUUCUGUCGGCAUUUUAAAUGGCGAACCGGUCACGUCACUGUACGGGCUGUCAUUUUGAAUCCGUUGGUAAAAAUAACCCCGCCAAAACCUCCACGUUAGCGACUCGCCUUUUUUUUAAAUACAGAAACUUUUCCGUCCGUAAUUCAAUCGGUAACUACCGACGGAAAUUUUUCGUCGGUAGUUACCGACUGAAUUAUGGACGGAAAAGUUUAUGUCGAUAAUUUUGACCUCAAAUUACCGACAGAAAUAUUCCGUCGGUAAAUCCGUUGUUAUUUAGCGAAUUUCUGGUAGUGUAUUUUUUAAUUUCUAGUUAAGAGAGGAGAGAGAAAUCAUCAAAUUCUAACGGGCCCAACUCUCAUUAAAAAUGGUGAAAAAAAAUGCAUGAUGGCAUAGGAUGAUAGUGAUAAACUAAUGCCUGUCCGUAAAUUUGUUUACUUUGAUUUCUCUAAUAAAUGUAAGGUUUACAUAAAGUAACUAUGGAAUAAUAAGAAUAUUAACAAUAAAAUUUAUUUAUAAAUAAAUCAUAGAUUUAAUUUCUCUGAAUUUUAAAUUUGGUGUGAAUAAAUUCAAGGGAUUUCCAAGAUAAAUAGUACAAUAUUAGCCUUUCAAAAAAUUGAGAAUCUCCCACUCUUCACUUUGUCUAUAGUUUUACCUAUAUUAUUGUCACAAAUUAGGGAUAGUUAAAACUAGUGAUAUUUCUCGCACGCUCUUAAGACUAUAGUUUUUUUAAUGACAAUUUAGUUCUAAUUAAAGACCAAUUAAUUUUGAUUUAUUAUGAAAAGAUAGGAUUGAACGAAGAGGGACUGAAAUGAAAAAGACACCAAACAUGGGUCUCAUGCCAGAAGUUUCACAAAUGAUGCAUUUUGGUUCUUAAACUUUGAAAAUCACGCAAAUCAUACAAUUUCAGUAUCUCAAUAUUUUUCCAAUUUGAUUUUGAUAUAAAAGUUUAUUUUUGUUAUUUUUAAUCCCUGGUUAAGAGAGGGGAGAGAGAGGUCAAUAAAUUCAGGCAGUAGAGAGAGAAAAGUAUUAUUGAUACCGAUUGAAACAACCAAAAUUGACUAUAUUUGUGUCAAAUGGCUUUAUUUGAUGAUGAAAGCUCACAUUAAGUAUUUUUUUUACCUUUAAAGUUCGUGAAAAAAGAGAUCUGAUAUUUAGUUGAUUUUUACCUUGAAAGAAACAUGAUAAGUAAUUCUUUUUCUUAACACCACUGAUCACUUCUUUGAAUAUACGUUAUUGUUAAUGUAUGAGAAUUUAAGUGGACUGAAUUUUAGGAUUUCUAGAAAAAUUAAUUAUCUCAAAUUUUGGGUUUUUAUUUUUAUUAAUUUGGAUUUUCUUUCUUACUUUUUAAUAUUUUUAGAUGAGACUGAAAUAUUUUAUAUAAACUUAAAAAACAACGGUACUGAGAUUUAUUCAUAUAUAUUCUGUGUUACUAUUAUUUAUAUAAAUGGAUGAAGCAUUAAAAUUAUAGAAGGUGAUUAUUACAUACUAAACUCUGAAGAUGAAAUUGAGAAAUCUCAAGGAGCAAACUAAAAUUUAAACAAAAUCUGACCAAGUCGUUCCAGAAGACAGGAAAGAAGAUAAAAACAAUGGAAUCACAUCAACAUCACCAGCAGUAUAACGUUCCCUUUCAAUUAGAAAGCUUAGAAAUAAAUUGAUUUCACGUGAUAAUAACAUGAAGGUUUUUCUUCCGAUCAAAUAAACAAAUUUCUAUCUCCCAUCUGGUCUGCUUUUGUUCUAGUCUCUCUCUCACUUUUGUUCUUUCCCUUUCUUCUUCUUUUGAGCUGCUUUGUCUCUCUUUCUAUCCCCCAUGAUCUCUCAAUCCAUCAAAAUUAUAAAUACAUAGCAUUUAGCGUUAAUAAGAAUUAUACCCAUUGAAUUAUACAUAUUAAUCACUUGAUGAAAAAUUAAAUAUGACUAGAAAACAAAUACAAAAAAAAAAUGAUAGUAUAUUAAUCUAAGGUCUAUUGUCCAUUAAUUGGACGGUGGUUGUAUUCUAAUACACUAAAUUGAGAUUUAUUUUUCUAUACAAGAUGAAAUUAAAACAUAUUAUACCUUUUCAAGUUUACAGGGCAAUAUAAUCUCACGGAUUCAUCUCAUCUCGUAGAAAAAACAUUGAUAGCAAUGGUCUCAUGGACCCAUCUCACACUAUACAUUCUAAUCCAAUUUAACAUUUUUGUUCAAUAUAUAUAAUCUCUUUGUUCAUAUAUAUUGUGUGACUCUUUACUUGUAUAAACGGAUGAAGCAUGGAAAUUAUAGUACUUUCUUUUUGUAAUAUUUUUAAUCUGAAUAUCUUUUAGGAAAAAAUGCAUGAUGGAAAUGUUCUCUCGGACCCACCUCAUGGGGAAAAAAUGCACGAUGGCACCAUCCAACGGGCCCAUUCAUGGAAAAAUGGAUGAUGGCAAUGGUCGAACUCUUGGAAAAAAUGGAGAGUGAGCUGGCUAGCGUUGACCUUUCAUUCAUGUUUUUCCACAAAAGACUUUGACUUGGGGUAGCUGGCUAGCGCUAAUCUUGCAUUAAUGUUUUUCCACAAAAAAACUUUGACUUGGGGUCAACUUUUCGGUUAAUUACUUUUAUGCAAUUCAAUUUUAUUUUGCUAUGUGGUUUCAAUCAAUGUUAGUAAAAUCCAAUUCAGCUUGACAGGUUCAUCCAUGAUGUAGCCCGAUCAAAUGGAUGCACUCAAAUGUCUCCUGUAGGUUUACAUACUUUAUUCAAAUUUAUUUUUAUUAUUUUUUAAUUUCUAAUUAAAAAGAAAAAAGAAAUCAUCGAAUUCUAACUGAUCCAAUUCUUGAAAAAACAAUGAGAAAAAAAAAACAGGACGGCAGUGUACUCUUCAUCACAAACCAUUUUAAUCUGUUUUUAUUUUUUUUAAAAAAAAAAUCUUGUUGUACAACAAAUCCUCACAGUACAUUUUUCUUACCCAAACUUUUAUAACCUUAUCCAGUAGCUACUGGCUCGUGAUAAAUCAAACAUGUCCUGCAUUAGUAUGAUUGAAGCUUACAUAAUUAUACAUGCUCUAGGCAUUUCAAAAGGUUUUUUUUUUAUCUUUAUAUUAAUGUCCAACCAAUGAUCUUGUUAUCAAAAUUAUUGAACUCGGACGGGUACAGUUUAAGACCCUGAUCAUGAAUUAAACUAGUUAACACGUUUUAUUUUUUUAAAAUAAAACAAUAAUAUUUAAAAGAAUAAAAUAUCUAAUAAAAUUUCAAUCAAAUUAUAAAUUAAUCCAUCAAAUCAACUAAAUUAAUUUUAAAUUAGUUUUUUUUCAUAACUUAUUCUAAAUCAAGAAAUAAAUUAAUCAUAUCUCGAGUUAACUUACAAAAUUUAGUAUCAUUAAUAUAAUAUGAUAAAAUUUUGCAGCUUUAUUUUUUCUAAAUUUUAUGGGUAUGUUGGGAAAUAUGGUAAAAUUUAUUUUUCAAAGUAUUUUUUAUUUAAAAUAAUAUUUUUUUAUUAUUUUUUUAAAAUUUACGUAUGAUAAACAAUAUAAAAAAAUUUAAAAAAAUUAAAAUUUUUUAAAUACGUGUUCUAGAUUAUAUUAAAAAAAAAGGGUCCAAAGUUGUUCAGUAGAAUCAAUCAAUCAAUCAUCGAUGGACACUUGGGAUAAAAAGGCUAUUUUUUCUUGAGAACGGAUGGAAAAGACUUGUUGCCACUUGUGUUGAAAAAGACUUGAAGGGCCUGUUGAGACAAAGUUGGAAUCUUAAGACCUUUAUUGAUCGUGGAUUUUUUUACUCCGCAAGACUUCACUGUUUUCUCGAAUAAUAUUGAGGAUGGAUUAUAUAAAAUUUUAUAUUUUUUUAAUUUGAUUUUCAAAUUUAAUUUUUAAUGAUUUAGUUAUAAUUGAAGAUCAAUUGAUUUUGAUUUUUUAUUAAAAAGUUUUUUAAAAAAAUGAAUCAAAAUAAAAAAAAUGUUAAACAUGGAUGUUAUAGUUUUACAAAAGAAACACUUUUAUCCUUGAAUCUUAAAAACAACACUGAUAUUUAUUCAUAUAAUUCUGUGUUACUAUUAUUUAUAUAAAUGGAUGAAGCAUGAAAAUUAUAUAAAUGGAUUAAUACCGACUAAACUUUGAAGAUGAAAUUGAGAAAUUUCAAGGAAUAAACUAAAAAUUUAACAAAAUCUGACCAAGUCGUUCGAGAAACCAAGAAAAUAACAUAAAAAUAAUGGAAUGACAUCAACAUCACUAGUAGUAUAUAACCCUUUCAAUAAGAAAGCUUAGAAACCAGGCAGGCAGGCAUCCUUGACCGAUAAAAGCCCUAAAGUUAGAAUCGAUGAUUGAGGGUGUUUGGGAGGCUGGAAAAAAAAACUGUUUUUUACGUCCACAAUACUUCUCCAUUUAUAUCUUCUAGAUUUAUAAAGUAAAUUUGUACAGGGUGUUUUUAGCAAGGUGGUUUAACUUGUUUUUUUAUUAAAAUUUUAUUUUAUUUAUUUAAAAUUAUUUUUAUGUUUUUAAAUUGUUUUGAUAUACUAGUAUCAAAAUUAUUUUUGUUUUGAUAUAAAACAUUUAUUUCGUGCACCCAUGAAAUAAGAAGAUUAAAAUAAAGUUGAAAGAAUUAGUUUUAUAUAUAUUUUUUAUUUUUUUCAAUGAUGAUUUAAUGUCUUUAUAUUACUUUUCAAGUUUUGAGAUUAAGUUCAUAGCUCUUUCUCUUUAAAGACAAGAAAUAUAUCACAAGAUUAAAAACUAUUUUAUAUUUCAUUAAAAUAAAGAAAUAAAUAACUUAUAUAAUUACAGUAUUUUCUUCUUAAGCAAAUAAAUUGAUUUCACAUGAAGGAUUUUCUUCCGAUCAAAUAAACAAAUUUAUUUUAAUAUAAACAUAAUCUUAAAAAAAAUAAUCAAUUAAUAAUGCAGCUUAUCAUAUAUAAAAUGCACUGAAAUAAUAUGUUUUUUUUAUACAUAACUAAUUCUCUUAUCCGAACUCUUUCAAAUUACUUAGAUUUUCUAACAACUAUUAUAUUAAAUGAGGAAUCCUAAAUCUUUUAAAUUAUAAUUUUAUGAAAUAAUAUGUUUUUUUUAUACAUAACUAAUUCUCUUAUCCGAACUCUUUCAAAUUACUUAGAUUUUCUAACAACUAUUAUAUUAAAUGAGGAAUCCUAAAUCUUUUAAAUUAUAAUUUUAUAAUUUAUCUUAAUGCAUCCAAAUCUUUUAAAUUAUAAUAAAAGUUUAUAUACUAAAACUAAUAAAAAGUGAAAGUAAUUGAUGUAAUGACAUAGCAACCAUAAACAUUUUGUGGAUAUUCAAAAUUAAAAUAACUCAGUUUUAAGCUAUAAUUGUUCAUUCGGUCACCCAUUCAUGUAUAUAUGGAAAAUGAUAAUUUUAAUAUACAAAUUUUCAUAGCAAUAAUCUCACGGACUCAUCUCUUCUCGUAGAAAAAACAACUCUUGAUAGCAAUGCUCUUGCAAACCAUUCCACUAAUCUAUGUUGUGGAAAAAAUGCUUAACGGUGAUGGGCUCAUAUACCCAUCUCACACUGCAAAUUUCUAUUCAUCUUACUUAUUGAUAAGAUUGUGUUGAAAAAAAUAUAAUUAGUAUUUAAUUUAGAUAAAAAAAACUUAUUGGAAGUAUUUUAGAAAUGUUAUUAUUGAUGGUUUAUUUUAUCAAUGAUACUCUUUGAUUUUAUAAAUGAUAUGAGAAAAUAAAAGUUUAUAUACUAAAAUCAUGCCUUAUUUUAUCAAAAUUAAAGCAUGAUUUUCCACACGUUAUUUCUAUAAAGAAAGCAGCAAGUCUUCUGUAUCCAUUAUUAUCAUGGAAAAUGAGCUUCCAUUAAAGACUGACAUCAGCCUUAUUAAAUUUGAUUUGGCAGGAAAGGUUGAUGUGAGAUCUAGUUUAACUUGAGUUUAGAGAAAAACUAAAUGAGAGUUUACCCGUUAAACUUGAAUAAUCAAAUAAGUUAAGCCGUAAAUAGUUCAAUUUAAUAAAAACAUGGUUUUACUUUUUUAACUAUGCAAUUUUAACUUAAAAAAAAACCAAUUUCUUGAAAUGACACAAUUUUAAAUUAACACAGGUCAACAUGAACUAACCAUAGAUUGUUCACCUAAACCCUGAUUAGCAUUAUAGUUUAUUGAAUAAAAAGUAACAAUUUUAAAUUAACAACAGUCAAGAUGAACUAACCUGCACAAUUUAUUACCUAUUUAACCCUGAUUACUCAUGUCUAACCAUAGAUUGUUCUAUUUUCUUUAGUUUUGAUGAACAUGACAUUCUUAUGAAAAAUGUCGCGCGCGCGUGUGAGUGGGAAAAACGCGUUUGUUCUAUUUUCUUUACUUUGACUAUAGUCUUCCCUGACAUUAUUAUUGUCACAAAGUGGGCAUAUUUCUACUGUUAUCUUUGAAGAUUUGAAUUGAAAAAGAGGGACGUAAUUAUAUAUUAGUUGAAAUUUUAUGAUGUACAUUAAUUCUUUUAAAUUAAAGUCAAGUUAUUAAUUAUAUCCUAUAUAUAGAUUUUCAAUCCUCAAACCAAUUUCAAACGAAUCACUUCAAGUGAGUCAUCAUAGUUCAUGAUCAAUUCCUUAAAUCCUGUAAAUAAGAUUGAUUGAUCAAAUUUUAUAAUUAAUAAUAAUAAAUGAGUAGCAUGCUAAUAAAUAUUUGUGGAAGUGAACUGUUUUUGAUUGAAAAAAGAAUAAUUAAGCGAUCCUCUUCUUUUUAUAUAAUAAUAUAAUAACUACCGUAGUUUAAAUUAUCUCGAAAGGCAUGAUUUUUCACAUGUAAUUUCCAUCAAAUUCAAAAGGCAUGAUUUUCCACACGUAAUUUCAAUAAAAAACAAAACAGUUGCAAGUCUUUAUAUUCAUCAUCAUCAUGGAAAGUGAGCUCAUAACAUUAACCUUUUCUUCAUGUUUUUUUUUUUAAAGACUUUGACUUCGGGUCAACGUCUUGAGAAUGAAUACGAGUUCCUUCAAGCAAUUACUCUCAAGCAAUUCAUUUUUUCUUUUAAUUUUUUUUGGUACUGUAUGGUUCAGAUGAAGAUGACCAAGUCGGCAUUGGUUAGCUAAAAUAAUUUUAUGGUUCCUAUAUAUAUAUAUAUAUAUAUAUAUUAGUUGAAAUUUUAUGAUGUUCAUUAAUCCUAUGAUGAAUUUUCAGAGAAUGCACGGAUAAGUCGAUGAAUCUUCAGAGAAUACACAGAUAAGUUUUCUAAAAUGAAUUUGUUCUUAAUGCAGACUAUUCUAGGAAGGAAAGCUAAAAUAAAGCCUAGUGUUUACAACACAUUUGAAGGAGAUGUGAUUUUACUGUUAUAAUUUCAGCCUAAGGAUCAUAUGUCCUUUAAUCAUGUGCUUGAUUCUUGUUGUCUUUUUUUUUUUUUUUUUGAUUAGCGUGGGGUGUCUGGGCCAGCUUGCGCGCACCACGACUAUUCCCCACGGCCCACUGAACAUCCUGCAAGCCUAGUGAGCAGGUAAGGCACCACGGGGGUGACAGGCGUGCACAUAGAGGAUCGAACUCGGGACGGGAGCAAAGCAAGCCUCAUGGUUGGCCACUGAGCUAGACCCUCAAGUGCUUGAUUUAAUUAGGCUUGUGCUUGUUUACAGGACGCUUCCCUUAUAACCUAAUAAUUUUAAUAUACAACAUUUUAGCACCUCCUCAUACUUUUCACGUAGAAUUUUAAUAAUCAGUGAGAAUUUAUUAAUUUCCCAUAAAUCAUAAAAUAAAAUGUCCCUUUUGGAAUUAGCAAAUUUAAAAAUACUACUUCUUAAAAUAUUAAUAUUAUAACUCCACAUAUAUAUAUAUAUAUAUAUAUAUAUAUAUAUAUAUAUUUAUAUAUAUAUAUAUAUAUAUGUUUAUUAUAUCAUUUAAUUAUUUAAGAAAUAAUCAUCACUACUAACUGUCGAAUCACAAAUGUUUAAGGAGCACUUUUAGCUCUGCCACACAUAAUUUCCAUUAAAUUCGAAAGGCAUGAUUUUCCACACAUAAUUUCUAUAAAGAAAGUAGCCAGUUUUCUAUAUCCAUCAUUGUCUUGAAAAUGGAAAGUGAGCUCAUAGCAUUAUCCUUUAUUCAUGUUUUUUUUUUAUUUAAGAGAAACAACUUUGACCUGGGGUCAACUUUCCAAGAAGGAAUCAGCCUUAUUAAAUUUGGUUCGGCAUGAAUUAAUUUGGUCGAGGUUUAGAAAAAAUUAAAUGAGAGUUGACCAGUUAAUUCAUAUUCUACUUAAUCUAAUCAAAACCUAGUUUUAUUUUGUUAACUAAGUAAUUUUUUUUAAAAAAAUCUUGAAAUCACAUAAUCUUAUAUUUGACACUGGUCAAUAUAAACUAAUUUGCUUAAAAAUCAUGAUUCAAGUACUAGGCCUAGGCCUAACCAUGUUUAGUAACUUUGGUUUUGAUGAACAAAACAUUAAUGUCAUAUAUAAUUUUUUUACAACAUUUUACAAAUAUAAUUCGCAUUCAAAUUGACACAUUCAUAAAUUGAUAUAAUAGUUCUUAAUAUUUAUUUUUAAUAUAUAUAUAUAUAUAUAUAUAUAUAUAUAUAUAUAUAUAUAUAUAUAAUGAAAUAUUUUAAGAGUUGAUUAAUAUUGUUAAACCAUAUAUGUUAUGUAUGUUUUUUUUCAAUUUUAUUUUUUAAUAUUGAGUUUGCUUAUCCCGAUCUCAUUAUUCGAAUAGUGGAUUUGACGGCUUAAUUUAUGUUUGUUUUUUUUUCAAUCUUAUCCUUCAAUAUAUAGUUGAUUUGAAAAUAUGCUUCAUAAUGUUUUUUGUUUGAUUUCUAUGAGAUUAUUGUAGUCUUAUUACCUGUGUUACAAGUUUGACGAGUUAAAUCAAGUUAACCCGAGUUAGGUAUUUUAUGAACUUUUGAAUUGAGUUUUUUUUUUUUCCAUUUUCAUCAUUCAAUAUUUGGUUGAUUGAGAAUUAUAUUUUAUAAUUUGUUUUGAUUUGCUUUAUAUGUAGUUAUCCUAGCUGCAUGACUUGGGUUGUGGGCUUGAUAUGUUAACUUGGGUUAAUUUGAGUUAUUUUUUUUUUAUUGAUCUUUUAUUUCAAUCUUAUCUUUUAAUAUUGAGUUGGUUAGGAAUUAAGCUUAUAAUUUAUUUUGAUUUAUUUUCUAUGGAGUUAUCUCGGUCUCAUGGUUCAGAUAUCAGAUUUGACAGGUUUACUCGAGUUAAUUAGGUUCGAUCUAAUAUGUUUCAGUCUUAAUAUGUUUCAGUCUUAAUUUUUUUUUAAAAAGAUAUUAUCUUGGUUUUUUUUCUUUUUUAAUCAAACUAUAUUUUUAACUAUCCUACAUGUUGUAUUUGGAUAUGUCAAGUAGACCAUGUUAUAUUUUUAACAUUUAUUUUUUUUAUUAAAAAACAUGUUAGUAAUCAAAAGUUUAAGGAUCAAAAUUGAUAUAAUCAUCUAAUAAAAAAUAUUUUUGAAUUUUUCAUAACUUUUAGAAUGUUUUUUCCAUUCAAAAAAAAAUAUGUUUUCAUGAAAAUCAAGAUAAAUUUUUCUUUUACCAGAAAAUAUUUUUUAUUAACUAACUUUACUAAUUAUAAAACAUUUUAAAAAAUAGAUUACAAAAGAUCACUUUCUAUGGAACAAGCCUGUAUUUCUGUGAAGACAUUCCAACAAAAAACAAUUCGUGAAAUAUUAGCCUUUCAAGAAAUAGAGAAGCUUCCACUCUUCCUCCUGAUGUGAUUAAUUAGCGGGUUGGAGAGUGGGAAAAACACGUUUGUUCUAUUUUCUUCACUUUGUCUAUACAUUAUUAUUGUCACAAAGUGAUAUAUACUUCUUCUGUUAUCCUUCAAGAUUUCAAUUGAAAACGAGGGUCGCAAAAAAUUAAUUUUUAUAAAAAUACCCUUAACUUUGGAUGUGGAUAAUUGUUUGUAAUAUAUUUACAUCCAAUACAAACAAUUCAUCAAUGACCAAGUAGUCAUUUGUUAGCUUAAAUAUUGAAAAUACUUACUCUUUUUUUUUUUUUGGCCAUGCAGUUCCUCUCUCUCUCUCUCUCUCUCUCUAUAUAUAUAUAUAUAUAUAUAUAUAUAUAUAUAUAUAUAUAUUAGUUGAAAUUUCAUGAUGUCCAUUAAUCCUUUUAAAAGAAUGAAAGGCUUAACACUUUGUCGUAAAUUUUUUAACAACCUAUUUUUUUAAUUUUGAAUAUUUCAUCUGUAAUUCCGUCGGUAUAUACUGACCGAAUUAUUCCAUCGGUAUAUAACGACUGAAUUAUAAACAGAAAAUAUUCCACUGGUAAUUAGGACAAUAAAUUACCGACAGAAUUAUUCCGUUCAGUAAUACCGUUGGUAUCAAGCGAAUUUCUGGUAGUGUCUGGAAUCGAAGUUUCCAGGCUAAAUAGUUGGUAGAGGUAAGUUUUAAUGGAGUUUGAGCUGCAACAUUGAUGCUAAUCAAUGUGCUAUGAGUUUUAAUGGAGUUUGAGCUGAGAUGAUAGGAAACGAUUCUAUUUCUCAUGUUGAAUGAAUGAAUCAGAUUGACACAGCAGAAGGAAUUACUAACUGAGUUGCCUAGCCUCUAGCCUAUAUACUCGGAAAUAUAACGCUGGAAAACAGAUUAUGCAUGGUUUGUUAUAACAGCUGUAUAGUGCUAUAGAGAGACGUGUCUGUUGCUCUAUCCCUAAAGUUGAGAAGGUGCCAAUUGGAGCUCAAAAUUCAAUCUGCACCUCAGUCAGGGUGUUGCUCCAGCCCGAAAGUUGAGAAGGUGCCAAGUGGGCUCAAAAUUAGAAAAUCGGCGACGUCUCAAAUUAGCUUCUCAGGGGUUAUCCGAUCCUCAACUUUUUGAAAAGAAUCAUUUUAGUCCAUACAUCUCAGAUAAUUCUCAAUUGGAUCCUUUUGCAAUGUCUUUGGGUUUUUUCUUGUUAACUUUUCUUCAGCAGGACCCCUUCUAAUCAGUUUAGUUGCCAAUAAAGAUUAAUGUUUUUUCUUCCUAAGACCAACCAACGUUGCAUCAUAUAUGAUUAAAUUAUUUGAAAAUACGAUAACGAUUAUAAUUUAAAGUAUGUUUUACUUGGAAAUAUAUUAAAAUAAUAAUUUUUUAAAAUUUAUUUUUUUAUUAGCAUAUCAAAACAAUUUAAAAACAUAAAAUAAUAAAUUUUAAAUAAAGUUUUUUAAAAAAUAUAAUUUCAAUUAUAUUAUCAUGCACUACCUAAUUAAUCCACCAAGUUGACCACGUUGUACAUAGUUCACAAUAUGACAAUUAACUCUUAACUACCAGCAACACACACUCACCUAUCAUAGUACCUUCUAAAAAAUAAUCCUUGAAAAAUUCAUAUAAUUUUAUCAUACAUGAAAUUCAAAAUAAUAUUCUUUAUAUCAUGCUUUUAUAAGAAAUUUUAAUAUUUUUUAAAACCAAAAACGUAGAAUGAAAGAGGAAAAAAAAAACUGUAUUCUUUCUUGCAAUGCAUAUAACGGAGCUGUGUAACAGACCCAUAGAACUGGCAACGGAGCUGUGUAACAGACCCAUAUAACGGAGCUGGUGUUCUUCCACUUAGCAGAUUCAUUUAUAUCAUAAAAUAAAUUAUAAUAAGAAUGAAAUGAAAUUGGAUUUGAAAAUUCUCCAAAACUGGCAACGGAGCUGUGUAACAGACCCAUAGAACGGGAGUGGCACUUGUUGGUAAAUUAUUAAAUUAUUUUAUUAUGGAUUUGUGGACAUACACUAGUGUUAGAAAGCAUAUGGAUUUGUGGAAUGAUUUUACCCUUCUAUAUAUUGCUUCAUUUUCUGUUAAUUUUCCUUAACCAUGACCUUGCAAUUUUUUUUCUUUUAAUUUAUGGAUAGAUUUACGAGAGAGCGAAAAUUGCAUAUGGAUUUGUAUGGCCAGAACAAUUAUUUACGGCUGAGAACAUGACCUGGAAUGAUGGUGCAAAAACAAUUACAUGUGGCCUUGCUGUAAAUAUCUAACAAUCAAGUCCCUCUAAUUUCUUUCAAGAACACUACAGCAAUCUAUGCUGUUAUAAAACACAUUACCAUCAAUUUUAUUUUUUCCAUUUAAAAACUCUCUUGAAACCAUUUUCUGUUAACAUGGUUUCUACUUAUUUGAUUUUCACGUCCACUUCAAAGCAUUUGAGCGAAAAUCUGCUAUUGUUAUUCUGUCUUGGCACAAAGCAUUUGAGUUUGUUGCUUUUUUUUUUUUUUAUAUAAUCAUCGAGAGUAUAUUAAGAAGGCCAUAAAGUGAAUAGCCAAAGAAAAAUACAAGGAUAUGAAAACAAGAAAAAAUAAAAAAAGUUGAUCUACUACAGCAAACAACAAGAAGACUACCUAAGAUUUCUUAUUACACAAAGCAUUUGAGUUUGUUGCUUCACUUGUCAAAUAUUUUCUACUCUUAUCCUUUUAUGUGCUCCAUGCCAUUAGGAAUCAUCGAUGCUGCGAAGUGCACUCUUGGAGCAUGGUAAUCUCAUACGAUAUGCUGAAAAACUUAAGACAGAUUUCUUGGAGGCUGGAUCGUCUUCUUCUGUCCCGCAAUUCCUUUCAGACGCUUCAUCAAAUUCAAAAAGACGUCUUUCAAAUUCAGGCAAGAUAUUUUCAUCUUUUAUUCUUGUGAAUAUUAUAUUGGUCAUCUGAUAGUGUCUUGAGUUGUGGAUUUACUAUACCAAACCAGCCUCCAGAUCAUGUUUCAGUCAUCAUCAAACUAACAAUUUGUUGUUUAAGAUGCUUCAAGAAAAAUAAAAGCCAUUGGGAAAUAAGAGGUCAAAAAGUACCAUCCAUGUCUCUUUUCUUUCAAAUAGAAUUUCAACUAUUUUCAUGUGUUUUUAUCACUAGGCUCAAAACCUAAGAAGCAACCCGAGAGGGAAAGGACAGAAGAGGAGAAAACUUUCAGAAGAAGGGCAAGAUACUUUCUAGUAACACAAGUAGUUGCAGUUUUAGUCCUUCUAUCUGUCAUCAGCAGUAAUGAUUUUUCUGAGGUGGAGGUUGAUGAUGAUGAAGAUGAAGAUGAAGAUGAAGGGUUCAGUUAUGACUGAAGAAGCAUUCAUUUUUUGUCAAAUUUGUAUUUUCCUUGACAAUUUUUUUCCUCAUGACAAUUCAGUCAUGGACAUCACUGUGAGAAAGAUAGUUUCCUUUUCACCUUUCAUUAUUGUAUUCCAUGUAAAAUUUUUGAAAAAUAAUCAUCCAACAGUUGGAUUCUAAUAAUGAAAAUUCAGAAACUCUCCGUGCUGCAGGAAAUAGCCCCUGUAGUUGUUGAAUUUGAAUCCACUGUAAAAAAAUAACCCCGUGAGCACUCUUUCAUUCUCAUUGAUUUACUUCCAAUUCCUUCUUCCUGUUUCUGGUUCUUUGUUUACGCCGUUUCUGGUGAUAUUGAGUUCGUUUUUUGGUUGGUUCACCUUUUUAAACAGUUAUAGGCAAUGCCAAGAGAAGCAUUUGUUCAAUUUAGAAUAUUGGAACAAAAAAUGAUAUGACUUUAUUUUCAUGUAUUCUUUCACCGGAUAUUUGUCCAUGUCUAAUUGGAUCUAUUAUUCUUGUAAUUCUCAUUUUCUAGUUUUUUGUAGAGGAAGUUUAAUUUUUUUUCGUUUUACCUCCAGGUGAAACUAAUGAUAUCAAAUACAAGGUUUUCUAGUUUUCUGUACAUCACUUUUGAAACAUCCGAUACCUGGUCUAAGCAUAAUCAAAUGACUUUAAUCAAGCAUUGCAGCAUAUGCUGGACGGUUGAGAUUAGAGUAUUCAGAACUGGAGAUGAAUUGUUAUGUGGAAUCUCGAGACUGCUUUGAAAACUCAAGGAAUUGAAAAGCCCCCCGCUUGUAUAAAACUCUCAAAAAUUUAUUAGUAUUGUUUUGGGCCCUUCCAGCUUUGUUAUAUUCCCUUAACUUCGCUAGCUAGAAACCAUCCUUGGACUUCAUUUACAUAGCCUUGUAGCAAAAAUUCUCGCCUAGUAGAUAAAAUCCCACCACAAGAUUGAAAGAGUUUCUUGCUUACAAGAAAACUCGUGUCCAGACAAAUACAUAAAUCGUGGUUAACCAGGUGACCCUAAUCCAGAGGGAAAAUGAGCAAGGGACCGAAACAGACAGUGGAACCAUGUACCUAUAAGAAGUCGAUUCAAGGGAGGAUUAAGAAAAGUAGCAAAGCUCCAUCUAUGGCAAAUUGGAGAAUGGAGACUUUUAGUUGAUACCGUUUAACCAUGGCAGGAUAUUGGUUGACGUUUCAGUCCCAGUACAGAUCUAUCCGGUGAUCGGUUGGCACAUGCAUAGCCAACUUAAUUAAAGAAAACAACAGCAGUAAUCUGCUAAAAACAACACUCAUAUAUGGUGAUUCUUAAGAAUGUUUAAACACAUUCUUUUAAAUUUAUUGUAUGUUUGAGAAUAUAGUUGCGAUUUGGAUGAAAUAAGCCCCGUCUCUUCCCAUAAAUAGAGAACUUCUUCCUGGGCGCGGUAUUGAUAGCCAGAUGGAUCAUAGAAAUACUGCACAAAAAUGUUAAGAGACUUUCCCACUAUGAGUAGAAAGAUUUGGAAAAAGAUUAGAAAGAACUCAUAUUAUAAAUAACUUUCUUAUAACUAUCUCUUGCUUAAUUCUCAUUUUCUAGUUUUUUGUAGAGGAAGUUUAAUUUUUUUUCGUUUUACCUCCAGGUGAAACUAAUGAUAUCAAAUACAAGGUUUUCUAGUUUUCUGUACAUCACUUUUGAAACAUCCGAUACCUGGUCUAAGCGUAAUCAAAUGACUUUAAUCAAGCAUUGCAGCAUAUGCUGGACGGUUGAGAUUAGAGUAUUCAGAAGUGGAGAUGAAUUGUUAUGUGGAAUCUCGAGACUGCUUUGAAAACUCAAGGAAUUGAAAAGCCCCCGCUGUAUAAAAACUCUCAAAACCGAAUGGAACUGUAUAAAUUAAUUUUGUGGCCAAAGUAGUUGGAUUCUAAUAAUGAAAAUUCAGAAACUCUCCGUGCUGCAGGAAAUAGCCCUUGUAGUUGUUGAAUUUGAAUCCACUGUAAAAAAAUCACCCCGUGAGCACUCAUUCAUUCUCAUUGAUAUACUUCCAGUUCCUUCUUCCUGUUUCUGGUUCUUUGUUUACCGUUUCUGGUGAUAUUGAGUUUGUUUUUUGGUUGGUUCACCUUUUUAAACAGUUAUAAGAAACUAAGGUAACUGAGAAGCAUUUGUUUAUUGAUUGCAAAUGGUUCAAUUUACAAUAAGGAACAAAAUAUGAUAUGACUCGGCGAUGCUAUAACAAAAAAGAUAUGUGAGCUUCCGUGUUUGAUAGAUUCAAGCAGUUUCCAAUCCCAGAUAUUUCUAAGCAUACAUGCUGUUCAUCUUUGGUUAGCUUGCCAGCUAAUAGAUCACAAAGAAAUAUGUUAGCAGGACAGCAAUUGCUCUACGCUACCUUUGUCAUUUAGGUUAUAACAUGUAAUUACAUCACUGAUGCUAGCAAUGGAGCUUUGGAAUGCCAUUAUCACAUGGUAAUUAGAUCGGUUUUAUACUUUGUAAUUGUCACGUAUAGUGGAAUUGUGUUUAUUUCUGUUCCUUUAAACUAACUUGAAAUUUGAAUUCUUCCUAAUUAAUCAGCUAUGAAAUAAAAACCACACAAAUAUAUGAAAUUUGUAAAUGCGUUUCACGUUAAUAUAAUUUUUUUUUGUUCAACUAUCACUUCAUAUGUGUGCACAGAAUGGAGCUUCCAAUGAAGCAAUUGUACUAUUCAAUGAAAUGAGAGAGGCAAGUCCUAAUCCAAAUAAAGUCACAAUGAUUGAAGGGGCCCUUGAUUUGGGGAAAUGGGUUGAGACACAUGCAUCAGAAAGAGGUUUACAGCACGAUGUCUAUGUUGCAAGUGAAUUAAUAGAUAUGUAUGCAAAAUGUGGGAGCUUGGAUGAUGCACUCAGGGUUCUUGAGAGUGUUCCUAUCUAAUUUUUUAUUUAUAUUUUUAAUAAAUUUUCAAAAAAAAUUAAAAAUAGCAAAAAACAACGAAAAUCCCCUAAAAAAUGCAUUUUGAUAUAUUUGCAUUAUUUUUAGUAUUUUCAACGUCAUCUUAGAAAAAUUUAAAUUUUUAAAAGUAUUUUGAACGCGUUAAUUUUACAAUCAUUGAUUUUUUGAGUGCACGUUGAUAUUGCUCGCUUUAAAAAAAUACAAAAAAAAAAAAAAAAGAAAACAAAAGAAAAUGAAAAAUUGAGGGACUAGUUUGGAAACCCUAGAAUAUUUUGCCUAUAAAUACUAGUCUACAGGAAAAAAACCAUGGGGGGAGAAAAAGAAAGAGGCAAAGGGCCGAAAAAUAUUUAGGGGGAGGAAAAUUAUGAAGAAGCUCUAAAAACCCUAAAAACAAAACCUACAUCUAUCUCUAGGGACGGCGGCCGCCUCCCUAACCUUGGCCAAAGAGAACUGGGGCUGCUCGCUUCCCCUCUGUUGUAACCUAUUUUUGGGUCCCCAUAAAAAAAAAUAUAAAAAAAUAAAAAUAAAAUUGAACAGUGUCGUUUUGACACUGUUCCUCUUCCUGCAUGUUGCUAGAGCCCUACGCCCUUGGAUGACAACAAACCAGGGGAGUCGCGCCUUACCAGCCGCGCUCACUGCCCAACCAACCAGCAGGCCGCUCCCCUGCUCCCUAUGCGCAGCAACGUCCCCGCUCCCCCUUCGCCUAUAAAUACUGCUCUUAGCAGCUGCAACAAGGGGGGAGAGAGGUUUUUGGGAAGGGAAGGAUGAAAGGGGGAUUUUUUGGAAGAGGGAGAGGGCUGUUUUGAAAGACACAGGGGGAGAGAUUUUUGGAAACUGAUAGAGGAAGAAGUUUGAAAUGAGGAGAGUGACGGUGAGAGGUUAAGAAGAGAGGAAACGAAGCAGCAAAACACUGCUCGUCACCGAGGACAGCUCACCAUCUUCUUCCCACCCGCAACAACACCACCAGGAACAGAGCACUUCAUCAUCACCACCAGCUGCCACUGUCUUCCCCGCCGGCAACACCACCGUGAGAAACAGAAGGAAGAAAGGGAAGCAGGGGAGAACAGAGCUGAAGAAAAGACACAUAGGAGAAAAGGAAAAAAGGCCGCCACCACCAGUGCCUCCACGAAGCAGCGGCAGAGAGGGAAGAACAUCGCUGGCAGCAGAGAACCAACAAAGAAGGAGCUGACAAAAGCAAACAGGGAAGGAAACCAGAGGCUGGCGCCUCUGCACAGGGAAGAAGAAGAGAAAAUAGUUGUUGUCACCGGGCUCCACAGCCACUAACCACCGUCCAGCCAUCUCUGAUCAGCCGCCACCAGCAUAACCAUCGGCUUCUUUUCUCAAGAACGCAGGAAAUAACAGAGGAAGCCACCAUCACCAUCGGCUUCACCUUCUUCAGAACCAGGGAACCAGCAGAGAAAGUCAGCAGCACCAUAGAACCAGCAGAGAAAGUCAGCAGCACCAUAGACUUUUCCUUCUCCAGAAUCAGCUCCCCAGACCGCCACCUCCUGCACCUCUAUGAAGCUGCUGUAAAGAGGGAAGAACAGCGUUGACAGAGGGAACAAAGGAAACCAAGAGAAGGAGCAACGCCUCUGCAGAGGGGAAGAGAAAACAACUGCUGUCCCCGGCUUCCACAGCCACCGACCACCAUCCAAGCCAUCCCCGGUCGGCCACCACCAGCACCACCGCGAGUGCACGCCAUUGCCAUCGUCUUCAAUCACCGUUUCCGCCACCAGGUUUGCUCCCCAGGUCGCUGUGCAUGCACCAUUUCCUUGCAUUUCACUGUUCAUGAAAUAUAAUUCACAUAUGCACAGUAACCAGUCCAUGUUUGUUUUGGGCUGGGCCAGCCCAGCCCAUGCUGCUGGGCUGAGUCCAGCCCUGUAGAAACCAGGCCCCAAUUUAUUUUGGGCCGAUUUUGGCCCAGUUUCUUUUUGGGCCGGGUCUGGCCCGCUCGAACAAAAAUUCUUUAAAAAAUUAUUUCAAAAAAUAUGUGAUUUUCUGUAAUUUUAUUACUGUAUUUUGAUCAAUAUCGGUUUGUAUUUUUAUAUUGUAAAGAUACAAAUCCGGUAUUAAAAUAACCGGUUUUUGUCAAGUUUUCAAAAAAUGUUUUGUUUUCAUGCAUACGGCCUAGUCUCUCCAAUAUAUAUAUAUAAAUAUUCUAACAUCAUAUUUUCACACAACAAAGAAAAUUUCAAAAAUAAUAUAUGUAUUAACAUGCAUUUCGGCUUUAAUAACCAGUUUAUUAAAGCCAUGAGGACUAGGCCAAUAUUUCAAAAAUUCUAAAAAAAUCUUUUUUGUCUUCUUUUAGUAUCUGGGAUUAUGAAUUUAUGCGUAAAACGUAUUCCUGAUAUUAAAAAUAUGGUUUUUUUACAUAGACGUUAGAACGGUUAGGUUUUACCCGAUAAGAUAAGGACCUCCUUAUUGAGGAGGACUUUUCUUGAACCAUAGACGGACCAAUAACUAGGAAACACAACGAGACCUUGAAUUUUAUCAGACAAAUAAACAAUGCAGCUUACCUUAGGUAUGGCGUAUUUGGGGUGCUAAUACCUUCCCUUUACGCAACCAGUCCCCGUACCCAAUCUCUGAGACCAGUUAGGGUUCCUAGUGAUCAAAAUACUAGGUGGCGACUCCCAUUCCAUUUUCCUACCAACAAAAGACAAUAUUUUCUUGUCUCCCCACAUUUGCCAGAUAGAUGCCAAAAUAAGUUUACAUUUUAGAUUUAAAGUGGGACAUAUAUUUUCGCCGCGACGCCGCACCCGUGCGACAGAAUGGCGACUCCACUGGGGACCUUGUGACUCGCUUCCCCAUAGCCUUUUGCAGCCUCUCCAACCCCCUGAUCCUGCUCUCGGUUAGCCCCCCUUUCCUUUGAAAAAAAAAAACCUAAAGCCACCUCUACCAGCGACGGCUGCUCAAGCUCUUUUGAAAGGAGAGAACCCCACAAAACACACUCCCUUCUCCUCAACACGCAGCAGCUCCACUCUCCGGUUUUUCCCCAUCUCCCAGAACCAACCGGGGCCGCCUCCCUGGCUGGAGGCCAAAAACCAGAGAGAGAACCUUCAACCUCAGCUCCCUCUCUUCCACCGAUCUGUCCUUCUCUCCCUCCGCCACCGUGCAACAGCCGACCCAUCGGCCUCCCUCUCCCGGCCGCUGGCCCCUACUUUGUGACCCAAAACCAGCCGGCCGCGCCCCUCCACUGGCCGUCGCUCUCCCUCGCGGCCAAGACAACACCGCCGCCCACUGACACAGGAGACCAGCCCCACAGCGGCUCCUUUCUUCCGCAGGCCGAACACAGCGGCAGCCCCGCUGUCCUCUGCUCAGUCUUCUCUCAGUUCCACCGCGACAACAGCAAUAACAACCCGGCAGCGCCCACAGACCGGCGGCCCCCUUGGUCUUGCCGCCACCUGAAGCGGAUGAGAAGAAGCUCUCCCAGCCACUAGAUCUGCCAUCAACAGAAGGAAAACAGAGAAGGGAGAAGGCGUUGUACCCGAGAACAGAUCCUGAAGGGGAAAAGAAAAUUAAAAUCGACUGCUUGUUGUGUUUCUUCUCUUGCAGGUAACGGUGGCUGUCACCGCCAGCGAGGAAAGAGAAGAGGGGAGGAAGCCGAUUCGGAUCUCCCCUGGCGCUGCUCAUUUUUUGCGGCGGCGCUUGAACCCACGCGCCGCCAGUGGUGUCCGCGAGUGGAGCAGACGCGCCGCCACCACUCCAACAGUUCCUGAGGGGCUGCUCUGCAGUUCCUGGACUCUUUAGGGACCUUUUUGUAAUUUUUACAUGUUUGAAUAUGUAUUUAAAUUUCUGUUAAAUGUUUUUAGUUUAUGUUAUGUUGUAAAAAUUGUAACAGAAAAACAUAGUGAAAAAGUGAUGUGGAAGUGUGUGGUUGUAUUUUUAUUUAUUUAUGUUAUUGAAUUAUAAAAAUAAAAAAAAAAAUAAAAGGAAUUAAUUGUUUAAUUUGAAUAUGGUUAAAAUAAAAUUAUGUUAUAUUUUUCAUGAAAAUGUAAGAAUAUGUUUUUACAUAUAUUUUGGGAUUCAAUAAUUGAUUUAUUAAAACUUUAGAAUUUGAUUAAUAUUUUAAAUUUUCAAAUCACAUCAAAUUUCAAAAUAAAUUUCAAAAUAGCUUACUUCAAGUAGGGUGUGCUAGGGGUGUUAAUAUCUUUUUUAGUUAUAACCAGUUCUUUAUUCUCUAAUUUUUGACAAAGACUAGUAAAUCCAGGUUUUCUAGUAACCCUCUCAAUGAAAUACUAGGUGGAGAGAUACUAGUUGGUCUCAAUGGUCUCAAUGAAAUACUAGGUGGAGAGAUACUAGUUGGCGACACUUAAAUAAUCAAUCAAGUACUAUCAUUAUUCAAGAGAUACUGGAGGGUGCGGCAGAGAGUAUGCCUCAUAAAAAUGAGGUGUCAUGGAUUGCCUUGAUUUCUGCUCUUGCUUUCCAUGGCAGGCCCUGGAAGUAUUAUCAUUAUUCAAACGCAUGUCAAAGGAUAAUGGCACUGUGCAUGCUGGAUUAGUUGAUGAGGGCCGUCAAUUGUUUGAAUAAAUGAAAUUGUCAUUUGGAUUGGUCCCAAUAGUCGAGCACUAUUCUUGCAUGGUUGAUCUUUGUGCGCGUGCAGGACUUCUGAACGAAGCUUGGGACUUAAUCAAGAAGAUGCUUGGAAAACCAGAUGAAAUUGUGUUGGGGUCAUUGCUUGGUGCUUGUCAGAGGCGUAGAAAUGCAGAUGUUGGUGAAAGGGUCAUUCAAUUGUUUCCAGAGAUGCAAUUAUCUCAUCUAAGAUAUAUGCAAAUAUGAGAAGGUGAGAUGAUUCUGCAAAGAUGAGGGUGUUGAUGAGGCAGUGUAGUGUCUCCAAAACCCCUGGCUGUAGCUGGAUUGACGUUAGAGCUCGUGCUCAUGAAUUUCAUUCUGGUGACAGCUUACAUCAUCAUUCGGUGAACGUAUACCAAUUGCUGAAUGAGGAGAUAAAGAAAGAAGGUUACAUUCCAAAUAUUUGUUGCAUAUAGAGGUGGAAAAGUUGAAUACUUGGUUGCCUCUUUUAGCCAUUGAACAAAGCAUUCGGAGGGAUUAUAUCUUCUGGUUGAUGACUCCAGCCAAAAUGUUGAAUGGUAAGUUGUGUUCUUAAUAGCAUGAGCAAGGAGCUCAAUCUUGCUGAUAGAAAUGUAUAGUUUACCCUCGCAUGAGUAUGUUUCUGUAGAAUGAAAAUGGUUGUUGGAUUGUUACAUGCAUUUGCUGUAAAAUAAUGCAGUUCAUUCCGGAAAGAAUGCUAAAACUAUUUUUUUUUUCAGAACAUAAGGAGGGAAUGGAGGGGGAAUAUUGGUGGAUUGAAAUAAAAUGCACUUGACACCUUUUAAGAUUUUAAGGAUGCCAUAAAUCAUUUUCAAUAGUCCUCUAAAGCCAGAACGAUGUUUAGUUUCUGAACAGACUUCACUUGGAAUCUGACAAAACCCAAUCUACGAUUAGAACUUAUGCAGAAAUUGCCUCAUAACGCGACUCCAUAUCUAUUUGUCUUUCCCUAGUGGGUCCUUGUAAUUUCAAUAGUUGAUGUAAAUGAAGUGUAAAAUGUUUUUAGGCCUUGAUUGUAGUUUCUGCUUGGAAAGUAGUUUUUAUAAAAAAUAAUUUUUUUAUAAAUGAAUUAUUUUAUAAUGUUUAGCGGUGUUAUAAAAACUAAGUUAAAAAAUAUUUUUUUUUCGUGUUUAACUAUAUCAUAAAAAAUAAGUUGUUUUAAUUAUUUUUUUUAAGUUUAUCUAAUAUAUAUUAUACGUUAGAUGUAAUUAUAUUACAAUAUGGAUGAGCCCUUAAUUAGACCCAUCCAAAGCUAGCAUUUUCAUCGGUUCCAAUAACAUGAUAUUUUGUUGACAAUCUUAAGAAUUGAGUUAUAUACAUUUAAAUGCAGUGUACUCCAUAUUGUACUUGUUAUGAUCCUUGUUAAAUUUUUAGGGAAUGGAAGUUCUGGUGAACCAGAGCAUUAGGGAGACUUCAUUACAAUCCUUAGCAUUGAUUGUGGAGAAGUGAGAAAUAUCAUUUCUAGUGAAGUCCCAAGUGUUCUUGAGUCAAAGCUCCAGGUUAAUUUGUUCUCUCAACAUGCUUGCUUAUAAUUUCCUUUAUUAAUGUUGUACACAAAAGAACUGUAUAUAGGCAGCCUCGUUUCAUUAUUGUUCUAUAUAUAGAAAUUGGAUGUGGACAGCAAGGACACGAGGAUUGCAUAUUAUUUUGAUUUCAUUGUUGGGACAAGCACUAGAGGCCUUAUGACAUCCAUGCUUACUGCUCCAAAUGAUGAAAAACGACCUUCGUUUGCCGCAAAAGAUAUUGGAAGUUUUAUCAAGACCACAAUCCAGGCACCAAGUAAUUUAUGGUAUUUUUGAGCUACGGUUUUUUUUUAUGUUGCUUUUUUUAUGGUAUUUUUGAGCUACGGUUUGGAAUUGUACAGAAGUAGUAUUCUAUGGUGAUUCAUCCUUUAGGGUGUGGGGUUUAUUCUUUGUUAAAGAAAAGGAAAGUGUUUUUCCGGUGAGAAAAGGAGGAAAACACUUUCCUUUUGGAAAAAGGGUUGUGUUGUCCUUGGUUGGAGUUUCUCAAAGUUUAGCAAACAUAGAAAAAUGGGGAAAUUGUUUCCAGGAAAAUGGUUUCCAUGAAACAAACAAGGCCAGUUUAGUUUUUUAAUGCUCCCUUCUUUGCUUUGUUAACUUUCUCCGUGUUCUGGCUAUUGCAGCUGGAAAUAUGAUAAAGCUAAAGGACAUCGUUGGAAGAGAAGAAGUGAGAUCCUGAAAUGCAUUUUGCUUUGUCAGUGUUUUAAGCAAGUGGAGGUAAUUAAAGAUUCUAACAAGGGACUUAACUUUAUUUUCAUAUAUUCUUUCACUGGAUAUUUGUCCAUGUCUAAUCGGAUCUAUUAUUCUUGUAAUUCUUGUUUUCUAGUUUUUUUUAGAGGAAGUUUUUUUUCUUUUAAGCGGUGAAAGCUAAUGAUAUCAGGUUUUCUAGUUUUCUGUACAUCACUUUUGGAACAUCAGAGACCUGGUCUGAGCGUAAUCAAAUGACUUUAAUCAAGCAUUGUGACAUAUGCUGGACGUCUGAGAUUAGAGUAUUCAGAAGUGGGUUGAAAAUUAGAAGCCAUCAUACAUGUGGAGAUGAAUUGUUAUGUGGAAUCUCGAGACUGCUUUGAUUCAUUUGCUCAACCGGGUGGUCAUCCAUUUCAAGUGGGGAGUGCUGUCGACAGAAUGCUAUGUUCACAGGAUCAAUACUCUCAGUUACUGAAGCUUUAGAUCAAGCAAAUUCUCUAAGUGCUCACAAGCUUAUAUACAAUCAGUGAAAUAAAUUUGAAUUGAUAUUUGUGUUGUAAUGUAUCCCCUUUGAUAUAAAAUAUUUUUGGAUAUUUGUGUUGUAAAUUUGAAUUGAUCAUCUAUAAAAAUCAAGUAAUAAUGUAAUAUACAAGGGAAGUAAAAACUCAUGGAAUUGAAAAGCCCCUGCUAUGUAAAAGCCCACAAAACGGAAUGGAACUGUAUAAAUUAAUAUAACAUCGCUUGAGCAUGCCUUUAAACUUGUUUAAAUCUUUAAACUAGAAUACACAAUGAUGCACCAAGUUUUAGUACCAUCAAGGCUAUGAAAAUCCAAACUUGGAUAAAAUGGGAAGAUUGUCCACCAAAAAAUAAUAGCAAUUGUUGAUACUCACCUCGAUAAAGUGAAACCAAACUUGUCGCCAAUAUGGAUUUAUAUACAGAACUGCAAUUAUUACCAGCAGCACCAUGAUGUAUGCAACCCCAAAGGUCACAUAGAAAACCUCCAUAUCUAUGAAGCCACCAUUAUCUUCAUUGUUUGUUGAAGGUGGCGUUGGUGAUGGUGGCAUAACUGCACCACAUAUUUUGGGUAGCGGUUCUCCACAAAGAAAAGGGUUGUCCUUGUAGCUACUCUCCUCAAACGUGGCAAACUGUGCAACUCUCGCAGGAGUCUUUCCGGACAGAUUAUUGUGUGCCACAUUGAAAAACUCUAGAAAAAAUAGUUCAGUAAGUUGAGGUGGGAUUUCUCCAUCCAAUUUGUUGUAGGAAAGAUCCAAGCUCUCUAUUUCCUUAAAGUUUGAAAAUGUUGGUGGAAUUGGUCCGGUCAAACUGUUGUGCGAAAGGUUCAGUACCUUGAUCAUGACGAGGUUUCCAAUUUCAGGAGGAAUCUCUCCUGUGAAAUUGUUGCAUGAGAAAUCAAGUCCUGCGAAGUACCUGAGAAUCCUGCCUCUAUAAGAAAGGGAUACAUUCUUCGUUGUAAACUCGAA